GAUAUGUCAAUCCCAAAUCUAUUAUUCCAUUUAUUUAUUAAUUAUCAUAAAAACAUUUAUUAAAUGUGCUGUCCUCCAACUCUUUCCAUGAAAAGAAAAGGUUGUGAACCACCACAUUUGAUCAUGGACAAAAGGUAAUCAAAUAGUUGCCUCCACUAGGACAAGUAAACGUGCUCGAUUUAUCAUCAUAAGCAUAACUGUAAGCUUGAGGACACUGCUGCUUGAAAGUCAUCGAAUAUUGGCUAGGAGGACAUUUGUCAGGUGUAUUAUAGUCUCCUGUGCAGCAGUACUGCGGCUGGUUAAAUGCCAAACACGCGCUCUUGCAGGCAAUCACAGUCCCAUCUGAACCCUUCACUUGUAAACUAGGAUCACAAACAGCAUUCACGUUAGCUGCACAGCUUGUAGAAGGGCAGCCAGUAGAACCUCCUUGCGGGGUUAUCGAAAUCGGGAUGUUAAAGCCAUCAACAAGGCUUAUAUCGUAAAAAUCUUGCCCACCACUACCGCUUAGAGUAAAUUCUGCCAAGGAUGCUGGUGGGAUCGCACCGGCUCCAUUGCAUUCUAUGACACCGGAGGCACAGUCAGCAGUAGCACAAACAAACUUUCCCGAGGCAUCUGUAGAGCAUUGCGUUCUGGCCCAAAAGCGGCCAGACCAAUUGACAGGGACACUCAGCGAAGAUGAAGCACCCGUUGCCAAUGUGAAGCCAGUUGAAGAUAAAGACGGACCGCGAUCAGCCGUUAGAGUUCCUGGCCAGACUGUGUAUGGACACUUGUUUGUGAAGUCGAAAGUCACAGAUUGAGCUCCUGCAUGCGUGCAAGCUGCGCAAGAUUUAUUUUUGUUGAUAUCAAUAGUUAAAUCUUGGUCGAUUCAAAGAUAACAUAAUUCAAUAUUUAAGAUCUUGUAUUAAUUCACUUAUUUUUCUUUUACAAAUAUAACAUAACCCAGGAUUUUUGUUUAAUAUAUUUUUUUUCUUUUUAGUUUUUUAUCUGGAAACUCCCUCCUGGAUAAGUUUAUUGGAUUCACGAAAUCCAUUGAAUAAUGAAAACUAAUUAAUAUUGCAUAUGCAAACAGAAAAUAUAUAUGUAGAAUAAUCAAAGUGAAUAAUAUGCAUAAUAGAGUUUUCCAUGCAAGAAUCUAAUAUUUGUAAUAUUGUAAAACUACUUGCCACAGAGGAAGAUGACGAGGGUGAAGGUAAUUAUAGCAAUGGGCACACGACUCUCCAUUGCCGAGAUGCGUCGAAUUAACACUUUUUCAGUAUCUUUUAAGAGAUUUGAGCUAAGCAAGAAACACUCUAUAUUUUAAAAAGAUUGUGUUUGCCACUUAAUAAAUAGUGUUAAAUUUGCAGACUAGUAAACAGCCAAACAGAGGAACCGUCUUCCACACGCACCGUCUCAUCCACGAUGACAUUUGAAAAUGAAUGCCAAAUUAUAAAAUUAUAAUUUAUUUAUAUUUAUAAAAAAAAAUUAUAAAAUUGGGUCUAUCACCUGAAGUGUGUGGAUACCGUCCAUGCACUGACCUGCACUCAUCAACUAUUUUUUAAUAUUAUUUUUACUUAUAAAAUUAUAAAAUUAGAAAUAAACCACCCUGGUAAAAAAAAAAAAAAAACCCCAAAGAAAUAUACAAAUGCCCUUGGUUUGAACCACAAGUGACUAACUAGAUAUCUCAAGAGGAACGCCCUGCUUCUCACGUCUAAUUGAAUAUUGAAUGUAAUACCGUUUCCUUGUUUGAACCACAAGUGACUAACUAGAUAUCUCAAUUGAUGAGAAAGCAGACUAGAAAACAGAGGCAGUUCUCCUCCAUCAUGUGCGACUGAGGAGCCGUGAUGAGUGCGAGACUCUUCAAAAUUGAUGAGAAAGCAGACUGGUCCCUGCUUCUGGAAUGAAUGGAAGUCUAGAAUUUUUCCAAAUCCAAUUGUCUAAUGAAUGUAACUCUGGAAUUAUUCCAAAUCCACAAGUUUCAUAAUGUUGUGUUGAUUGUGAGACAUUAUUUCAAAAACUGAAGGGGAAUAAAAUUGUAAAAAAUUCUAAUUUUACAAAUUAUUCCAAAUAAAAAAACAAUAAACAAAAUAAUAGGAAUGAAAUUCAAAAAAUAACAAAUUAAAGGCAUGCUUUGAAAUUUUGAAGGGCUACACAUAAAAAUCAAGAAAAAAAAAUAUUGUCGGCAACAAACCAAAAAAUAUUUGUCACACGCGCUGCCUCACCCACGGCAGUAAUUGGUCAACAAACAUUCUGAACGUGCCACUUGAAGUGUGCGGAUCGCCCAAGAACUAACCUGUACUCAUCAGCUACUUUUUUUAAACUAUUUUUUAAAAAAAUAAUAUUUAUAUUUAUUAAAUUAUAAAAUUGAAAAUAAACCACCCUGAUAAAAAAAAAAAAAAAACCAAUGAAGAUAUACGAAUGCCCUUGGUUUGAACCACAAGUGACUAACUAGAUAUCUCAAUUAAUGAGAAAGGAGACUAGCAAACAGCCAAUUAGAGGAACGCCCUGCUUCUCACGUCUAAUGAAUGCAAUUGAAUGCAGGAACAGGGCCAUACUCACAAGAAAAUUAAUUACACCCGACAUCCUACUUUCUAAGUGUAAAAGCUAUAUUUCUGUGUCUAGAAAUAUCAGGUAGAUUUUUUUAUGGAAAUAUCUUGUCAAUAAAUAUCAAAAUAUUUGAUAUAGAGCAUAUAUCUAAUUAUGUUUAAUAAAAUUUUUAUUUGAAUAAAUUUUUAUUUAACCAAAUGAUUAUCCUUGCCAAUAAAACGAUGUCUAUCCAGUAUAAUUUUUUUAUUUAAUUUAUAUUUCAAAAUAUUAUGAAAUAAGAAUGCUCUUACCCAAGGUUAAAGUUCAAGCACGGUAUGAGAAGGUGGAAAAAGAUGUUGAUAACUAUUGGGGUCAUAGGUUUUCCUUCUUUUUUUGUGUCUUUGGAAAAUAGAAAUGCAAAGGACUGUCACGGAGUUUUUCCAUACCAUGCUUGGGCUUUGGAUGUAUGUUUCCUUGACAUGAGAUGAUGGCUACCUUGCUUUGGAUCCCUUGUCAACGAUGAUGCUCGUUAAUGUUGGUACAACUAUAUUUCUCUUUUCUAAAGUUAAGUACUAGGUUGAUAUCUAGAAAUAGGUUUAUCACGGUUUUAAGAAUAUCAAACACGCUAUUAAGAAAAAUUGUAAGGGUUUUUUUUUUCCACUAAGGACAUGUGUGAUUAAUAUUCCCAAACCUAUUUUUUCAAAGCUUUUUUUUUUUUUUUGUGUUUUGUCAAACUAAUCUUAGUCUAAUUUUAAUUAUUUUUCAAGUUUGGAAGAGCAUUUUUGCAAUUAAUUUUUCAUUCUUUAUCCUUUUAUAUUUAAAAACAAGUUUAUUAAAUCCACAGGUAGAUGGCCUAAGUUUGAAAAACACUAAAACAUUUAACUUGUUUAUUUUAAUAUGAAUUAUGAGCUUAUACGUGAGAUUUAUUUUUGAUAUUGAAAGAAACAAAGGCAAAAAUAUGUUUUGGCUCUAUAAUGGCUAGGCUUCACCCAUAAAGCUAUUGGUUCACUUUACUGGGAUAGACUUGCUUUAAUCAAUAGACAAACCAAUGAUAAGAAAAAAAAACAACAGUGUCUUAGUAAUAAUCAGACAAAUAAACAAUACAGCUUAUCUUAGGUAUGAUGUACUAGGGGUGAUAAUAUCCAUCCUAUAUGUUGUACGUGUGCGGCGUCGCGGUGAUCGUCCACCAUCUCAAGGAAAAUGGAACGGUGUAUCCCUGGAAAAUGUGGAGAGACAAGGAAUUCCUUGUCUUUUAUCAGUAAAAUAUGGACUGGGAGUUGCCACCUAGUAUUCUGGUCAUUAGGAACCCUAACUGGUCUUAGAGAUCGAGUACGGAGACUGGUUGCGUAAAUGGAAGGUAUUAGCACCCCAACUACGCCCUACCUAAGGUAAGCUACAUUGUUUUCAUGUCUAAUAAAAUCUAAGUUCUUAUUGUGUUUUCUAAUUGUUGGUUUGUCUAAGCUUCAAGAAAAGCCCUUCUUAUUAAGAAGGUUCUUAUUUUAAUGGGGUAGAACCUAACUGUUCUAGUGUCUGAAAAAAAUUUAAUAUCUAGAAUACGUAUUACGUGUAAUGUCCUACCCCGGAUACUAAAAGCCAAACAAAAUAAAAAUUCUAUUUUUUUUGUAAUUUUGGCCAAUGUUCUCUUGACUUUAAAGCAAAAAUGCAUGCUAAAACAUUGUUUUUUGUGUAUGAAAAAAACAAUAUGAUUUUUUAGCUUUGAGACACUUGGUUGUAUGCACAAAAACAUUUUUUUUUCUUUUUUUUCAAUUUUUUUUGUAUUUUUGAAAGUUUUGACGAAAAUCAGGUAUUGUAAUACCGGAUUCGUAUUUUGUUUUUGAAAUGACAAAAUAAACAGACUCAGAUUAAACAAAACAAAGUAUAAAAAUACACGAAAAACUUACAAUUUUUCAAAGGCAUUUUUUUUUUAAAAAAAUUUGAAUUGGGUCGGACCCGACCCAAUUAUUUUUCUUUGGACUGGGCUGGGCCCAAAUAUUCAGCUGGGCCAAAAUUGGCCCAUCCAUGAACAGUGCUCUCCACUGUUUGUAGACUAAGCAAUGGAGGCAAGACGAAGCAGAAGAGAAAAAAAAGGAAGGGGGAAGGCUGACCUGCGGUGGCUGCUACCGUUGGUUGUGCUGCUGGAGGCGACAGGCGGCGACGCUGGUGGUGGCACUGGUGGUUUGUGCUGGCUCUAUAUUUUUUUCUUCUCUCUUUCUUCUGUUUUUCGUUCUCUUCUCUGCUUAUUCUUUUUUUCUUUCGGUAUUCCCCCUCUACUCUGCUCUCUCUUCUCCUCUCUCCUUUUUUUCUCUCCUUUUUUUUUUCUUGUUUUUUCCUGCUCUCUCUCUCUUACUCUGUUUUUCUUCUUUUUUUCUAUCCUUGUGUUUUUCUCCCUCUCCUCUCUGUUUUUUUUUCAUUGUCCUUGUGUCUCCUUUCUCCCCUUUAUUUAUAGGGGAGAAAGGAGGCCUACACCUCUGCCUAGUCAAUGGCGUAGGGUUGUAGGGUGGACGGGGCGGCCACUGUUCAGCCGCCCCUCUACCACCCUAGGGACACCUCUCGUCCCCUAAUUCUAACACGUGGAAAGCUGUUCAAGUGGAGGGGUCAGGUUGGCAUUUUUUUGGAAAGAGUUGGUGGCGGUGACAGAGGAAGAAAAAAUCUUCUUCUUGCCCUGCUUCGCGCGUCCAAGGGAAGAAGAAAACCCACAAUACCGUUCAAAACGACACCAUUUCGGCCUUUUUUUUGGUGAACAAGUAUUUAAAACGAUGCCAUUUUUCCCAAAACACGCCAUUUCAUUUAAAUGGGAAUUGGCACCAAAACGCGUCAGAUUUCAAAAUCAUGCCUUCAAUUUGCGUGUGUUUUGCAUUUUGGUCCUUGGUCUCGGAUUUCUUCAAUUAAGUCCCUAAUUGGCCAUCAAACUUCAAUAUUUAUGCAAUUAAGCCCCUUAUUUGACCUAAUUAAAUCUCAAAAAUUAUAUUUUGACCCCAGAAUUUUAAUUUCUUUCAAUUAAAGCCCAAGUUCACUCCAAAUCAAUUUUUCUUGCAAUCAAAACCUCCAUAAAUUCAAUUAAACCUUCAAUAAAAUUUAAUUGAGUCCAGAAACAACUGAUUUUGGACUUUUCUUCCUCAAAUUGAAUUUUCUUUGUCAACAAGGCUUUUAUCAGUCAAUAAAAUACUACUAAAUUUUGAUAUUUUUAUUUUUAAACCUCCUCUACCAAUUUUUGACCAAAUAGAGGAACACGUGAAAAUCAAGAAGAGAAAAAAAAAAGAAAAUGAAAAAAAAAAAAUGUUUGUAAUAACAACCAUCUUCAACCCGCACCGUCUCAUCCACGAUGACAUUUGACAAUUAAUGUCAAAUUAUAAAAUUAUAAUUUAUUUAUAUUUAUAAAAAAUUAAAUUAUAAAAUUGGUUUUGUCACCUGAAGUGCAUGGAGAUCAUACAUGCACUGACCUGUAUUCAUCAAUUAUUUUUUAAUAUUAUUUAAAUUAAUUAAAUUAUAAAAUUAGAAAUAAACCACCCAGAUAAAGAAAAAAAAACCAAUGAAAUAUACAAACGCCCUUGGUUUGAACCACAAGUGAUUAUCUAGAUAUCUCAAUUAAUGAGAAAGCAGAAUAGCAAACAGCCAAUUAGAGGAACGCCCUGCUUCUCUAAUUGACUAAAGAAUGUAACACCGGUGCCUUGUUUGAACCACAACUGACUAACUAGAUAUCUCAAUUGAUGAGAAAGCAGACUACUAAACAGCCAACAGUGGCGGUUCUCCUCCAGCAUUACACCGUGAUGAGUGCGAGACUCUUCAAAAUUGACAAGGAAUCAGACUGGUCCCUGCUUCUGGAAUGAAUGGAACUCCAAAUCCAAUUGUCUAAUCAAUGUAACUCUGGAAUUAUUCCAAAUCCACAAGUUUCAUAAUGUUGUGUUGAUUGUGAGACAUUAUUUAAAAAACUGAAGGGAGAAAAUUGUCAAAGAAUUAUAAUUUUAUAAAUUAUUCUAAAUAAAAAAACAAUAAUCAAAAGAAUAUGAAUCAAAUCCGAAGAAAUAAGAAAUUGAAGGUGUGCUUUGAAAUUUUGAAGGGCCACACAUAAAAAUUAAGGAGAGAAAAAAUAAAAAAUAAAAAUUAUCAGCACCAAACUAAAAAGCUAUCUGCCACACAUGCUGCCUCAUCGAUGGCGGCAAUGGGUCAACGAACAUCCCUGCAUGUGCCACCUAAAGUGUGCGGAAUUGCCCAUGCACUAACAUGUACUCAUUAACUAUUUUUUUAAUAUUAUUUUAUAUUUAUUAAAGUAUAAAAUUGGAAAUAAACCACCCUGAUAAAAAUAAAAAAAAAACGCAAUGAAAAUAUACAAACACCCUUGGUUUGAACCCCAAGUGACUAACUAGAUAUCUCAAUUAAUGAGAAAGCAGACUAGUAAACAGCCAAUUAGAGGAACGCCCUGCUUCUCACAUCUAAUGAAAGCAAUUGAAUGCAGGAAUAGGGCCAUACUCACAAGAAAAUUGAUUUAUACCCGACAUGGUACUUUGUAAGUGUAAAAGCUAUAUUUCUGUGUCUAUAAAUAUUAGGUAGAUUUUUUUAUGGAAAUAUCUUGUCAAUAAAUAUCAAAAUAUUUGAUAUUGCAACACGGUGCAUAUACCUAAUUGUAUUUAAUAAUGUUUUUAUUUGAAUAAAUUUAUAUUUAACCAAAUGAUUAUCCAUGUCAAUAAAACAAUGUCUACCCAAUACAAUUUAUUUAUUUAUUUUAUAUUUCAAAAUAUUAUGAAAUGAGCAUCACUUGCCUAUAUUUAUUUAAUUAAUUAAAUGAAAUGAAAUGAAAAAAUAUCUAUAAAAAGGAGAAAUGAAAAAAAAAACAACAAAUAAAAAUACUCGAGAUAUCCUGAGUCAUUUUCAAAAUAAGUGAAAAAUCUUAUAUCUUCACUGUUGGUACUGAUAUUUGUUAUCUUUUGGUCUACAUUGAUGAUAUUCUGCUUACGGGUAGCAACUCUCUUCUGCUCCAAUGCCUUAUACAGCUACUGAGCUUAGAAUUUAAGCUUCGCGACUUGGGUUAUGUUCAUUAUUUUUUAGGUAUUGAAGUUCAGCCUAUCGGUAUGGGUCUUAUGCUCCGAUAGCAUAAAUAUACACUUGACAUCCUCACUGAGGAUGGUAUGUUUUCUUGCAAACCUGUUGAUACUUCUAUCUCUACAUCCAAAGCUACCUUUUAGAUCCCUUAUUUUCUGAUGCUACAUGCUUUCAUCAAAUUUUGGGUGCUCUUCAAUAUCUCAUUUUUACAUGCCCAGAUAUUUGCUUUGCUAUUAACAGAGUCUGUCAAUUUAUGCAUGAUCCUACAUAUUCUCAUUGAGCUACCGUUAAAUGCAUGUUGUGUUAUCUUAGGGGUACGACAUCACAUGGCCUACAUAUUACUCGCUGAUUAGUACUUAAAAGUGUAUUUUUAUCAAAGUUUUAUAUCAUCAUUUUGCACUUGAAGUAUGAAUAAAUCCUUAACUAAAACAUGUUUUAUAAUAACAAGUCUGAUACUAUAAGUUAGCUUAAUUUAUGGUAAAUGUUCAUCUUAAAUACAGGCCUAUCACAUAAAUCAAAAGAUUGAUUGAUGAGUUUAACUACUGAAAUUGAAAAGACAAAGAGAGAGCCAAAUUUAGAAAAGAGAUGCUGGUUCAAUCCAAACUGGAAUACUGUUCGGUCAUUGAGUCAUAUCUGGAGCUAUACAUAUUGGAUUUAGGCCUGCUCUAUAUGGAUGGAAAGCUAAGACAUAAGCCUUAGACUUUCAUGGAAGUCCAUGAUUUAAAAAGGCCAUUUUCAAGUCCAAAUUGUAGCAACUGUAUGGUAUAACCGAUAACUGUAUGGUAUAAACAAUUUAUAAUCCGAUUGGAACCUCCUUUGUAUCUGGUUUCCAGUUUAGUAAUAAGAGUUUAUACUAUACUUGUUUGAAAUACCAUUAGUGGAUCCUCUAACCUUGACAAUUGUUUUUAUCAUUGUUUAAUCCUUAUAUUAAUAUCACAUCUCAAAGCUCUCUUCAACUUAUUGUUAUUAUUAUUCUUGUUGUUGUUGUUGUUACUAUUACUAUUACUAUUAUCAUUUAAAAUUUAUAUAGUUAACCUCCAUAUGGUUCGACCCCGAUCUUGCCAGGUUAUUUAUUACUUCGACACUCCUACACUUGGAAGAAGACAUCAAUCUUUUGGUCGUGUUACUCACAGUUCUUCCUUUGCCUUACAUGGUUUUAUAGAUGGAAAUUGGGCAGAUAGUGUUGAUGAUAGAAAAAAUCAUGGGUGGUUAUCUUGUGUUCUUUGGUCAGAUGUCGACUUUGUGGAAAUCAGGUAAGCAAUGUACAAUUGCUCGCUCUUCUACUGAAGCUGAGUACAAAGCCUUAGCCGAUGACACUGCUGAGGUUAUCUGGCUUCGGUAUUUAUUAACAAAUCUCCAGAUUUUGUUUGCUUCUGCUCCUUUCAUCUGGUGUGACAACCUUGGUGCCACUUAUUUGUCUGCGAAUCCUGUUUUUCAUGCUUGCACAAAACAUGUUAAGGUUGAUUAUCAUUUUGUUCGAGAUAGAGUUGCGAAGAAGAAGAUUCAGAUUCAUUUUAUUUCCUCUCGGGAUCAACUUGCAGAUGUCUUCACUAAGCCACUUCCUACAGCUUCAUUUACUAUUUUUCGGUUCAAGUUUCGGGUUGAUCCUCCACCCUCAGCUUGAGGGGGCAUAUUAUAGAAUGUACCUAUAUAGGAAAUAUUAUAUAUAGAAAAUAUUGUAGUCAUACUCUUGUGUGGUAACCUCCACCCUUACUAUUGUAUAUUGCCAUACACAUGUAUAUAGAGAAGGUUGGCUAACCAAUAGGUUAAACCUCCUAAUUAUUCUAACUUUCACUACAUCUACUUAGUACAUAUAAGUUGAAGGAUUGGUACCUUGACCAAUGAACUAAAAAUAUCGUUAAUUGAUAAUGAAUGGCAUACAGUCUUACCAUAUCAACAACAUGAAAAUUGAUAAAGAUCCUUUUGGGAUAUGUCAAUCCCAAAUCUAUUAUUCCAUUUAUUUAUUAACUAUCAUAAAAACAUUUAUUAAAUGUGCUGUCCUCCAACUCUUUCCAUGAAAAGAAAAGGUAAUGUUUUUACCGACAACAUCACCGACGGAAACCCUUUGUCACUCCCCUACCCCUUAUAAAUACCCCCUCACCACGCAGUGAGUAGGGAGAAAAAAAAGGGGAUGACAAGUGUCGCAUGUCAAAAUCUGCACGGCGUCUAAUGGCAAUUUUUCGUUUUGUUUUGCUGAUUUGGUUCUUUGGAGUUGCCACCUAGUAUUUUGUUUACUAGGAACCCUAACUGGUCUUUCAUAGAUUCUAAGGCAAGGGACUGAUUGCGUAAAGGGAAGGUAUUAGCACCCCUAGUACGCCCUACCUAAGGUAAGCUGCUUGGUGUUUGGUUUGCUCUAUAAUUGCUAUGGUGUUGGUGUUUUCUAAUCCCAUCAAUUUUCCUAGGUUUGAUUCAAAUAAAAUUUAUUUGGAUAGAAAUCCAAGGAGAUUCCAUGUACUUUGAAAGCUCAUUUUUCCCUUAGUAUUUCAAGAGUUUGCGACUCGUAAAUCGCAAGGAGGAGGGACAAAAAAAUUUAGAAAUCUAGGGCCCUAAAAAAACCCUAUUUUUUAGUAUUUUAUACUAUCACGGCUCGUAAACCAUGGAAUUGUUUUUUGAAAUGUCAAUUAGAAUCAAGGCUUCUUUCAAGGAUGUGUGUGGAUUUAUUACUCCCAAUAAUAUUUUGGAUAUUCGUCCUUUAAGGAUUUCUUUAUCCAAACAUUAGCGGUGAAUAAUAGAUGAAUUCCCCCUACCCAGUUUUACAAACAUGUUGUAAAAUCCAGAAAUGCAAGAAAAAACAAUUUUUGUUGUGUUUAAGAAAUCCAUGCGAAAACACAUGUUUCAAAACUUUCAAUAUUUUUUGUAUAUAAAAAAAAAACAUUCGAAACAUGUUAGGGUAUUGGCCGUAUGCAUGAAAACAAAACAUUAUUUGUUAAUAAACAUUUUUUUUUGUUGACGAAAACUAGGUAUUUUAAUACCGGAUUUGUAUCUUUACAGUAUAAAAAUACAAACCGAUAUUGAUCAAAAUACAGUAAUAAAAUUAUAGAAAAGUCACAAAUUCUUUGAAAUAUUUUUUGAUGAAUUUUUAUUUAUUAUUUAUUAUUUAUUUUUUUUGGCUGGGCCCACAUGUGAAUAGUAAAAUAGCAUUUCACUGUUCAAGUGAAUUAUAUUUCACUUGAACAGUGAAAUGCAAGGAAAUGCACAGCGACGAAGGGGGGCAAACCUGGUGGCGGUGGAGAGGAAGUGUUGUGUUCCUGGUAGUGUUGGUGUCGCGGCGGAUGGCUGUGACAGUGGUCAGUGACUGAGGAUGACGGUGUGCUUCCGGUGAUUGCAGUGGUGGAGGCCGGCGUUGGCUACGGGAGGAAGAUGAAAAAGUUGCAGAGGAGAGAGAAACAUUGGAAGUAAAGGAAGAAAUCUGCAAAAAUUGGGCGAAAAUGCUGGUUUUUGGCUGACUUUGGACCCGAUUUUCUCCCCCCUCAGACCAUCAAAUCCGACUCUAUUUAUAGGCUCGAGCGGACAAUUCUCGGGGAUAGAGGGGUUUCAGGUGGCCAUUUUGGUGCAUGAGUUGUCAAUUUUGGGGAACAAACGAGGCAUUAAACGCGCCUCCAAAAGGGCUACCCGGACAGCUUCACGGGGAAGAUGAUGAACAAUAACCACGCGAUUUUUUCAAUUUAGUCCGCGUUCUUUCAAAUUAGUUCAAUGGAACCCCUAAUUGACCCUAAACCUUUGAUUUAAUGCAAUUUUGGCCCCUAAUUUCAAUCAAUUAACUUGGUAAAAAUUAAAUUUGGUCUCUUAAAAUUCCAAUCUUCUUAAUUAAGCCUAAAUUAGGCUCCCAAACUUAAGUUUUCACCAAUUAAGCCCCAAAUAAAAUUAAUUUGACCCACUUAAAGUAUAAUUAAGUCCUUGCACUUAAUUAAAUCCUUAAAUUGGAUCCAAAUUAAUUCUUAAACAUAAUUAAAAUUUAAUUUGGCCCAUGAUUAAAUCAAAUUGGCCUAUUAAAAAUUUAAUUAUGUCAUUGACCUUGAAUUUGCAUUUUUCUCGAUUUUUGGGCAUGAUGGGGUACAAUUAGGCCUUGGAUUUCCUCCAAAAUUGCAGCUUGAUUGCACAAUUUGCUUUCUCCACAUUGCCAGCCUUUAUUUUAUUUUUUAUUUUAUUUUAUUUUAUUUGUGGGGUGUACCCAAAAUGGGUUACAACAGAUGCCCCCUCUUUAUAAUGCUUACGGAGCAGGGGUUUUACGCAGUACGUUUUAUAAAGAUAAACCAAAUUGAACUCCCGAAACUGAUCUGGUCGCAGCUUGAUCGAUCUGAAACUUUGUCUUUAGAACAAUCCUCCUCAGCCCAAAAAACUAUGAUAAAAAUUUAGUCAUCUCGAGCUCCCUAUCCAGGGAUCCUCUGAAUUCUAACUUCAGUUUGAUUAACAUGGAAUUCCAUCCGAGAUCCCUUCUAGCAAUCUCUAAAAAGUUAUAUUUGUAGUUUGGCUAACCUGAAAUCCCAUCUGGCGAUUUCCCUUAGCCAAACUAAAAUCGGUAUUACGGUUGGGUUAACCUGAGAUCCCUUCUGGCGACCUCCUUAAACCAAAAUCUGUAGCUUACUCAACUUGGAAUCCCAUCUGGUGACCUCCUUAAACCAAAAUUUGUAGCUUACUCAACUUGGAAUCCCAUCUGGCGAUUCCCUUUUAACCAAAAUGAAAUAUGAGGUCCCUUCUAGCAACCUCCUUUGACCAAUAUCGAAAUACGAGAUCCCUUCUGGCGAUCUCCUUUAACCAAUCAACUUGGAAUCCCAUCUGGCGAUUCCUUUUUACCAAAGCUGAAAUAUGAGGUCCCUUCUGGCAACCUCCCUUGAUGAAUAUCGAAAUACGAGAUCCCUUAUAGCGAUCUCCUUUAACAAAAAAUCUUGGAAUCCCAUCUGGCGAUUCCUUUUAACCGAAGCUGAAAUAUGAGGUCCCUUCUAGCGACCUCCUUUGACCAAUAUCGAAAUAUGAGAUCCCUUCUGGCGAUCUCAAUCAACUUAGAAUCCCAUCUGACGAUUCCUUUUAACCAAAGCUGAAAUAUGAGGUCCUUUCUGGCGACCUCCAUUGAUGAAUAUCGAAAUACGAGAUCCCUUCUGGCGAUCUCCUUUAACAAACAAUCUUGGAAUCCCAUCUGGCGAUUCCUUUUAACCAAAGCUGAAAUAUGAGGUCCCUUCUGGUGACCUCCUUUGACCAAUAUCGAAAUACGAGAUCCCUUCUGGCGAUCUCAAUCAACUUAGAAUCCCAUCUAGCGAUUCCUUUUAACCAAAGCUGAAAAUAUGAGAUCCCUUCUAGCGAUCUCCUUUAAUCAAAAACCAAAAAAUCUAUUUUGUAAAUCGGUCAACCUGGAAUCCCAUCUAGCGAUUCCCUUUUAUCGAUUGCUAUCGAUGUCGUUCUUCCUAAUGGCAGGGUUUAAAAAUUAUUAUUUUCUCUUCUCGUUGUUCUAGAAUCAAAACUUUGAUUCUUUGCUAUCAUCAACUCAAUGAUUCUUUCUUCGUCCACAAUCUUGUUGGAAUGCACUAAGGACUCCUCCUGUAACGAUCCAAAAAAAAAAUACAUGCAAUGGUUUAUGAUUAGAUGCCAUGCAUGCAUUUGUACCUGGUUUUGAAACAUAGGCCCCAUCAUCUUCUUCUAGUUCAUGAGACUCUCUCUUAACAUGAGCUUGCUUUUAAAGUCGUAUGCUGGAUUCAUCUCUCGUGUUGCCUCUUUUUACCUAUCAUAUCUUGGGGAAGAAGUCUUUGACUUUUUACAGGUAGCUAUUUUUCAAAAUGUAUGGCUUGUUAUUGCUUCUUUGUCAUGCUUUUGUCAAAUGCUUUAGCCUGGUUUUCAAAUCUAUAGGCUUCCGUCCAGUUUCAAACACGUAAAACUUGUCAUAAAAACAUCUCUUAUUGCCCCCAGUGUAGGGGUGUGAUCCUAGUCUAGGUUUUUAUAUAGAGAAGAAAUUCAUUUAGCCAAUGAUAAACUUUUUAGUGAGUGAUGCGAUAACAACAAGAAAUGCACUGUUGGGAUUAAUGCAAAAAUGAUUGUUGUGAGAUCAAUGCAAAAAAAGAAACAAGUCAAUGGGCAAACUUUGCUUUAUUGAUUUAGAAGCCUACAUCAAGCAUAAUAUCUUUUUACAGAGUCAGAAUUCACAGGUCGAGCUAGGUCUUCUCCAUCCAUUCUAGCCAACUUUAGCUCUCCUCCUGAGAAUGCCUUCUUUACUACGCAAGGACCCUCGUAAUUUGGUGCCCAUUUGCUUUGAUCGUCUCCGGGUAACGACAAUAUUUUCUUCAAUACUAGAUCCCCUUCUUGAAACAACCGCGGUCUAACCUUUUUAUCAUAUGCCUUGGACAUUCGUUUCUGAUAAAGUUGGUGAUGACAUAUUGCAGCCAUCCUCUUUUCACUGAUCAGGUUCAGUUGCUCGUGUCUCACUUUGGCCCACUCGGCUUCUUCUAAUUCGGAAUCCAUCAACACUCUUAACGACGGGAUUUCCACUUCCAAAGGCAUCACUGCCUCCAUACCGUACACCAGAGAAUAUGGGGUAGUCCCUGUCGAGGACCUGACUGUAGUGCGGUAUGCAUGAAGAGAAAACGACAACAUCUCAUGCCAAUCUCUAUAUGUGACUACCAUUUUCCGAAUAAUCUUUUUGAUGUUCUUAUUGGCAGCUUCUACUGCACCAUUCAUUUUUGGUCGGUAUGGUGAGGAAUUCGAAUGCUUGAUUUUCCAUUUAGUACACAGCUCCAUUAUCAUUUUGCCAUUGAAAUUCUGUGCAUUAUAUGUCACUAUCCUUUCUAGAGGACCAUAUCGGCAAAUCAAGUCCUUUUCUACAAACUUCUUCACUACCUUUUGUGUUAGGUGGGCAUAUGAAUUAGCUUCCACCCAUUUUCUGAAGUAGUCAAUAGCUACGAGGAUGAAUCUGUGACUGGCCUACAACCGGAGCUGGUCAAGUUCUGCCUUGACCUUGAUCCAGACAUCCGGGUGGGCCCUCCUCAGCUUCUGUGAUAUCUUCAUAGGACCAAGCAAAGACAUCUGAAUAUUCUUGUAAUAGGGUGAUCAUCUUUGUUCAAAAGUAAUUAAGGUACCUAUUUUCAACUCUUUCUUUAGCUGACCACUGCCCACAUUGAUGGUUUCGAGUUCCUUGGCGGCAGGCUUCCAAGUCUGUUCCUGUUAUUCUACUAGCCUGGUGAAUUCACUGAUAUUGCUUUCAUCCCACUCUUUUUCUUCCGUAGCUAUCACAUGCUCGUUCAAGUUUGGCCAAUUAUUCUUGAUGCUAAAUGUAUGUGAUGUUGUAGGAGAUCCGCUUUCAGGAUUCCUGAAAGCGGGAAGUGCUUGGUGUAAAUGCAUAAAAAACAAUUUUGAAAAGUGCAUGAUCUCAUCAUUUAUUUAAAGAAAAAGGUGAGCUCAAAGACAAACACAAAAUCUAGCUGACAUCAUGAUCUUGAUUGUCAACUAGAGAAAAAAAAAGCAAAGAAAGCAAUGACAAAAGCAUGUUUAGGCAAACACGGUUGGUGUACAUUUUAAAAACUACUGGAGCUUCUUGGGUCACCCAGUUCUGAAACUUCUCAUCCUGAGCCAACUUGCUCACAAAGGUCUUGGCAGAGACUUCUUCUAGUGUGUGGACAACCAGUUGUGGCAGUGCUUCAUCUUCCUUCCGCACCUAUGUUUUCUUGUCAACUCCUUUGAUCUCACCUUCUUCCAUCAUUGACAAUUCUUGACCAAGGUUUUCCAAUCCUUUAUCCACUAUUACUUGCGGCAUGACUCGGCAAUGGAUUUGAAUUGAUAUUGGGAGUGUCUUCAAAUGACACCCAUCCUAUCUUGAUGAGCUCCAACAACCUUUUCUUGAAAGCGUAGCACGUUUCAAGACCAUGGCCGGGGAUACCAGUAUGGUACUCGCAAGUCAACUCGGGCUUGUACCAGAUGGGGAAUGGUGGUUGUAGUGGUAAUGUGGGGAUAUGAGCUAUUUGUCCAAUGCUCAGUAGUUUGGCAUACAUGUCCUUCAAAGGCAUUGGUAAGGGCGGUAGUUGAAUAGAAAUGUAUCUUGUGUUUGGUCUUUGGUCUUUGUUUUGGUUGUUUGACUGGUUAUUUACUCGAUUAGGGGAAAAAGGUUGGUCAAAGUUUAUGUGUGAGAAUUGAGAGGUAGGUACUUGUGGAUUAUGAGAAUCUACUCUCUUGCCCUUAUACCCACCUUCCAAGUUGUUAAUAUCGCCUUCUCUUUUUCUUCCAAUAAAACCCUUCUUUUCCAACGGCAUCACUAUACGCCCAGCUUUAAUCCCUUGCUCUAUCCUUUCAGCUAUGCGUACCGCAUCAUAGAAAUGUUGAGAGCAGCUACCCAUUAAGUGCUCAUAAUAAGGUGCCUUGAAGGUAUUGGCAAUCAAGCUCACCAUCUCUGUUUCUAUCAAAGGGGGUUGGACAUGCAUUGCCUCAUCCCUCCACCUUUGUGCAUAAGCCCUUACUGACUCUUGGCUCCUUUUCUCCAUUGACAUUAGACUUGUUCGAUCAGGAGCGAUUUCCAUGUUAAACUUGUACUGCUUAAGGAAAGCCUCUACCAAGUCUCUCCAGCUCCUGAUCCUGACACUAUCUAACCUCAUGUACUAGCUCAAAGCGGACCCUACGAGGCUAUCCUGAAAGAAAUAGAUUAGCUGUUUAUCAUCGUGAAUUACUUCUGCCAUUUUAUUGCAGUAGGAUCGAAGGUGAGUGUUUAGGCAUUCCAAACCAGUGUACUUAAUGAACUCUGGUAUCCUAAAAUCUUUUGGCACCACGAUGUUUGGUACCAAACACACCUUAGCUGCUCGCAUGGGGUCAAACCAGUCAUUACCCUCAACUGCCCUUAAUCUUUCUUCCAAGGCAAACAACUUGUCCUGGUCCAUCAAAUUAGGAGACCUAUUAUCCGGGAUUCCCUCCAUUGUUAAGUCAACAGUGAUUGGAGCCUGAGUUGGUUGGAUAGGGGUAGUAGACACAAAAUGUUGUUCAUUGGCCGAGUUUGCCCCCUAGUUUUGAGAUGCUUGAGGGAUGUGAGCUGCUGGCGCUCCUUCAGGUGGUUGUGCUGACGUUCCCUCCCCGUUCUUAGCUCUCAAAAGUUGCUCGAGUAGGUCGAUCAUCCUAGCAACUUCAUUUUUUACGGAUUCUAACCCGGUCUGAUAGUGUGACUCUAAGUGAGCUCUUUCUUCGUUCUCCAUCCUUGAUCUGGACCGGGUUUGGCGGAUUCUGGACGUAGGACCUAUGUUUCACAAUCUGCAGAUGCGUGCAUAGAUGUAUGAGAAAAAUGCAUGAUUGUGAUAAGAAUGCUUUGUUCAUUGGGUAUGGAUGCAGCCUUCUUGUGAACGAAUAAUAGCCAUCACAUUAUAAGCAUAGUUUCUCUUGUCACAUUGCUUUGAUAAGAGUUCUGCCUUUCGAGUCGUUUGCUUGAAUCAUAUUCACCAAAAGACAGAUUUUGCAUAAGAAGAUGGGUCAACGCCCUUUUCAUUAAUGCUUGAUAAAUUUAUUACAUUUAGAAAUAAAAAGAAAUACAACAUGUUAAUCCCUUUCCUCCAUAAACUCUUUAGCCAAAUGUAAGAAGGCAAAGCCGUGGUUCUCAAUCUUCCCUAGAAAGGCAUCGAUUUCAGCUAGGCUUCGGCGAUAGCGAAUGAUGUCUCCUCCCAUAUUCCGCACAUUGAUUCUAAUAAUUCGAGCAUGUGCAGCAGCUUCGUCCAUUUGCUCAUCUGUCUUGGUCAUUUUUUUCUGUGAGCAACAUGUUGGUUCUGUUCAAAGCAAUGUUGUUGACGUCGAUUUGAUCCUUGUGUUUUUCCAUUGUUACUAGCUUCUCGUCUAAAUACUUUACUUUUUCACGUUCUUUGUCAAGUUUUAUCCUCAUAACUUUUAUCUCAUUCUUCUUAACCGCUAACUCUGCUUCAACAUCCUCGAAACCUCUCCUUUUACUUUCUUCUUUUACAAUCCCUGUAGAACGGAUUUCCCACUCCAUAUAUUUCUUAUUCAAAUCCUCAUACUUCCCAAUCCUAUCCAUCAGUUCGAACUGCACUUGCACAAAUUUUUCUUGGUAGUAUUCUGCACUUUCUUGGCAAUCGUUAAAGUGCAUCUCCAUUGCUUCAAGUUUAGAGCAACUUUGCAUCCAAUCCAAACUCAUUCCAACUAGCUCCUUCUCACUUUCUUUCCUAGCACUCUUCUCCUCACCUAGCUUUACCUCAAGCUUUGUUAUUUUCGCAUCUCUAGACUGUAUUUGCUCAUCUAGAAAUGCUCUCCUUUUAUCCUCUUCUAGCAUCAUUUCUUCCAACAUUGCCUUGUCUUUUCUGCUUUUGCCCAACUCUAUUCGAAGUUUUUCCACUUGCCUUCUCAACUCAUCUUCAUUGUUAACCCUUUUUCUCUUAAUAGGCUCUUCUGUAGCUUUAGGAGAUUUGGCUUCUACACAAGGCAUGGCUGAAGCAGCUAAGUCUCUCCAUUUUUCAUAUCCUUCGCUUGCACUUGGAUCUUUUAAACCUUAUAUCUCAACCAAAACCAGAUGCUUCCAAUCUUGUUUGAUGAUCUCCAAAACCUUUUCUGCAAUGGGAUCUUUGAACAAACCAAAGAAUUGAGCAAUUCCUAUAGUCCUGGGAACAAACUGCAUGCCCCCAAGUUGCCUUACCACUAAGGCAGGAGCAUAACUCGCAUAACCUGUAAUCCCUACUAAUGGUACCCAACGUCUUUGUCCACAACUCAUUAGGACCUUCACUGUCGUUACCCAUAGGGCUCUCCACUUAAAAUCACUAUUAGGCAAACCUUUUAAUUUGUCAACCUAACCUUGGUUGUCUAGAUCUCCCCAUUCUUCUUCUUCUACUAACUUUAGGGGUCUUUGGGUGAACCACCAAAAAUGAUUGAAGAUAGGCUUUUUUGUUUCGAUAUGGCUAACCAUCCAAAUAUACAACAAUUGUGUGCAACAACUCAUUGCUCCUUUUCCGGUCCUCCUACAAUGGUUAAGUGUCAAGAUCGUUUCAGCUAAAAUAGUAGCCACUGGAUUGAUUUGUGUAUUCUCAUACUCUACAUAAGCAGCAGCGGCCUCCAAACUCACUAAACCAGUCUGGCUUGGGAACAACACAAGGCCAAAUAUACCCAAAGCAAUCAAUCUCUUUUUCUAAUCCUGACUUCUUUUCCAAUUCAAAUUCUAGCAUCCUCCAUUUCAAACCGGUACCAUUCUUUUCUAAAAACUAUUCCAAGUUGGAGAUUAUGAGCAAUUUUGACAGUUCAGGGAUGAUCUUGCCAGAUCUCAAAGGCAAAUAAAUCCGAUACAGGUCGUUUGGAAACUCGGUCAACAAUCCAUAUUCCUCAACCGUGGGACACAGGUCUAUGCUUCCAAAGGAAAAACAUCGGUAGUCUAGAUCCCAAAACUGAACUAAAGCUCGCACAGUUGGGCUUAAAACUUCUACCCUUGCUAUUUCCACCAAACGUCUGUAUUUCCUAAAAAAUGCAUUUUAUCUACAUUCUGAAAAUGAGUCGUUAAUUUGUUCACCUCAUUCAUAAUGCAAUUCAGGUUCUUGAUUGGUGGCAUCUUCUUAGCAUCGCUUCUAAGGCAGUCUCCUUUAGUCAAUUGUGACAGUUCAGAAUUUUUCCCAUACUCUACGAUGGAGGAUUUAGUGAUGAUGGCCAUUUCGUUCACAAGUCCUGCAAUUCAAAAUGCGUUGGGGUUAGACUUGUUUUGAUGCAAAAGAUAUUAUGGAACAUACACCCUAAGGAUAGGUUCUAGUUCCUUUACGUGAGACAUAGGGUAGGUUUACUACUGGGUCUCUAAAAAGAGGGUCUCUUGCUGUUCCAGUGAUCACCCUCGUAAAGGAAAUAUGGGGGUCCAGUAGAUAGUGGAAUGACACGUGUACCAAUCACAAUCAGUCUAAACACUCAGCAAAGAGUUGGGGUUUACACAAACUUAAACCUUGACUCAAGUCAUAAGGCAAGCUGCUAGUUCCCCACUUAACUUAAAGUUACAUGUGUGUGCCCUCAAAAACAUAAUAAUAAUAAAGUGAUGCAUGACUAUACCAUGUAUGAUAGAAUGUAAGGAUGCAUACUAAAGCUUUUAAACAAAGUAUCAUUCAUAUAAGAAAACAAAAACCAAUAACACAUAGCAUGAACAAACAAAUUAUCAAGCUUAGUCCUAAUUCCCCAGUGGAGUAGCCAUUCUGUCGAACGUCAAAAUCUGUGCGUCGUCCGAUGUCGAUUUUUCGUUUUGUUUUGUUGAUUUGGUUCUUUGGAUUCGCCACCUAGUAUUUUGGUCACUAGGAACCCUAACUGGACUUUUAGAGAUUCUAAGGUAAGGGACUGGUUGCGUAAAGGGAAGGUAUUAGCACCCCUAGUACGCCCUACCUAAGGUAAGCUGCUUGGUAUUUGGUUUGCUCUAUAAUUGAUAUGGUGUUGGUGUUUUCUAAUCCCAUCAAUUUUCCUAGGUUUGAUUCAAAUAAAAUUUAUUUGGAUAGAAAUCCAAGGAGAUUCCAUGUGCUUUGAAAGCUCAUUUUUCCCUUAGUAUUUCAAGAGUUUGCGACUCGUAAAUCGCAAGGAGGAGGGGCAAAAAAGUUUAGAAAUCUAGGGCACUAAAAAAAACCCUAUUUUUUAGUAUUUUAUACUCUCACAGCUCGUAAACCGUGGAAAUUUUUUUUGAAAUGUCCUCGAUUACAAUCAAGGCUUCUUUCAAGGAUGUGUGCGGAUUUAUUACUCCCAAUAAUAUUUUGGAUAUUCGUCCUUUAAGGAUUUCUUUAUCCAAACAUUAGCGGUGAAUAAUGGAUGAAUUCCCCCUACCCAAAAUAAGAUUUUUGUAUUUUUUGGAAUAUUGGCCGAUACCCUUUUGGAGUUUUACAAACAUGUUGUAAAAUCCAUAAAUGCAAGAAAAAACAAUUUUUGUUGUGUUUAAGAAAUCCAUGCAAAAACACAUUUUUCAAAACAUUCAUUAUUUUUUAUAUAUAUAUAAAAAACAUUCGAAACAUGUUAGGGUAUUGGCCGUAUGCAUGAAAACAAAACAUUUUUUUUUGUUGACAAAAACCAGGUAUUUUAAUACCGGAUUUGUAUCUUUACAGUAUAAAAAUACAAACCAAUAUUGAUCAAAAUACAAUAAUAAAAUUACAGAAAAAUCACAAAUUCUUUGAAAUAAUUUUUGAAGAAUUUUGUUUUUUUUUUUUUUUUUUGGGCUGGACCGAGCUGGCCCCACACGUGAAUAGUGAAAUAGCAUUUCACUGUUCAAGUGAAUUAUAUUUCACUUGAACAGUGAAAUGCAAGGAAAUGCACAGCGACGAAGGGGGGCAAACCUGGUGGCGGUGGAGAGGAAGUGCUCUGUUCCUGGUAGUUUGUGGAGGCCGGCGUUGGCUACGGGAGGAAGAUGAAAAAGUUGCAGAGGAGAGAGGAACGUUGGAAAUAAAGGAAGAAAUCUGCAGAAAUUAGGCAAAAAUGCUGGUUUUUGGCUGACUUUGGACCCGAUUUUCUCCCUCCUCAGACCAUCAAAUCCGACUCUAUUUAUAGGCAGUGGAAGAGAGCAAUCUUGUCUACGUUGGAGAAAAAUUGCAGCCCUUGAUUCAGUUGGGAAGCAUCUCGACCGUUGGCUCAAAGUGUGCACCUCGAGCUGCCAAAUUUGGCAGCUCCAGGCUGUGAACUGCCCGAGGUGGCCACUUUGAGCCACUCAACGGAGCCGUUUCGGCAUUUAUAGGCUCGAGCGGACAAUUCUCGGUGAUAGAGGGGUUUCAGGUGGACAUUUUGGUGCAUGAGUUGUCAAUUUUAGGGAACAAACGAGGCAUUAAGCGCGCCUGCAAAAGGGCUACCCGGACAGCUUCACGGGAAAUAUGAUGCACAAUAACCACGCGAUUGUUUCAAUUUAGUCCGCGUUCUUUCAAAUUAGUUCAAUGGAACCCCUAAUUGACCCUAAACCUUUGAUUUAAUGCAAUUUUGGCCCCUAAUUUCAAUCAAUUAACUUGGUAAAAAUUAAAUUUGGUCUCUUCAAAUUCCAAUCUUCUUAAUUAAGCCUAAAUUAGGCUCCCAAACUUAAUUUUUCACCAAUUAAGCCCCAAAUAAAAUUAAUUUGACCCACUUAAAGUAUAAUUAACUCGCACUUAAUUAAAUCCUUAAAUUGGAUCCAAAUUAAUUCUUAAACAUAAUUAAAAUUUAAUUUGGCCCAUGAUUAAAUCAAAUUGGCCUAUUAAAAAUUUAAUUACGUCAUUGGACUUAAUUUUUAUGCAAAUUCAUCCAAUAAUCAUUUAAUAUGACCUUGAAUUUGCAUUUUUCUUGAUUUUUGGGCAUGAUGGGGUACAAUUAGGCAUUGAAUUUCCUCCAAAAUUGCAGCUUGAUUGCCCGAUUUGCUUUCUCCACAUUGCCAACCUUUAUUUUAUUUUUUAUUUUAUUUUAUUUGUGGGGUGUACCUAAAAAUGGGUUACAACAAUAAGAACAAAAGAAAGGAGGAGGUACGGAAAAAUAGAAAGUAUGAGGGAAGGAAAAAAAAGAAAUAGAAAAAGAAAAGAGAAUAGAGUUUGUUAGGCCAAAAUCAGCCUAACCCCUAUUUUGGGUUGAUAUUGGACCAAGUUUGUUGGGCCAACCUCGGCCUAGUUUGUUUGGGCCAAAUCUCGGCCCAACUAGGGUGCGUUCAGCCCACAUCAUUCGGUUGGGCCCAACCCAAUAUAUUUUUAUAAAAUAAUAUUAAUAUUAUGUAUUAUUCAAAAAAACAAAAAGUUCUAAGAAUUUUCAAAAAACUUUUCAAAACAUUUGUGAUUUUCUCGUGUAUUUUUCUAUCAAUUUUGAUUAAUAUUGGUUUAUAUUUUUAUAUUGUAAAAAUACAAAUCUGGUAUUAAAAUACAUAGUUUUCUCUGAAAUGUUGUAUAUAUAUUUGGGAAACAAAAAAAAUGUUUUUUUUCAUGCAUACGACCAAGUCUCUCAAAAUAUAAAAAAAUAUUUCAUAUCGUAUAAUCAUGCAAAAUAAAAUUAAAACAAAAAAAGCAUUAGGAUGCAUUUUGAGCUUUAAUAACUAGUUUAUUAAAGCCACGAGAAUUAGGUCUAUAUUUCAAAAAUACCAUAAAAAUAUUUUGUUUUCUUUUAGUAUCUGAGAUUACAAAUUUUUAUAUAUAGACAUUAGAAUGGUUAGGUUCUUACCUGAUAAGAUUAGAAUCUUCUUACUGAGGAGAUCUUUUCUUAAACCAUAGACAAACCAACAAUUAGAAAACACAACAAUGCUCUAGUUAUAUUAGACAAUCAAACAAUGUAUCUUACCUUAGGUAAGGAGUAUUAGGGGUGUUAUUACCUUCCAUUUAUGCAACCAGUCUUCGUGUCCAAUCUCUGAGACCAGUUAGGGUUUCUAUUGAUCAAAAUACUAGAUGACGACUCUCAUUUUUUUCCCCACUAAUAAAGGACAAGAAUUCCUUAUUCUAUCCAUUUCCCCACACCACAUGCCAAUAUGGAAUUUCAUGAGGACAUUUUCCACGAUGUUGCAUCAUGUACGACAAUUGAGAAAGGGGAUGGUUGGAUUUUGGUCUCGACUUGAGUUGUUUUGGUUGUGAUAUUGGUGAUCGAUGUUGCUGCUAUCAUUAUUAGUGUAUGUCAUUGCCAACUGCUAUUAGUGGUCAGAGGGAGUAGUUGUUGUUGUUCUAGGAUUCAAGAAACAAUACACCUAAAAGGAAGGUGAAUUAAUAUUUCACUAAUAAUAACAAAUAUUGAAAUUGAUUCAAUUAAACAUAAUUAACUAACAAUAUAAUUAAAUUGCAUAAAGUAAAGUGUAAAGGGAUAGGAAUUAUAAAUUCAGUUUUUAACAUGGUUUGGCAAGUCUAUAUCCACACCUCAAGCACCCAAAUUGAUCUUGUGUAUUUUGUUCUUUCACUAGUCCAAGUUGAAGAUUGCAAUUGUCACUUGUUGAAUCCACACCAAGAUUUUACACCACUUGAAGAUAUUCUUUUUUGACGGUUUGAACAUAUUGAAUCUUGAACCGAUACUAAUCCUAUAUAUAUACAGUGUAAAAUGUUUGAGUUCAUUUUAAUCAUGCCAUUAAGCUAAAAUAAAAAUAUUUACAGAAUUACUAAAAUGAACAAUUAAUUCCAAGAUUCUCAUUUGAUCUUCAUUCGCAUUGGUGGCUAGGUUUUAGAGAAGAAGAGACUAUUUUUUGUUUUGUACACUUUCACUCCAAUUUUUUUCUUUCUACAUCUUAAGUUUUUCUUCAGGGUUGCUAGGGUUUCUUACUCACCUUUUGUUUUCCCUCUAAUUUUUCUAUAGAGGCUAGAGUUUUUUUUCACACCUCCUUUUUCUUACCUUGCAUUUCUAUUUAUAGGCAAUGGGGUAGGUUCUAGAAUCUUUAUAGGUAGAACAAUCAUAUCCUUUGAAUUUUUAGAGUAAAUUUUGACCCUUCAUCAUUUUGUAUAUAUAUUUGGCACAACAUGCUCGUGUUCUGUAAAGCUCACACCAAAUCUAAAUCCUAAAGAGUGGGGAUGAGAGAGAGAAAAAAGAAGAAGAAGAAGAAGAAAAUGGAGCUGAAAAACUUCACUGCCUUUUUUCAAAAUCAGACGACCCGUUUCCUUUCAAAGGGUAGCCAAAAAGCUCCCAUACACACUCUUUAGCGAGCUUCUUCUUUACCAAAAAACAAAAAACUACAAAAAUUAGAUCAUCAUUUUCAAACCACCUUCUAGCUAUAACUGGAAACAAAAAAAACAAUACAGCCUCUCUCAUCAGGGCUGUCUCUUUUCGCCACCCUCGAGUUACUAUCUUGCCCCACGUUGACUCCAGGAACCAUAGCCGCUGCUUCCACAGUACCAUUAACAUGAGGUGUUCAUUACCAGAAUAAUAACCCAAGGCAGGCCAGGAGCCCACUCACAAUCGUCCAUGUGCAUCUUCAGCGUACUCGUUCUACACUCUUGCCUCAGACCUCUCUGGACUUAGCUUUAUUCAAGCACUAGCCACUCAAAAAAAGAGUGAAGAAGAGGUACGGGAUAUCCAGUGGCGCUGUCUCCAUCAUAAUCACUCAAGGUAUAAAGCUUCUACCUAUUCUCAUUUAGUUGUAAUCUUUUACAUGUGCAUGCUACUGCAAAGGCAAGCUCCCGUUUUUCCUUUAUGUGCUAUGAAGUUAACAUAUAGUGUUGUAAGGGUGUGUGGAUCUUUUAAGCUUCUACCUAUGUGUGAUUUUUGACAUGAGAUGAUGGCUACCUUGCUUCGGAUCCCUUGUUAACGAUGAUGCGUGAACCAGGCAUGGAAAUCUUCAAUGACUAUCGUGCAUGAUUUUUAUGUUCAAAAGAUCCAGUACUCUAGUAUUGGCCAAGCCGUAAAUAAAAUGAUUUUUGGUUGAAGAAGAAUCGGUAUGUGCAAGGGUUUCUGGAUCAUUUCUUUUUACUGUCCCAUGGCUUUUCGUUAAUGCUAGUACAACUAUAUUUCUCUUUUCUGAAGUUAAGUAGGUUGAUAUCUAGGAAUAGGUUUAUCACGGUUUUAAGAAUAUCAAAGAAAAGAAAAACCUUUUAUGGGUCUUUAAGGCACAAACACGCUAUUAAGACAACUUUUAAGGGUGUUUUUUUUUUUUUUUCACUAAGGACAUGUGUGGUAAAUAUGCCCAAACCUAUUUUUAUUUAAUUCACGAUAUUCACCACCCCAAUUAGUUUUAACAUAUUUAAUUUUAAGUGAAAACUAAUGCUCAACAAGUGUUUGAAAACGUUGAAAAGUAGAAAAUACAUCAGAUUUCGCAACAAGCGGAUAAUACCAUAUAUGUUUGGUAUGCGCACCGACAAAAAUAACAAAAUAGCAGAAGUCAUCAGAAGAAAACAUAGGAGCAGAACCCCAAACAUCACUAAAAAUUAAAUGAAGUAGGGUAGAAGUUUUGUGACUAGUAGGUCGCAACGACAAACGGGACGACUUGCCUAAAGGACAAGCUUGAUACUGAGUAAGAGAACGUCUAGAAGUACAUAUGAUUUUAUUUUCGGAAACUAACAAAUUUAAAAUGCAUGGGGUUGGAUGACCAAAACGAUGAUGCCACAGGUCGGCAUUCGCAGAGAUGCAAGGAGACCAAAAAGCUUGACAAACUGACAUGACAGAAGACUCGGAUAGGACAUAAAGGCCAUCAUUACUCUGACUGGAAAUGAGAACUUCUUUGGUGAUGAGAUCCUUGACAUAAAAUAUAGAAGCGCGAAAUUCGAAAUAAACAUGAUUAUCACGACAAAAUUUUUGAAUAGAUAACAACGGUUUGGUAAUGUGAGGCACAUGAGAACAUUAGAUAAUGUAUAAAUGCGUUUUGGGGAAUGUAAUGUAGUAUGUCUAAUAUGGGAUAUGUCAAGGCCCUUAUCGUCACCAACAUGCAAAUAAUUAUUACCAAGAUAGGGUACAAAAUCGAUCAGAGUUCCAAGAUCAGGUGUGACAUGUUGAUUUGCGCUGGUGUCGGGGAACCAAGUUGCAGCAGAAACAUUCCCAACAGCAAGGUGAGCAGAGGGCUGCUGGGUUCUGCUGCGAAACUAGGGACAAUGAGGAGCUGUGUGACCAAAAUUGUAGCACAAUUGGCAGUGAACAUGCUACUGUCUAGACCAUUGCCCGGCCCCGGAGUUGCGCCUAGCCUCCUGCCAGUUGUUUGGACCUCAGUCUACAACAGAUUGGCCCUUGUUCUGAUGAGUGUAGCAGUUGUUGUUGGGACACCAAUUACCUCGAGAGCGACCUAUGUUGCGGCUGAAGUUGGGGUUGUGAUGAGACAUCAUUACAUGAUUUCACAGUUUUACCAACAUAAAUAUUUCAUCGGUUUGUGAUUCAGAGUUCGUCGGUAAUGUUUUUACCGACGACAUCACCGACGGAAACCCUCUGUCGGCUUUCCUUUCAUUGGUAACACCUAAUUCCUUCGCAACAUUGGUCAGUAAAAAAAAAACAAUUGCUAAUGGUUUUAUAGACGGAAAUUGCGCGCGCCAAAAAAUAAACAUCCCGCUUGAAAUAUACUGACAGAUUGAUUUCGUCGGUGAUAGUGGCAUAUCCAGUAAUAUUUUUUAGCUCCCCGUUAAAUUAACUAUUAAAAUUAAAUAAUACUCAUUACAAAUUAACAUAAUGGUGGAGGAGGAGGAGGAGGAGGCUAGUUGUUAUACGACCAAAAAGGAGGAGGCGCACAUGUAUUACCACUCUAUGAUGCCAUGUUCAUGACCAUUUGGCGAAGCUGUUCAUAAUUCGCCGAGAGUUGUUCAUAGUUCGUCGAUAGGUGAUCGAAUUUUUCAGUGAGCUGAGCCAUGUGUUGCUGCAAGGUCACGAACUCUUUAGAUUGGGUGCUCGAUACUGAUUGAGAGCUCCCAAUGGUUGAGACACUACAAGCCACCCACAAGUUCUAGGGCAUAGUGUUGGAGAGCACGUACACCCAAUUUAAUCGAGUCCACAGGAUGAUCGAACCUCCAUCCAUAAAUCUAGAUUGAAAUCAGGAUGGGUCGAAGGAUCGUCCCCAUAUCUCUCCCUUAACCGACUAUUAUAGGUCUCCGGAAAAUGAAAAAAGAAAGCAUCAUAGUCAAUUAAAAACUAAUAAUAACAACUUACGAAAUAAAUGACUGAACAAACAUACCACAAAGUGUUGAGCAUGAUUGUCAACGAACUAUUGUGCUUCCUUUUGGUGGUUUUGACUCCGCACGUGCGUAUCAACAAACAACUCCAUUGGGCUUGGUUCAUGUCCAAGAGACGUAGCCUGUAAUGAAAAAAAUUAAUUAACAACAAAUUAAUUUAACAAUAUAUUUCAUUUAAAUUAAUCUUCCCAUACCUAGAUUAAUGCAUUGAAUCUUUCCUAAGAAGAGCUGUGUAUAGACUACAUAUACAUUGCCUCUGCUGACCUAAAGAAAGGGGGGGAGAGGACAGAAAGGAGAGGAACGAAAGGAAAAAAGAGAGUAGAACUACAUUGUCGAAAGCAAAACAAAAUACAGAGGCAGGGGCAUGAACUCAACCAGCAUAACACGCUUUCAUCACCAUCUCCCUCAUCAUCUCCAUGGAGAGGCAGGCAAGAGGACAUAAGAGGAAAAGAGGGCAACAAUAGAAAAGAAAACAGAGGCAGAAAAAAAAGGAAAGGAAGAGCAAGGGAAAAGAAACGCAAACAAGAGGAAAGAAAGAACAAGAGAGAGACAGAAUACUAGAAAAAAAAACAAAGAGAAAAAGAGAAAAGAAAAAAAAACACAGAGAACAAGGGUUCAUCUUUUCGACUGUGAAAGUCUUCACAGGAACGAAGAGGAGAGAAAAAAGCAAGAGGCAGGCAAAACAAGGAGAAAGAGAGAGGGCAGGGAAAUGAAAAAAGAAGAGAUAGCGAGGGGAGUGAACGACGCAGAUAACAGGGGAGAACAGAGGGAGUUUCUUUCCUUUAUCCUUUCAUUACUGUGAGAAAGGAAAACAGAACGGAGUAGAGGGAGAGAAGAGAAAUAGAAGAAAAACAAACUGGAAAGAACCAGGUAAGUUGUCGCUCUUUUCUUACCAGCUUUGCAUGCAUUCUUGGUUGCAUUGUUACUAUUCAAGUGAAAUUUAAUUCACUUGAACAGUAACCAGCCAAGGCAUGUGUGAGGAAACACACGCAUGCCUUUGUGCCCAACCGGGUCACUGGUUUAGGCCAGUGACCAUGUUAGGCCUGCUGGGUUCAGCCCAACCACAUGGGCCAAACUGGACCCAGCCCUUAAAAAACGAGUAAUAUUGUUUUUUUUUUUUGUAUUUACUUUGUGGUUUUUUUGUAUUUUUAUAUUGUCAAAACAUAAAUCUUGUAUUUAAAAUACCCGGUUUUUGACGCAAUGUGACAUAUAUAUAUAUAUAUAUAUAUAUAUAUAUAUAUAUAUAUAUAUAUAUAUAUAUAUAUAUAUAUGUUUUCAUGCAUACGGUCAAUACUCUAACAUGUUUUGAAUGUUUUUUUAUAUAAAAAAAAUAUAUUGGAAGUUUUGAAAAUGUGUUUUCGCAUGGAUUUCUUAAACACUAUAAAAAUUAUUUUCUUGCAUUUCUGGAUUUUUACAACAUGUUUGUAAAACUCCAAAGGGUAUUGGCCAAUAUUCCAAAAAUAUAAAAGCUUUAUUUUGGGGGGAAUUCAUCUAUCAUUCACCGUUAAUGUUUAGAUAACGAAAUCCCUAAGGGAUGAAUAUCCAAAAUAGUAUUGGAAAUAAUUUGUUAUUAUUCGCUCUUAAUGUUUGGAUAAAGAAACCCAAGUGGUUAAUAUGCAAAAUAUUUUUCUAGGAAUAAUAAAACACCAUACAUCUUUGAAAGAAGUCUCGAUUAUAAUUGAGGACAUUUCAAUUUUUUGACUCCACGGUUUACGAGCCAUGAAAGUAUGAAACACUAAGGCAAAAAAAAAAGGCUUUUAAAGCACUCUGAAUUUCCUUAGAUUUCUAAAUCUUUGUUCCUUUUCCUUGCGAUUUAGGAGUCGCGAACACUUGAAAUACCAAGAGGAAAAUGAGCUUUUAAAGCACAUUGAAUCUCCUUGGAUUUCUAUCUUAAUAAAUUUAGUCUGAAUCAAACACAGAUUUCAAGAGAUCUGCAUUGGUUCCCCUCGGCACUUUGUAGACAUAUCUAAAGGUAUGAUCUAUAUUGGCCAAGGAUUCUUGCUUUUAGACUUUGAACCUAAAAUCAUUCAUCAUAGCAAACCUAUCUUAGGAAAACUAAUUAAGAGAACACCAACACCAUAGCAAUUAUAAGGCAAACCAAACACCAAGCAGCUUACCUUAGGUAGGGCGUACUAGGAGUGCUAAUACCUUUCCUUUACGCAACCAGUCCCUUGCUUUAGAAUCUCUGAAAGACUAGUUAGGGUUCCUAGAGACCAAAAUACUAGGUGGCGACUCCUAUUCACAAAACAAAACAAAAGACCCGAAAUCAAUCGAGGAUCGCCGCUCCGCCGCGAGGGUGCGACAAUGUUGAUGAUAGAAAAUCUAUGGGUGGUUAUCUUGUGUUCUUUGGUCAGACAUCAAUUUUAUGGAAAUCAGGUAAGCAACGUACAUGUGCUCACACUUCUCCUGAAGCCGAGUACAAAGCCUUAGCCGAUGGCACUGCUGAGGUUAUCUAACUUUAGUAUUUAUUAAUAGAUCUCUAGAUUUCAUCCGCUUCUGCUCCUUUCAUCUGGUGUGACAACCUUGGUGCCACUUAUUUGUUUGCGAAUCUUGUUCUUCAUGCUCGUACAAAACAUGUUAAGGUUGAUUAUCAUUUUGUCCGAGAUAGAGUUGCAAAGAAGGAGAUUCAGAUUCGUUUUAUUUCUUCUCGGGAUUAACUUGCAGAUGUCUUCACUAAACCACUUCCUACUGCUUCAUUUACUGCUUUUUGGUUCAAGCUUCGGGUUGAUCCUCCACCCUCAGCUUGAGGGGGCAUAUUAUAGAAUGUACCUAUAUAGGAAAUAUUGUAUAUAGAAAAUAUUAUAGUCAUACUCUUGUGUGGUAACCUCCACCAUUACUAUUGUAUAUUGCCAUACACAUGUAUAUAGAGAAGGUUGGCUAACCAAUAGGUUAAACCUCCUAAUUAUUCUAACUUUCACUACAUCUACUUAGUACAUAUAAGUUGAAGGAUUGGUACCUUGACCAAUGAACUGGAAAUAUCGUUAAUUGAUAAUGAAUGGCAUACAGUCUUACCAUAUAAGUUGAAGGAUUGAUAAUCGAUCCUUUUGGGAUAUGUCAAUCCCAAAUCUAUUAUUCCAUUUAUUUAUUAAUUAUCAUAAAAACAUUUAUUAAAUGUGCUGUCCUCCAACUCUUUCCAUGAAAAGAAAAGGUUGUGAACCACCACAUUUGAUCAUGGACAAAAGGUAAUCAAAUAGUUGCCUCCACUAGGACAAGUAAACGUGCUCGAUUUAUCAUCAUAAGCAUAACUGUAAGCUUGAGGACACUGCUGCUUGAAAGUCAUCGAAUAUUGGCUAGGAGGACAUUUGUCAGGUGUAUUAUAGUCUCCUGUGCAGCAGUACUGCGGCUGGUUAAAUGCCAAACACGCGCUCUUGCAGGCAAUCACAGUCCCAUCUGAACCCUUCACUUGUAAACUAGGAUCACAAACAGCAUUCACGUUAGCUGCACAGCUUGUAGAAGGGCAGCCAGUAGAACCUCCUUGCGGGGUUAUCGAAAUCGGGAUGUUAAAGCCAUCAACAAGGCUUAUAUCGUAAAAAUCUUGCCCACCACUACCGCUUAGAGUAAAUUCUGCCAAGGAUGCUGGUGGGAUCGCACCGGCUCCAUUGCAUUCUAUGACACCGGAGGCACAGUCAGCAGUAGCACAAACAAACUUUCCCGAGGCAUCUGUAGAGCAUUGCGUUCUGGCCCAAAAGCGGCCAGACCAAUUGACAGGGACACUCAGCGAAGAUGAAGCACCCGUUGCCAAUGUGAAGCCAGUUGAAGAUAAAGACGGACCGCGAUCAGCCGUUAGAGUUCCUGGCCAGACUGUGUAUGGACACUUGUUUGUGAAGUCGAAAGUCACAGAUUGAGCUCCUGCAUGCGUGCAAGCUGCGCAAGAUUUAUUUUUGUUGAUAUCAAUAGUUAAAUCUUGGUCGAUUCAAAGAUAACAUAAUUCAAUAUUUAAGAUCUUGUAUUAAUUCACUUAUUUUUCUUUUACAAAUAUAACAUAACCCAGGAUUUUUGUUUAAUAUAUUUUUUUUCUUUUUAGUUUUUUAUCUGGAAACUCCCUCCUGGAUAAGUUUAUUGGAUUCACGAAAUCCAUUGAAUAAUGAAAACUAAUUAAUAUUGCAUAUGCAAACAGAAAAUAUAUAUGUAGAAUAAUCAAAGUGAAUAAUAUGCAUAAUAGAGUUUUCCAUGCAAGAAUCUAAUAUUUGUAAUAUUGUAAAACUACUUGCCACAGAGGAAGAUGACGAGAAGGUAAUUAUAGCAAUGGGCACACGACUCUCCAUUGCCGAGAUGCGUCGAAUUAACACUUUUCAGUAUCUUUUAAGAGAUUUGAGCUAAGCAAGAAACACUCUAUAUUUUAAAAAGAUUGUGUUUGCCACUUAAUAAAUAGUGUUAAAUUUGCAGACUAGUAAACAGCCAAACAGAGGAACCGUCUUCCACACGCACCGUCUCAUCCACGAUGACAUUUGAAAAUGAAUGCCAAAUUAUAAAAUUAUAAUUUAUUUAUAUUUAUAAAAAAAUUUUAUAAAAUUGGGUCUAACACCUGAAGUGUGUGGAUACCGUCCAUGCACUGACCUGCACUCAUCAACUAUUUUUUAAUAUUAUUGUUACUUAUAAAAUUAUAAAAUUAGAAAUAAACCACCCUGGUAAAAAAAAAAAAAAACCCCAAAGAAAUAUACAAAUGCCCUUGGUUUGAACCACAAGUGACUAACUAGAUAUCUCAAGAGGAACGCCCAGCUUCUCACGUCUAAUUGAAUAUUGAAUGUAAUACCGUUUCCUUGUUUGAACCACAAGUGACUAACUAGAUAUCUCAAUUGAUGAGAAAGCAGACUAGAAAACAGAGGCAGUUCUCCUCCAUCAUGUGCGACUGAGGAGCCGUGAUGAGUGCGAGACUCUUCAAAAUUGAUGAGAAAGCAGACUGGUCCCUGCUUCUGGAAUGAAUGGAAGUCUAGAAUUUUUCCAAAUCCAAUUGUCUAAUGAAUGUAACUCUGGAAUUAUUCCAAAUCCACAAGUUUCAUAAUGUUGUGUUGAUUGUGAGACAUUAUUUCAAAAACUGAAGGGGAAUAAAAUUGUCAAAAAUUCUAAUUUUACAAAUUAUUCCAAAUAAAAAAACAAUAAACAAAAUAAUAGGAAUGAAAUUCAAAAAAAUAACAAAUUAAAGGCAUGCUUUGAAAUUUUGAAGGGCUACACAUAAAAAUCAAGAAAAAAAAUAUAUUUUCGGCAACAAACCAAAAAAAUAUUUGUCACACGCGCUGCCUCACCCACGGCAGUAAUUGGUCAACAAACAUUCUGAACGUGCCACUUGAAGUGUGCGGAUCGCCCAAGAACUAACCUGUACUCAUCAGCUACUUUUUUUAAACUAUUUUUUUAAAAAAAUAAUAUUUAUAUUUAUUAAAUUAUAAAAUUGAAAAUAAACCACCCUGAUAAAAAAAAAAAAAAAAACCAAUGAAGAUAUACGAAUGCCCUUGGUUUGAACCACAAGUGACUAACUAGAUAUCUCAAUUAAUGAGAAAGGAGACUAGCAAACAGCCAAUUAGAGGAACGCCCUGCUUCUCACGUCUAAUGAAUGCAAUUGAAUGCAGGAACAGGGCCAUACUCACAAGAAAAUUAAUUACACCCGACAUCCUACUUUCUAAGUGUAAAAGCUAUAUUUCUGUGUCUAGAAAUAUCAGUUAGAUUUUUUUAUGGAAAUAUCUUGUCAAUAAAUAUCAAAAUAUUUGAUAUUGUAAUAUAGAGCAUAUAUCUAAUUAUGUUUAAUAAAGUUUUUAUUUGAAUAAAUUUUUAUUUAACCAAAUGAUUAUCCGUGCCAAUAAAACGAUGUAUAUCCAGUAUAAUUUUUUUAUUUAAUUUAUAUUUCAAAAUAUUAUGAAAUAAGAAUGCUCUUACCCAAGGUUAAAGUUCAAGCACGGUAUGAGAAGGUGGAAAAAGAUGUUGAUAACUAUUGGGGUCAUAGGUUUUCCUUCUUCUUUUUUUUGUGUCUUUGGAAAAUAGAAAUGCAAAGGACUGUCACGGAGUUUUUCCAUACCAUGCUUGGGCUUUGGAUGUAUGUUUCCUUGACAUGAGAUGAUGGCUACCUUGCUUUGGAUCCCUUGUCAACGAUGAUGCUCGUUAAUGCUAGUACAACUAUAUUUCUCUUUUCUAAAGUUAAGUACUAGGUUGAUAUCUAAAGUUAAGUACUAGGUUGAUAUCUAGAAAUAAGUACUAAGUUUUUAUUAAGAAAAAUUUUAAGGGUUUUUUUUUUUGCACUAAGGACAUGUGUGGUAAAUAUUCCCAAACCUAUUUUUCAAAGCUUUUUUUUUUUUUGUGUUUUGUCAAACUAAUCUUAGUCUAACUUUAAUUAUUUUUCAAGUUUGGAAGAGCAUUUUUGCAAUUAAUUUUUCAUUCUUUAUCCUUUUAUAUUUAAAAACAAGUUUAUUAAAUCCACAGGUAGAUGGCCUAAGUUUGAAAAACACUAAAACAUUUAACUUGUUUAUUUUAAUAUGAAUUAUGAGCUUAUACGUGAGAUUUAUUUUUGAUAUUGAAAGAAACAAAGGCAAAAAUAUGUUUUGGCUCUAUAAUGGCUAGGCUUCACCCAUAAAGCUAUUGGUUCACUUUACUGGGAUAGACUUGCUUUAAUCAAUAGACAAACCAAUGAUAAGAAAAAAACACAACAGUGUCUUAAUAAUAAUCAGACAAAUAAACAAUAUAGCUUAUCUUAGGUAUGAUGUACUAGGGGUGAUAAUAUCCAUCCUAUAUGUCGUACGUGUGCGGCGUCGCGGUGAUCGUCCACCAUCUCAAGGAAAAUGGAACGGUGUAUCCCUGGAAAAUGUGGAGAGACAAGGAAUUCCUUGUCUCUUAUUAGUAAAAUAUGGACUAGGAGUCGCCACCUAGUAUUCUGGUCAUUAGGAACCCUAACUAGUCUUAGAGAUCGAGUACGGAGACUGGUUGCGUAAAUGGAAGGUAUUAGCACCCCAACUACGCCCUACCUAAGGUAAGCUGCAUUGUUUUAAUGUCUAAUAAAAUCUAAGUUCUUAUUGUGUUUUCUAAUUGUUGGUUGUUUGUCUAAGCUUCAAGAAAAGCCCUUCUUAUUAAGAAGGUUUUUAUUUUAAUGGGGUAGAACCUAACCGUUCUAGUGUCUGAAAAAAUUUUAAUAUCUAGAAUACAUAUUACGUGUAAUGUCAUAUCCCGGAUACUAAAAGAAAAACAAAAUAAAAAUUCUAAGUACUAGGUUGAUAUCUAGAAAUAGGUUUAUCACGGUUUUAAGAAUAUCAAACACGCUAUUAAGAAAAAUUUUAAGGGUUUUUUUUUUCCACUAAAGACAUGUGUGGUAAAUAUUCCCAAACCUAUUUUUCAAAGCUUUUUUUUUUUUGUGUUUUGUCAAACUAAUCUUAGUCUAAUUUUAAUUAUUUUUCAAGUUUUGAAGAGCAUUUUUGCAAUUAAUUUUCAUUCUUUACCCUUUUAUAUUUAAAAACAAGUUUAUUAAAUCCACAGGUAUCUGGCCUAAGUUUGAAAAACACUAAAAAAAUUUAAUUUGUUUAUUUUAAUAUGAAUUAUGAGCUUAUACAUAAGAUUUAUUUUUGAUAUUGAAAGAAACAAUAGUGUCUUAGUAAUAAUAAAAAAAAUAAACAAUACAACUUAUCUUAGGUAUGAUGUACUAGGGGUGAUAAUAUUCAUCCUAUAUGUCGUACGUGUGCGGCGUCACGACGAUCGUCCACCAUCUUAAGGAAAAUGGAACGAUGUAUCCCUGGAUAAUGUGGAAAAUUCCUUGUCUCUCAUUAGUAAAAUAUGGACUGGGAGUCGCCACCUAGUAUUCUAGUCACUAGGAACCCUAACUGGUCUCAGAGAUCGGGUACAGAGACUGGUUGCGUAAAAGGAAGAUAUUAGCACCCCAACUACGCCCUACCUAAGGUAAGCUGCAUUGUUUUAAUGUCUGAUAAAAUCUAAGGUUUUGUUGUGUUUUCUAAUUGUUGGUCUGUCUAAGGUUCAAGAAAAGCCCUCCUUAUUAAGAAGAUUCUUAUCUUAAUGGUGUAGAACCUAACCGUUUUAGCGUCUGAAAACAUUUAAUAUCUGUAAUACGUUUUACGUGUAAUGUCAUACCUUGGAUACUAAAAGACAAACAAAAUAUAAAUUUUGUUAUUUUUGCAAUUUUGGCCAAUGUUCUAUUGACUUUAAUAAAGUGGUUAUUAAAGCCAAAAUACAUGCUAAAACAUUGUUUUUUUGUGUGUGAAAAAAAUAAUAUGAUUUUUUAGCUUUGAGACACUUGGCCCUAUGCACAAAAACAUUUUUUUUGUAUUUUCGAAAGUUUUGACGAAAACCGAGUAUUGUAAUACCGAAUUUGUAUUUUGUUUUUUAAAUGACAAAAUAAACAGACUCAAAUUAAUCAAAACAAAGAAGAAAAAUACCCGAAAAGCUUACAAUUUUUCAAAUGCAUUUUUGAAAAAAAAAUUUGAAUUGGGUCGGGCCCGGCCCAAUUAUUUUUCUUUGGACUAGGCUGGGCCCAAAUAUUCGGUUGGGCCAAAAUUGGCCCACCCAUGAACAAUGCUCUCCACUAUUCAUAGACUAAGCAAUGGAGGUGAGACGAAGCAGAAGAGAAAAAAAAAAGGAAGGGGGAAAGGCUGACCUGCGGCGGCACUGGUUGUGCUGCUGGUGGUUUGUGCUGGCUCUAUUUUUUUUUCUUCUCUCUCUCCUCUAUUUUUCGUUCUCUUCUCUGCUUCUUCUUCUUCUUUUUUUCUUUCGGUAUUCCCCCUCUAUUUUGCUCUCUCUCUUCUCCUCUAUCCUAUUUUUCUCUCCUUUUUUUUCCUGUGUUUUUCCUGCUCUCUCUCUUACUCUGUUUUUCUUCUUUUUUUCUAUCCUUGUGUUUCUCUCCCUCUCCUCUCUUUUUUUUUCAUCGUCCUUGUGUCUCCUUUCUCCCUUUUAUUUAUAGGGGAGAAAGGAGGCCUACACCCCUGCCUAGUCAAUGGCGCAGGGGUGUAGGGUAGACGGGGCGGCCACUGUUCAGCCGCCCCUCUACCACCCUAGGGACACCUCUCGUCCCCUAAUUCUAACAUGUGGAAAGUUGUUCGAGUGGAGGGGUUAGGUCAACAUUUUUUUGGAAGGAGUCGGUGGCGGUGACAGAGGAAGAAAAAAUAUUCUUCUUCCCCUGCUUCGCGUGUCCAGGGGAAGAAGAAGACCAUAGUGCCGUUCAAAACGACACCAUUUCGGCCUUUUUUUUUUUGGUGACCAAGUAUAUGAAACGAUGCAAUUUUUCCCAAAACACGUCAUUUCAUUUAAAUGGGAAUUGGCACAAAAACGCGUCAGAUUCAAAAUCAGGCCUUCAAUUUGCUCGUGUUUUGCAUUUUGGCCAUCAAACUUCAAUAUUUAUGCAAUUAAGCCCCUUAUUUGACCUAAUUAAAUCUCAAAAUUAUAUUUUGACCCUAGAAUUUGAAUUUCUUUCAAUUAAAGCCCAAAUUAACUCCAAAAUCAAUUUUUCUUGUAAUCAAAACCUCCAUAAAUUCAAUUAAACCUUCCAUAAAAUUUAAUUGAGUCCAGAAACAAUUGAUUUUGGACUUUUCUUCCUCAAAUUGAAUUUUCUUUGUCAACAAGGCUUUUAUCAGUCAAUAAAAUACUACUAAAUUUUGAUAUUUGUAUUUUUAAACCUCCUCUACCAAUUUUUAACCAAACAAAGGAACACGUGAAAAUCAAGAAGAGAAAAAAAGAAAAAGAAAAAGAAAAAGAAAAGUUUGUAAUAACAACCAUCUUCAACACACACCGUCUCAUCCAUGAUGACAUUUGACAAUGAAUGUCAAAUUAUAAUUUAUUUAUAUUUAUAAAAAAUUAAAUUAUAAAUUUGGUUGUCACCUGAAGUGCGCGGAGAUCGUACAUGCACUGACCUUUAUUCAUCAAUUAUUUUUUAAUAUUAUUUAUAUUUAUUAAAUUAUAAAAUUAGAAAUAAACCACCCAGAUAAAAAAAAAAAACCAAUGAAAUAUACAAACGCCCUUGGUUUGAACCACAAGUGAUUAUCUAGAUAUCUCAAUUGAUGAGAAAGCAGAAUAGGAAACAGCCAAUUAGAGGAACGCCCUGCUUCUCUAAUUGACUAAAGAAUGUAACACCGGUCCCUUGUUUGAACCACAACUGACUUACUAGAUAUCUCAAUUGAUGAGAAAGCAGACUACUAAACAGCCAACAGUGGCGGUUCUCCUCCAGCAUUACACCGUGAUGAGUGCGAGACUCUUCAAAAUUGACAAGGAAGCAGACUGGUCCCUGCUUCUGGAAUGAAUGGAACUCCAAAUCCAAUUGUCUAAUGAAUGUAACUCUGGAAUUAUUCCAAAUCCACAAGUUUCAUAAUGUUGUGUUGAUUGUGAGACAUUAUUUAAAAAACUGAAGGGGAUAAAAUUAUCAAAGAAUUCUAAUUUUAUAAAUUAUUUUAAAUAAAAAAACAAUAAUCAAAAGAAUAAGAAUCAAAUCUGAAAAAAUAAAAAAUUAAAGACGUGCUUUGAAAUUUUAAAGUGCCACACAUGAAAAUUAAAAAGAGAAAAAAUAUAUAAAAAAAAUUGUCAGCACCAAACUGAAAAGCUAUCUGCCACACAUGCUGCCUCAUCCAUGCGGCAAUGGGUCAACGAACAUCCCUGCAUGUACUUAUUAACUAUUUUUUUUAAUAUUAUUUUAUAUUUAUUAAAUUAUAAAAUUGGAAAUAAACCACCCUGAUAAAAAAAAAAAUACGCAAUGAAAAUAUACAAAUACCCUUGGUUUGAACCACAAGUGACUAACUAGAUAUCUCAAUUAAUGAGAAAGCAUACUAGUAAACAGCCAAUUAGAGGAACGCCCUGCUUCUCACUUCUAAUGAAAGCAAUUGAAUGCAGGAAUAGGGCCAUACUCACAAGAAAAUUGAUUUAUACCCGACAUGGUACUUUGUAAGUGUAAAAUCUAUAUUUCUGUGUCUAUAAAUAUUAGGUAGAUUUUUUUAUGGAAAUAUCUUGUCAAUAAAUAUCAAAAUAUUUGAUAUUGCAACACGAAGCAUAUACCUAAUUGUAUUUAAUAAUGUUUUUAUUUGAAUAAAUUUAUAUUUAACCAAAUGAUUAUCCAUGCCAAUAAAACAAUGUCUACCCAAUACAAUUUUUUUAUUUAUUUUAUAUUUCAAAAUAUUAUGAAAUGAGCAUCACUUGCCUAUAUUUAUUUAAUUAAUUAAAUUAAAUUAAAUUAAAAAAUGUCUAUAAAAAGGAGAAAUGAAAAAAAAAACAACAAAUAAAAAUACUCGAGAUAUCCUGAAUCAUUUUCAAAAUAAGUGAAAAAUCUUAUAGAAAGAAAAAAAAAUUCAAUGGAGCCCAAUAUCAAUGUAGUCAUUUUCAAAAUAAGUGAAAUAAACAUGAGCUUAAGAAAAGGGAAAAAAUCAAGCAAACUCGAGUGAACCUCCUAAACAUGAGUUAAUCUUUAAAACUCGCAACUUCUAAAAUCCUAGACUUGAACUUGAUUAAUAAGCACAAUUCUCAACUAAUUUAAUGUUGAAUAAUGAAAACAAGAAAAAAAAUCAAUUUAAAAAAAUUGCCAAAGUGAAAAAAAAUAGCAAUGAAAAGAAUGAGGGAUCAAAUCUGAUAGAAAAAAAAAACUUAUGGAGGAUGAUAUUGUAAAAAAAAAUCAAAAUAAAAAAUUAUCUCAAAUAAAAAAAUAGUAAUCAAAAGAAUAGAAACAAAAUUUGAAAAAUAAAAAAAUUGAAGGGGGAUUAAAUUGUUAAAGAAUUCUAAUUUAAUAAAUUAUUCCAAACAAAACAAACAAUAAUUAAAAGAACAAGCACCUAAUCUGAAGGAAUAACAAAUUGAAGGCAUGAUUUGAAAUUUUGAAGGGGCACAAGCGAGAAUCAAGGAGAGAGGAAAGAAAAGGAGAAAGAAAAGGUUCGACACCAAACCGAACAACCAGUUCACUUGGGAUUACCAAAUAGUCGACCAGACCAACUUAAAUACUAGAUUUUGAUAAUUUAAACCUGCUGAAUCUUGAACUGAUACUCAUCCUAUAUACAUAUAGAGUGAAGUGUUUGAGUUCAUUUUAAUUGUGCUAUUAAGAUAAAAUAUAAAGAUUUACAUAAUCACUGAAAUGAACAUUUAACUCUUACUCUUCACUUGUUUUGCAUCUUGGACAUCUUCAUUAAUUUUUUCAUGACAUUUUUCAUGCUUGUUGAUGUCAAAACUCAUUUUUGGGUUAUUCCCCACCCUUUUUUACCUUAUUCCUUUUCAAAAUAAAAAUAAAAUAAUAGUCACAAGGAGACUAGCGACGUUGAAAAUGUUGGCUGAGGAAGGAUUUUAAAUAUAGAAAAAUUAAAGUUUUGGAGUCAAUUAAGGGCUGCAUUUAUGAAAUUUUCAGCCAAGGACCAUUUUGAAAAAACUAAUUAGGGACUUGAUUGAAGAAAUCUAAAACCAAGGACCAAACUGGAAAAGGAGCAUGAAUAUAGGGGUUGAAAUUGAUUGAAUCAGGGACCAAAUUGAAGAAAUUGGAAGUUUGUUGAUCAAUUAAAGGUCAAAAUGCACAAAUUCAAAACCGAUCAAAGUAAAAAAGGCAAGCAACUUCAGGGCUGAAAUUUGAAUUUGACAGAGAUACAAUUGAAUUAAUUCUUAAAAUCAAAAUCUAAAUUGAUUAUAGGCAAAGGAAAAAGGUUUUUUCCUCCUCCUUUGCAGCACACCUCUCUCUCUCUCUCUCUCUCUCUCUCCCCCCCACUUGCCUAAAAACCCUGACACAACCCACACGUCCUUAUGGCCUACCACCAUGAUGAAAGGGGCAAAGGGGACAAGCCUUACAGGCGAUUCUGGGCAUCGUCCCAGCUACCCUACCCCAUCGCCAUAACUAGAUUGGGGUAGGGCAGCUCCCCACCGCCCUUUAUAAAUACCAUCCUUACCAGGAGGUUGAGGGGUAAAAAAAAGAAAGAAAACAAAAGGAAAAAAGAAAAAGGAACGAAACAAAAAAGAAAAGGAAAGAAAGAAAAACAAGGGAAAACAAAGGAAAGAAAGGGAAGAAAAAGAAAAACAAAGAAAAAAAAGGAAAGAAAUGGAAGGAACACUCUUUGCCCUUUACUCGGAGAAGAAAAGGAACCUUGUCUCCCCCUCUCUAUUGCCAGUUAGUAGCACAGUAACAAUUUAAUGGUAUUUUAGGCUUGGUCUAGCCUUAUAUAUAUAUAUAUAUAUAUAUAUAUAUAUAUAAGAAUAUGUUGGGUCGACAUCGGCCCAACUCUUUUGGGCUGACCUUGACCCAAUUUCUUUUGGUUUAUAUUUUUACACUGUAAAGAUACAUAUUCGUUAUUAAAAUACCUGUUUUUUUUUUCUCUAAAAUGUUGCAAACACAAAUAUAUAGAAAACAAUAAAAAACAAUAUCUUGUUUUCAUGCAUAGUGUCAAGUCUCUCAAAAAUAUAAUAAAUUUCAUAUUGUAUUUUCAUACAAAAUAAAAUUAAAAAAUAUAUGUGUUAGCAUGCAUUUUGGGCUUUAAUAACCAGUUUAUCAAAGUAAUGAGAACUACAACUAUAUUUUAAAAAUAUUUUGUUUUCUUUUAGUAUCUAGGAUUAUAAACUUAUACAUAAGAAGUAUUCUUGAUAUUAAAUAAAAAUGUAGUUCUUUUUUUAUUAUCGACAUUAGAACGGUUAUGUUUUUACCUAAUAAAAUAAAGAUCUCCUUACUGAGAAAGACUUUUCUUAAACCUUAGAUUGACCAACAAUUAGAAAACACAACAAUACGUUAGUUAUAUCAGACAAUUAAACAAUGCAGAUUACCUUAGGUAAGGUUUAUAAGGGGUGCUAGUACCUUAUGUGAAACCUCAAAAAUUUAUAAUUUAGAUAUGUAGAUGACUCAGUGGAAACUCUAUAAAACCCCAACAAAAGACUUCACCAUGAUGAAUUGAAUAAUGAGAAAUAAAAUAGAAAUGGUGGUAAACUGUAAACCCCCAAUCAAAUUUCAUGAUAUUAAUAAAUUUGUUGCGAUGUCGCGGUCGAACAAAUUAAUUACCCUAGCUUAAAACACAACACACAAGAUAGUAUAGAGAAAGCAAGGGGUUGAUCCCACGAGGAAGGUUUAGUUCAUAUUGUUAUGCUAUACGUUAUGUAAUUGGGGGGGUUUGGUUUGUAAUGAUUUAAACUAUGGCAGAAAUUAAACUAGCAAACAAAAUCAAUUGAAACUGAAAUAUAUCUAGAAAACAAACCUUGGUUGCAAGCACACGGAUACCAACGGAAAUUAGAACCGAUCCUUGAAAUGAAACUCCAGUUUAUAUUAUGAAUUUUAUCUUUUCUUAAUAUUGGUUAAUUAACGGAUCCGCUGUAUAACUAGCCCUAACCAACAAACAAUCACAGUGUCUGCACUAAUGAUUUAAUCCAAUGGCAGCCUUAAGAUCCAGAUAAAUUCAUUAAUCUUAACAACCAAGUUGUCAAUUUGUGUUGCUAUGAUCGAAUGCUUUUCCUAUGUUUAAUAACAUAGUUCCGCUACAAUUAUCAAGCUUAGUUGCUUCACAAGUUUAUAUACCACAACUCCGGUUUUGAUAUCAAACUUAGCAAUACAUUGUUCACAAUAAUAACUUAGAGUCCGCUCUAGCAAUUAAGAUAAACAAUCAUAGGAAAUAUGCAUAGGAAAACAAACAUACUCAUUCAUAACAUAAACUGAAAAUAAAAGGAAGAAUAAAUCUCACGGUUCUUGAAAUCCGAAGGUUUGUUGUAUCCUUGCAACCAACAAAACGAGCUUAGUCUUGCAUAUCUAUUGAACAACUACUCCUAAAGAUGGAAGAAUACAUGAUUUCUGAUUUGUAGAGGGGAGAGUUUGUGUUUCUUCUCUUCUUGCUGCUACCUCCUUCUACUCACCCUCUAUUUAUACACAAAUUGUAAGUAAGAAAAUCAAAGUUCAAGUGUGAACAUCAAUAGAUGGUGGUAGUGUGAAGGCAGCUCGCGGCUGGCUGACUUGAGGUUGGUGGCUGGCUGCUGGCUGACUUGAGGUUGGUGGUUGCCUUGAGGUUGGUGGCUGCCUUCCUUGACCUUCUAGAAUAUUUACUAGAGGAGCUAAAUUGCUGGUCGGUUUGGAUGCUUCUGGAUGAAAUUUGGAUUCGUUUCUUCACGCAACCUGCUUGCUGGCAGAAUUCAGCUGUCAUCUUUGAAAACUCAUAUCUCCCUCAUAUGCCAUCGUUUUUGGCUGACAUUUGGAGCGUUUAUAGAUCUUUUAGUACGGAAUCCAACAAAAUUGAGUUUGAAUCAAUUAAACUUCUGAAGCUCCAGAUAUUGAAUUUUGAAUAGGCAAAGGUCAACAUUGGCAGACUGCAAGAUUUGACUUUGAAGGAUGUGAUUUCCAUGAUAUUUCUCUUUUUAUUUUUCUUGCAUUACAUUUCCAGAAAGGUAUGGAUGUUAUCUUUUUAAUGCCACUGGAAUCACUUCAUUUCGAUCUCUGGAAGUCACGCUCUGCACAAAAUAUCGACUGAACGUCAAAUCUGCCAAUUACCUCCAAUUUACUCCUUUUUGUAUCUUUCAUCCAAAAAUGCCUUCAAAACAUAAACAAAGAAUAUCAAGACAUUUUAUAUAAAUAACAUAUGCAAAACACUAGUUAAAUACGGGUGAAACUAUCGAAUAAUAUGGUUAUAUCAACCCCCAAUCAAAUUUCAUGAUAUUAAUAAAAUUAUUAAUAAUUCUGAACCAAAAAUGGGAUGAGCUAGUUAAAAUAAAAUAAAAUGAAAUAGUAUUGAAUUAUUAGAAAAGAAAUUUUAGAGAGAGAUUUUUUUGCAUGGUAUUUUAAAAGCGGACCGAGAAAAGGCAUUUGGUUGAAUGAAAAGAUACCUAAACUUCAUAUAAGGGUGUUUUAGUAAAUAUAGAUAUAUUUGCUAUAUAAAUAGCAAAAUUAUAUAGAAAUUAACUAGGAGGGCCGAAUGAAAGGAAAAAGAAAAAGGAGAGAGAGAGAGAGAGAGUACCUUAAGAACAUAAAUUCAAACAACCAUAUCUCUGAAUUGCACCUUUGCAUUGGUCUGGUUUUGGGAUAUAUUAUGCUUCUCACCACCCUCUAACAUCUGACUGUUGGGAUCUAAAUGUUCUGGUAUGAUGUGAGAGAUAUACCCCUCGCAACAUUUCAAGGAAAAUUUACCUGCAGGUCAGUCAUGGACUCUAGAAGUUUCCAUAUUUAUACACCGUUGGAUCCUGCUCAAGUUUUGAUAUGUAGAUCAUAUUGACGAGCUUUUCAUUAUGAACAAUGGAGAUCGGGAUUAUAGACUCCAAUAAGAAGUUAGUCAUCGGAGAACAAUAUAUUGUAAAUUUUCAGGUCCGUUUUGGUUUUGUCUUGAUCUAGGAAGAUGUAACCGUGAAAAUACUAUGAUGUUUUGGUAUGUGUUUCAUGUUAUAAUGGUGGUUAACUUCACCGUUUGGAUUGUAUUCAUUCAGAUUGAGUUGGGAGAAACUUGAACCUUAAUGAAACAUUUGUUUAAAUUAGGUUAACAGAAAUGAAAUGAAUGGAAAGUGUGGUAGCUUGAUUUGUGUUUAACCAUCAAAAGCAUGCUAAUUAUGAUUUAAAUUGAAUAAAAUCCUUAGUGUCUUUCCUUAUCUCAUUCUUUCGGAAUUGUCGCAUGUCAAAAUCCACGCGGCAUCGGCUUGUCGAUUUUUCAUUUUGUUUGAUCGAUUUGGUUUGUUGGAGUCGCCACUUAGUAUUUAAUUGAAGGCUACUAGGAAGCUCGGGUGCUGGUCUUGUCAGAGAUUAACGGGUAAGAGACUAGUUGUGGUUAGGGAAGGUAUUAGCACACUUAACACCCCCUACCUGAGGUAAGCUGCUUCGUUAGAUUGACUGACAAAAAGCUAAGGUGUUAUUGUAUUUAUUGGUCUGUCUACAGUUCAAGAAAAGUCCUCCUUAGUAAAGAGAUCCUUAUCUUAUCGCGUAAAACCUAACUGUUCUAACGUCUAUAUAAAAACUAUAUUUUUAAUAUCAAGAAUAUGUUUUACGUAUAAAUUCGUAAUCCCCGAUACUAAAAGAAAACAAAAAGAUUUUUUAGAAUUUUUGAAAUAUUAGCCUAGUUCUUGUGGUUCUAACAAACUUGUUGUUAAAGCCAAAGUGCAUGCUAAUACAUAUAUUUUUGAAAUUUCUUUUGUUGUAUGAAAAUAUGAUGUGAUGAUUUUAUUUAUUUAUUUUGGAGAGACUAGGUCGUACGCAUUAAAACAAAAACAUUUAUAUAUAUAUAUAUAUAUAUAUAUACAUAUAUAUAUUUGAUGUCUUUGAUGAAAACCGGGUAUUUAAUACUGGAUUUGUAUCUUUACGGUAUAAAAAUACAAACCAAUAUUAACCAAUUUUGAUAAAAAUAUGCAGGAAAAUCAACAAUUUUUUUAAGGAUUUUUCAGAAGUUUGAAAACAAAACAUUUUUUUAUUUUUUGAUGUCUUGACGAAAACCAAGUAUUUUUAAUACUGGAUUUGUAUCUUUACGGUAUAAAAAUACAAACCACAAUUAAAAUUUUUUGAUAAAAAUAUGCAGGAAAAUUAAAAAAUUGUUUUAAGGAUUUUUUUUAGAAUUUUUAUUUUUAUUAUAUAUAUAUAUAUAUAAUAUUAAAUGGGUUGGGCGGGCCCAACUAACUGGGCCGGACUCAGCCCCAAAAGGGUUAGGCCGAUCUCGGCCCAAAAAGGGUUGGGUUGAUCUUGGCCUAGAAGUUCACUCUGCCUCUUUGGGUCUCGGCCGGACCCGUUCCAGACAUGAAGUGUUAAUUUAAGUUCAUUUUAAUUGUGUCAUUAAGCUAAAAUAGAAAUAUUUACAUAAUUAUUAAAAUGAACAAUUAAUCUUAGAUUCUCAUUUAAUCUUUAUUUGCUUUGCUUCGGUGGAUAGGUUUUAGAGAAGAAGAAGACUAUUUUUUAUUCUACACUUUCACUCAAUUUUUUCCCUUUCUCUAUCUUAAGUUUUUCUUCUAGGGUUGCUAGGGUUUCUUACCCACCUUUUGUUUUCCCUCUAAUUUUUCUUUGGAGGCCAGAGUUUUUUUUACACCUCCCCCUUUUUCUUACCUUGCUUUUCUAUUUAUAGGCAAUGGGUAGGUUCUAGAAUCUUUAUAGCUAGAACACUCAUAUCCUUCGAUUUUUUAGGUUAAAUUUGGACCCUUAAUCAUUGUUGUAUAUAUUUGGCACAACAUGCUCGUGUUCUAUAAAGCUCACACCAAAUCUUAAUCAUAAAGAGUGGGAUGAGAGAGAGAAAAAGGAAAAAGAGAAGAAGAAAAAUGGGGCUGAAAAACUUAACUGCUAUUUUUCAAAAUCAGACGACCCGUUUCCUUUCAAAGGGUAGCCAAAAAGCUCCCAUGCACACUCUUUAGCGAGCUUCUUCUUUACAAAAAAAAAAAAAAAAAAACUAAAAAAUUGGAUCGUCAUUUUCAAACCACCUUCUAGCUAUAACUGGAAACAAAAAAAACAAUACAGCCUCUCUCAUCAGCGCUGUCUCUUUUCGCCACCCUCGAGUUACUAUCUUGCCCCACGUUGAUUCCAGGAACCAUAGCCGCUGCUUCCACAGUACCAUUAAACUGAGGUGUUCAUUACCGGAAUCAUAACCCACGGCAGGCCAGGAUCCCACUCACAUCGUCCAUGUGCAUCUUCAGCGUGCUCGUUCUACACUCUUGCCUCAGACCUCUCUGGACUUAGCUUUAUUCAAGCACUAGCCACUGAAAAAAAGAGUGAAGAAGAGGUACGGGAUAUCCAGUGGAGCUGUCUCCAUCAUAAUCACUCAAGGUAUAAAGCUUCUACCUAUUCUCAUUUAGUUGUAAUCUUUUACAUGUGCAUGCUACUGCAAAGGCUAGCUCCCGUUUUUCCUUUAUGUGCUAUGAAGUUAACAUAUAGUGUUGUAAGGUGCGUGGAUCUUUUAAGUCCUAACCUGGGCACGGGUGUUCUUUCACUUGCUACGGAUACUGAAUAGGAUGGGGUGUGAUUUUUGCUUCAAACGCAUAAGGUCUUGAAAACUUGAUUGCAUGUCCCAAGUUUAAAGUUCAAGAACGGUAUGAGCAGGUGGAAAAAGAUGUUGAUAACUAUAGGUUUUCCUUCUUUUUUAUUUGUGUUUUGAGAAUAAAAAUGCAUAGGACUCUCAGGGAGUUUUUUCAUACCAUGCUUGGGCUUUGGAUGCAUUUUCCUUGACAUGAGAUGAUGGCUACCUUGCUUUGGAUCCCUUGUUAACGAUGAUGCAUGAACCAGGCAUGGAAAUCUUCAAUGACUAUCGUGCAUGAUUUUUAUGUUCAAAAGAUCCAGUACUCUAGCUGUGCAUAAUUAUUGGCCAAGCCGUAAAUAAAAUGAUUUUUGGUUGAAGAAGAAUCGGUAUGUGCAAGGGUUUCUGGAUCAUUUCUUUUUACUGUCCCAUGGCUUUUCGUUAAUGCUAGUACAGCUAUAUUUCUCUUUUCUAAUGUUAAGUAGGUUGAUAUCUAGAAAUAAGUUUAUCACGGGUUUAAGAAUAUCAAAGACAAGAAAAGAAAAGCUAAAAAAAAGAAGCUUUUAAGGCACAAACACGCUAUUAAGACAAAUUUUAAGGUUUUUUUUUUUUUUCACUAACGACAUGUCUGGUAAAUAUGCCCAAACCUAUUUUUCUCAGCCUUUAUUUAUUUAUUUAUUGUGUUUACACAUACUAGUCUAAUUUUAAUUAUUUUUCAUGUUUUGAAGAGCGUUUUUGCAAUUAAUUUUUCAUUCUUUACCCUUUUAUAUUUAAAAACAAGUUUAUUAAAACCAUAUAAAUUUGAUUUAAGUUUGAAAAACAUUAAAAAAAAUAAUUUAUUUAUUUUAAUAUAAUGAAUUAUUAGUUUAUACAUAAAAUGUAUUAUCAAUAUAAAAAUAUGUUUUGACUCUAGAAUAACUAGACUUGACUCAUAAAAAUAUGAAUAUACUCUACUGGGAUAGACUUGCUUUAACCAAUAAAUAGACCAAUAAUUAGAAAAACACAACAAUACCUAAUUAGUUAUAAUCAGAUAAAUAAACAAUACAACUUAUAUUAAAUGAUCACAAUGAUGCUACAACCAUGCUACAUUCAACAUUGUACUUUCCAUGAGUUAUCUUUUCUAUUUUUCAAUUCCUCUUCCCCACUUAAUGUGUUAUUUUUUUAAUAAUCUUCAAAGCUAGCUUAGAUUAUAUGAUCAUAAUAACUCCACAAAAAAAAAAGCUAAAUUUAUUUAUAAAAUGAGCAUGGCAUGCUUACCAUUCAAACCAGUAAAAAAUCCCAUAAAAGAUUAGCACCUGAUGACAAUGUUUUGAAAUUGAAUUCGACACUCCAUCUACUUAGUACAUAUAUGUUGAAGGAUUGCAACCUUCAUCAAUGAACUGAAAAUAUCAUUAAUUUAUAAUGAAUGGCAUAUAGUUUUACUAUAUCACCAGCAUGAAAAUUGAUAAUCGGUCCUUUUGGGAUAUGUCAAUCCCAAAUCUAUUAUUCCAUUUCUUUAUUAAUUAUCAUAAAAACAUUUAUUAAAGGUGUUGUCCUCCAACUCUUUCCAUAAAAAGAAAGAGUUGUGAACCACCACAUUUGAUCAUGGACAAAAGGUAAUCAAAUAGUUGCCUCCACUAGGACAGGUAAACGUGCUCGUUUUAUCAUCAUAAGCAUAACUAUAAGCUUGAGGACACUGAUUCUUGAAGAUCAUCCCAAUGAAACAAAUAUAAAAAUGAUAGAAUUGAAAGAAAAAAAAACAUUGUGAAUUCACUAUUGAUAUCCACUGUUCACACAAGUGUAGAGCUAUAAUAAUUAUUGCCACGAAUUCUCUCUAUCUCUUCCUCUUUUAUUUUCUUUUAAAUCAAAAUAUGAACCAAAAACUAUUCUUUAUAGGUGACAACAAUGAUAAUAUGAGAUAGAAUUUUGUUAUCAAAGUCACCAUCACAUUUAGCUGUCAGCGACACGUUCUCCUCACUAUUCUUACUGUCAUUAACUUUGGGCUCAUCAAUAUUUUUCUUAAUCCGUACAUACACCUCUGAAUUAUUCGUCAUCUAGAUGGAGAACCUUUUUAUUUUUAUUAUUAUAGCUUCUCAAGCACGUGAUUUCAAAACGUGAAGCCUCUCUCAGAUUGCCAUCCUGAUAACCAAAGGGGAUGGAUAGUAUGUGCUACGAACAAGGUGAAAUCACGACAGAGGAAACUGAUUUAUUAGCUAGAUCAAGUAAGAAAAUCAAGACGGAUAGAGGAAAACGCCCUAUGGAAGAGGAGCCGGUGAUCGAGGGUUUAGAAGGCAAAAUGAACAAGGGAUGCUUCAGCUACAAGGACUCACGAUUAGGUUCUGCUUUUUUGGAACAGCAGAUAAUGCAAGAUAGCCAACUGGAACACUAUGUGUCCGAGGAAGAUGAGGAAGAGGAAAGUGGAGAAGAAGACUGCCCGGUAAUAAAACUAUCAAUGGAGGAGAAAAAACGUAUAAGGGCACCCUGGCGUCAAACAAUCAUCGUGAAAGUUAUGGGUAGACGAGUAGGCUACACUUAUCUCUUGCGACGACUGCAAUCACUAUGGAAGAUUCAGGGGGAUUUAGGACUUGUGGAUUUGGGUAAUGACUUUUUUCUGGAAAAAAUUUCAAAUUCAGAUGAUAGAGAUUUUGCCCUUUUUGGAGGACCGUGGCAUCCAAAUUUUGAUCUAUAUAUUUGAAGCCCCGAUUGACAGAGUAGCAGUUUGGGUGAGAUUGCCCGAUCUCGCAAUGGAAUAUUAUGAUAAUGGGGUGCUUUGGAAGAUCGGAAACCACAUCGGGAGAACGUUAAAGAUUGACAGAACCACUGCUAUUGGCACCCGAGGAAACUAUGCACGAAUAUGUGUAGAAGUUGAUCUUACGAAGCCGUUAUUAUCGAAGUUUAAAUUAAGACGACGUAUUCGAUGGAUAACCUAUGAGGGGUUGCAUCUGAUCUGCUUCCAGUGUGGUCAAUAUGGGCAUAAAAAAGAGAAUUGUCCUUAUGGUGAAAAGCAUGGGGAGACAAGUCAUGAAAGCACUGCAAUGGAUCAAAUUCUGAGGGAAACAGUUACAAACCGUGAUGUGGGCAUUUAUGUUAAGGCACCGGAGAUCAGACCAGAGAUUACAGAUCAGUAUGGUCAGUGGAUGGUUGUGAGGAAGACGACGAGAAGAUAUGGAAAGUUAACAUUAUCAAAGGAGCAAAAUAUGCCAAAAAAUGAGGGGAGAAGAUCACAACCAAAAAUCACGGACACAAGGACCUCAGAAGGGGUAAUAGAGAAAAAUCAUGAGAGGGGAUCAAGGUUUGAUGUGCUGCAAAAGAGGGAAUCUCGGUUUGAUGUGCUGCAUGGAAAUAAUAUGGAAACAAGCGUUACAGAUAAUGGACAGCUUGUUAAAUUAUAAAGAUGGGUUUCAGGCCCAAAAUAAUAAGAAGUCCGAGGGAAUUCAAAGGGAGAAGAGCUCAUCCAGAGGAGUAUUGGUGGAUUUAGUGAGGAGGGCUAAGGAUAAGGCCCAUACGAAAGCAAAUGACCCAGAAGUCGUAUAUCAUCUUAAAAACCCAAACCCCCAUAAUGUUAUCUCUGUUACACUUGUUGCUGGGAAUGAUAGACAAGGGGAGGGGGAACUGCAGCAUCAACAGGGUCCCGGAUAAUCGUAUGCAGGAGACUGGAAUAGAGGACCACCCUAGUGAGGAACAUGGCGUAGAAGAUGAUAUGCCUAACGAAGAUGAUGUCACCAUGACAGAGAAGGAGGUAAAGUCCCACGGGUUAUUGUCUUCUGUGGGAUGAUGAGACGCUAACUUACACCAUGUUUUUUGCUUUUAUAAUGAAUAUAUGUUUCUGGAAUUGUAGAGGGGCUGGAAGCAAAAUAUUUGUGUCAAUUGUUCAUGACUUUAAGAGAGCUUAUGGUAUUGAUUUGCUUGCACUGGCAGAACCACGCGUUAGUGGUUAUACAGCAGUUACAGUUUGAUUCGAGUUCUUGGGUGGAGUCACAGGGUCGGUCAGGGGGCAUAUGGCUACUUUGGAACAAGUCAAGAGUUGGCAUUCAGAUCUUAUCUUCAACGCAGCAUUUUAUUCACGCUUUGGUGGAGGAUGACGGGAGACCACCAUGGCUAUGUACAGUGGUGUAUAUAAAUCCUAAUGCUCAACUUAAACGAAGCGGUUUUGAGGAAAUAAGAAACUUAGCAGGUACAAUUACUCUACCGUGGCUGAUUGUAGGGAUUUCAAUGACAUACUCGCAGGGUCAGAAAAAAUAGGGGGAGACCAGUGGAUAUGAGAAGGUGCAACGGGUUCAGUAACUGGAUACAAAAUUGUGGAUUAAUUGACUUCGGCAGUGUUGGACCAAAAUUUACCUGGCGGGGUCCGGAGAUCGGGGGAUAUGGCAGAGUAUUUGAAAGGUUGGAUAGGUGUCUUGGAAAUCAUCUCUUUAGAGUUAAAUUCCCUGAAUUAAUAAUAAAGAUGCUUCCUAGAAUUAAGUCGGAUCAUCACCCGAUCUUAGUCCAGACUCACAAUAGAGGUUUACUUUAUAGAGGUGCAGAGAAGCCAUUUAGAUUCGAAUUAAGCAGCUUGGAUGUCCCAUGGUCAAUUUGCUGAUAUCGUCCAGCAGAGUUGGGUGAAAGGUGCUGAAGUGGUCAGUUCAAUACAUGAAUUGACAAGUAGUUUAAAGACUUGGAACAAGGAAGUUUUUGGGAAUAUCUUUUACUGGAAAAAAAGAGUGUUGGCCCGAUUACAAGGCAUUCAGAAACAUCUGAAUGGGAGCAAUCAGCCUUUCUUACGCAGGUUGGAAAAGGAAUUAGACAGUCAAUACAACCAGAUUCUCAAGCAAGAAGAGAUCUAUUGGUAUCAAAAAUCAAGGUGCCAAUGGCUCUCUUUUGGUGAUAGAAACACAGCUUAUUUUCAUACCAAGGCUAUAAUCAGAAGACAGAAGAACAGAAUUCAAUGCUUGAAAGAUAAUGACCACCAGUGGAUAUGGAUGAUAUGAAAUUAAAGGCGAUGGCUACUGAGUUUACAAGAAUUUGUUUUCCAAAGAAGGGGAUUCCCACCAUAGAGAUCACUUCUUUUCGAAAUUUCCGACCAUUGAUGAAGGGAUUAAAAACCAAUUGCUCAGGACCGUGACAGAUGAGGAGGUGAAACGAGCUUUGUUUGACAUGAAACCUUUCAAGGCACCCGGACCAGAUGGGUUUCAGCCCAUGUUUUUCAAUCUCAGUGGCAGCUGGUUGGUGAUGAUGUGUGCAAUUUUAUCAGAAAGGCUUUUGAGGGUAGGUAGAAUCUAUCAGAAGUCAAUUACUCACUGAUAGUGCUUAUUCCUAAAGUCCCAAGGCCGGAGUUUAUCCAUCAGUUCAGACCCAUCAGGGUUAUGUAAUGUAGUCUUCAAGAUUCUGACAAGUGAUAGUUAACAGAAUCAAACCAUUAAUGACUUUCCCUGGUUACAAAGAAUCAAUGCAACUUUGUACCGGGAAGGCAUAUAGUGACAAUAUCAUUGUGGCCCAGGAAGUUAUCCACUCGAUGCGCAAUCUGAAGAGGGGAAACAAAGGUUUCAUGGUAAUAAAAGUUGACUUGGAAAAGGCUUAUGAUAGAUUGAAUUGGGACUUUAUUAGAGAAACAUUGGUUCUAGCAGGAAUUCCAUGUGAUAUGGUUGCUCUUAUUAUGGGAUGCAUCGAAACAACUUCUCUAAGUGUAUUGUGGAAUGGUUCUGUUGCUGACAAAUUCCUUCCUACGAGGGGCAUUAGACAAGGAGAUCCUCUCUCUCCGUAUAUUUUUGUGCUAUGUCUUGAAAGGUUAUCACAUCUUAUCCAUCAACAGGUUGAGAUAGGGGCGUGGAAAGCUUUCAGAUUUGGACGAAGGGGACCUUCUAUUUCACACCUACUUUUUGCAGAUGAUAUGCUUCUAUUUGCAGAGGCCAACGAGAAUCAGUUAUCUAAAGUGUUGGGGUGCUUGAAUUUAUUCUGUGCGGCGUCCGGUGAGAAAGUUAGUCACUGUAAAACAAAGAUGUAUUUCUCUAAAAAUGUCUCUCAUUCUUUUACUAGCUGCCUCAGUCCGUCGAGUGGUUUUUGCUAUCACAAGGGACUUAGGAAAAUUUUUGACAUUGUACUAUGAUCUGCUCUUGCAACAGUACCUUUAUAUCCAAAGCAAUCAACAAUGCUACCGAAGUCUAUUUGCUUGGAGAUUGAAAAUAUCUGUCGAAAUUUUAUUUGGCUGAUAGUGAACAUGAUAAAAGACCUCAUCUUGUUCAGUGGAAAAAAUGUUGCCAACCAAGAAUGGAAGGAGGGUUGGGUUUACGCAAUAUGCACCGCCUAAACAAGGCUUUUAUGAUGAAACUAGGAUGGGGUAUUUUGAAUGAUAAUACCUCCUUAUCGGCAGAAGUUAUACGUGCCAAGUAUGUACGCAAUCAGACUAUUAGCUCUCAGAUGAAGGCAAAAGGAUGUGGCUCUCCGUUAUGGAAAGCCAUUUGCAAAGUGCUACCUCAGGUCGAUGCAGGAAUUGGGUGGACUAUAGGCAAUGGAAGUAUGGUUAGAUUCUGGAAAGAUGAGUGGCUUGAUGGUUUUGGUCCUUUGAUUCACCGACGGAAUUCGUGUUAUGUAAAUACCGACGGCCUAAUUCCGUCGGAAAAAGUGUCGGUGAUAUUUUAUACCGACCGAAUAUUUCCUUCUGUAAAUUCGUCGGUAAAUUUAUACCGACGGAUUAUUUCCGUCGGUGAUGGUGGGUGAUGGUGGCAGACACUGUCCAAUGCCGACGGAGUUAUUCCGUCGGUAAAUCCCUGUGUAAUUGUUUUUUAAUUAUUUAGAAAAAAUAAUAUAAAUUAAUGGUAAUACAAACCAAUUAUUUUAAUAAAAUUUAUAUUAAGCAACAAAAACUCAAAGUGAAAUAAUAUUCAUUAUAAAAUGAAUGUGUUUCAAAAAAACAUUAAACAAAAUUUAAAAUGUAAAUAAUGUUUAUUAAAAAUUAAUAUAAAGGUGGAGGAGCAGGAGGAGGAGGAGGAUGGGGGUUAGGCGGCCAAAAAGGAUUAGGCGCACAUGUUCCACCUUGUUUUAUGUUCAUGACCAUUUGACGAAGCUCUUCAUAGGCCGCUCUUUGUUGUUCAGACUCUGCUCUGUGUUGUUCGUUCGCCAAUCUUUGCUCUUCUUUGAGUUGUGUGUAUGCCUCUGAUAGGUGGUUGCACCUUUGCUGCAAGGCCACAAACUCCUUAGAUUGGGAGCUCGAUACAGAUUGAGAGCUCCCAACGGUUGAAGCAGUACCGGUCGACCGCAAGUUGGAGGCGGUAGUGUUGGAGAGCCCGUAAACCCGAUUUUUAUCGGGUCCACCUAACGAUCCAGCCUCCAUCCACAAAUCCGGAUCGAAUUCCGAAUGGGUCGAAGGAUCGUACCCGUAUCUCUCACUCAACCGAUUAUUAUAGGUCUCCUGAAAAAAAAAUUCAUCAUAUUCAAUUCAAUAAACAUAAUAAUAACUUACAAAAUAAAAUGGUUGAACAAACAUACCACAAAAUGUUGAGCACGGUUGUCAACGAACUGUUGCGUCCCCUUUUGGCGGUCAUGACUCUGCACGUGUGUCUCCACAAACAGCUCCAUAGGGCUCAGCUCACGUCCAAGAGACGUAGCCUAUAAUGAAAAAAAUGUAUUAACAACAAAUUAAUUGAACGAUAUAUUUCAUUUAAAUUAAUCUUACCAUCCGUUUCGCAUGUGCAGCAAACUGAAUUGGCCGAUUCUGGUUGCCAGCACCGGACUGUGAGCGUCGAGUGAACCGCUCAGACGUCACGUGCUGAAGAUAGUGCGGCCAUAUAUCUUCCGGGAUGUAUAUUGGUUUGAAAUCCCUCCAAACCGCAACAUCGUUCCAGCCUUGGAACCCCUUAUCCCUCGCUGUUUUUUUUUUGCUUUUUUCUGGGUGUCAUACCAAAAAUCACGCAACCUAAUUCACGCACGAAAAAAUUACAUUUCGAAACAUAAAUAAUUAUGUAAAAAAAAAGUCGUAUUGUUUUCGAUGUUACCUAAUUGCCACGUGAUUUUCCCACGCCCUCCUCACAACAGUGUCAUGUUCAUCGUCCCAGCAGAAUCGAUGUUGUGUAUAAAAAAAUAAUUUUUUAAAAUGUUAAUAAUUUAUUUACAAUUAUGACUACAAUUUAUUAGAAAUAAGCUGCAAAUUAUAUAUUAACACGAACCUCAAAUCUACGAAACCAUGCAUUGAUUUGAGGCAUCCAUUCAGGAUGCCUGGAUAUCUGACUCCAUUGAAACAAUGGAAUCUCCAUCGACGCUUUAAACGCCGAUGAUAUUACUCGGGCGGCCUCAAUCUUUGUGAACCUGAAAAGAAAUGAAAUUAAUGAAAUAGUGAUUACUUCAUAAAUUAUGAUUUAAAUUAUGAUUCAACAUUAACAAUUAUAAUUCAACAAAUUAAUCAAUAAUUAUAUUCAAAACAAUAAAAAAUAUGACAAAAAAUAAAUUCAACAAAUUAUAAUUCAACAAAUUAAUCAUUAUAAUUCAACAUCAACAAUUAUAAUUCAACAAAUUAAUCAUUAUAAUUAUGACAACAAAACAAUAAAAAAUAUUCAAAAAAUUCAAAAAAAAAAAACCUACAUCAAUAAAAGGAACGAAAUAUACAAACCUUAAUAAUGUGACAAAUUCAAAACUUUAUCUACAUUAUAAAAAAAAAACACCAAAACAACAAAAUAACAAUAAUAAAAACAACUAAAAAUAAAUUAAAAGUAAAUAAAAUAAAUUGGAAAAAAACACAUACCUUUUAAUUUGAGGAAGGUGAAAUUCUUGAAGGAUUCAAAAAUCUGAGGUGCACCGGCGGGAGAAGAGAAGAGAAGAGAAGAGAAGCGGAGCGGGGAGAAGAAGAAAAAAUGAGGUGAAGCGGCGGGGCUGGAACUUAUAGGGCAGUUUUACCGACGGAAUCACCGACGGAAUUAAUAUCCGUCGGCAAGAGGUCAAAAAUUCCGUCGGUAACAAGUCAAAAACCGUCGGUAAUUUUUGAAUUUCCCACCGAAUUUUUAAAAGCCCUCCAUAUUUUUCGACGUCCGUCGGUAAUCUGACAAGUUCAGAGGCGCAUUAAUUCACACAUGUUGGAAAUCGCGCGGUCCGUCGGUAAUAUGUGUCACCGAAAACUUACCGACAGAAACAUUCCGUCGGUAUUAGCGUCGAAAAUGCUGUCGGUGAAUCCGUCGGUGAUUGUGGCAUUUUGUUCUAAAUAUUUUCGAGCUUACUGUGAUACCGACGGACUAUAAUCCGUCGGUAUCCCGUCGAUGAUUGUGCAUGUUUUUCGAACUCUCUGUGAGAUGCCGACGGAUUUAAUUACGUCGGUAUAUCCGUCGGUGAAGGUGGCAUUUUGUUGUAAUUGUUUUCGAACUCUCUGUGAUAUACCGACGAAUAUCCGUCGGUAUAGUUGUCGGUGAAGCCCUCGGUAAUGUCGUCGGUGUUGGUGGCAUUUCGCGUAAUUAAUUUUAAACUCUCUGUGAGAUACCGAUGGAUGGUGAUUCGUCGGUAUGGACGUCGGUAAGUUUGCAUGAUGCAGGAAAGGUUGUCUUUGUAUUGCCUGUUUACCUUCCUGCAAAACUUAACUGAUAAACUGUCCAUCACAUAAAACAAUAACCACAUUGCUUAAACAGUAAAUAUUUUGUUUUACAAAAUACAUCAUCUAUAAUCUAAAUUACAUGAGACAAAUGUUUUUACAUAGGGCUUCAUUUUCAUAAUUAGUCGGAAUUUUCUUCUUCUUCCUCAUCAAUUGAAUUGUCAUCAUCUUCAUCGCAAUCUUCAAUAUGGAUAUCAUCUUCUUCAUCGACAUUUGCUUGUCCGCUAGAGCUGAGAACAACAUUCAACUCCUCUCCGUCAAUAUCAACAAGACUAUCAUCGAGAACUCGAAAAUUUGAAUUUUCUUCCAAUUCAAUCGAAGGAGCAACUCGAUAUGGUUCAACCAACUCACGAACUUGAAAGACUUCAUCUCGCACACUUGUGUCUUCGUUCUCAUCCUGAACAACCUCGACACGACCCCGUGGUUUCGUUUUUAAAACGGACAACCAAUCAACUCUUGAUCGAUCCUUUCUAAAUGAAGGGGUGUAUGUGUAAUAAACUUGUUGACAUUGCUUUGCGAAAACAAAGACAUCGUUUAUGUUGCGGAGUCUAGCUUUUGAGUUGAUUUCGACCAGACCAUGGUGCGGAUCAACUCUGAUUCCUCUGUCCGUCGUGUCAUACCAAUAGCAUUUGAAUAAAAACACUUUAUUCUGCUCGCUAUGAUAUUGCAGUUCGACGACCUCUUCUAAUCUACCAUAGUAGUCAACUUCUAACUGGCUACUUGUGGAUCCCUUAACACAAACACCGCAGUUGUAUGUCUUUCUUCCUUGCCCGUAUUCUUCAGUAUGGAAAACAUAUCCAUUGACAAAAUACCCGUUGUAGCACUUAACUUUUCUUUCAGGGCCGAGGCUUAGUGAAGACAAUGACUUGGGCGCACUCCUUCCCAUUUGAUAAACCUUGUAAAUAUAUGUAAUUAAAUGUACAUCAAUACACGGUAAAUGAACGAGAAUCUCGUAAUGACAUGCAUACGUUAGAAUGAGUUUGUGAUAGUGCUUACAUGUGUUCUGAACCAUGUGGCAAAUUGUUCAUCUUGUAAUUGAAAGAUCUGGGAUUCGGUCAGCUGCGAGUUAUUGGAGAGCAAAUAUUGUCGAUGUUGCCUGCAAGUGAUAAUGAGUGUAUGAUAUUACAAUAUAUAAUUAACAGUAUAUUACUGACAAAGUUUAAUUAGUAUUACACAUAUAUAGACUUACUGAAUAAAUGGUCUCAGCUCAUCACAGUUAAAUAGAACAUAGUUGUGUGCUUGUUUGAAUUCUAUUUCCGACAAAUAUCUUCCUCUUACGGCAUUUUUAGGUGUGGGUCGUCCAGUAUUGGAGAAUAUUGACAAGUUCCCACUGGAAGGCACUUCACCGCCAUCGUCAUGCCGUGGAACGCGAUUGAUUCUUGUUCUCAGAUGAGGUUCGAAAUAGUACGAGAUAAAUGUUGAUAUCUCUUCAACAAUAUAGGCCUCAGAUAUCGAAGCCUCAACAUGCGCCUUGUUCUUAACCUUUUUUUUUAGAUUAAACAAGUACCUGCAUUGAAGUACAAUUCAAGUAUUUUCAAAUAAGAAAAACAUAGAAAAUACUUUAAGAUAUGAAUUCCAUUGCAACUGUAAUAUCUCACCGUUCGAAUGGGUACAUCCAUCUAUACUGGACCGGUCCUCCAGCUUUUGCCUCGAACGGUAGAUGUAUAGGGAGAUGCUCCAUUGAGUCAAAAAAUGAAGGAGGGAAUAUCAUCUCAAGUUUGCAUAGUGUCUCGAUGAUAUUCGUUUGAAGCAUCUCAAUGUGCUCAACAUUCAUCUUGCUGGAGCAUAUAUCUCUGAAGAAAUGACUGAUCUCCGUUAGUGCAUCCCAUAUUCCCUUUGGCAACAAAUCACGAAAAGCUAAUGGGAUGAGUGUUUGCAUAAACACGUGGCAGUCAUGCUCUUCAUUCCAUACAAUCUGCAGUCCUCUAUGUUAACAAGCCUUGAUAUGUUCGAUGCAUGUCCAUCCGGGAAACGCAGACUCUUAAGCCAUUUGUAGACUAGCAGUUGUGCGUUUUUCUCUAACACGAAGCUUGCCCUUGGUUUUGCAACCCGUGACUCGUCAUAAACCAACUCCAUAUUUUUACGGUUACAGUAUAAAGCUAUAUCCAAUCUAGCCUUCAUGUUGUCCUUUGUCUUCCCCUUCACAUCCAUGACGGUGUUGAAAAUAUUCUCAAACACGUUCUUUUCGAUGUGCAUGACGUCAAGGUUAUGGCGGAGAAGAUUAGUCUUCCAAUACGGAAGCUCCCAAAAGAUACUUCGCUUUACCCAAUUAUGGGUCAAACCAAAACCAGGAAACUUUUGCUUACCUGAUUGAAGGCCAAACACAAUGUCACCGUACUCUGAUACAACAUGAUGCAAUUCUUCACCAGAAAGACGCGGGGAUGCAACAUCUUUUUCAACUCUACCAACAAAGAAAUCUUUUCUGUUCUUUCUGAACCUGUGAUUAAGUGGCAAGAAGCCGGUGACAGUCAAAAAAAGAAGCUUUACCUCCGUUUGCUAGCGUGAAUGCCUUGUUGUUUUCCAUGCAGUAUGGACAUGCAAGUUUCCCAUGCGUGCUCCAACCAGAAAGCAUUCCAUAAGCUGGAAAAUCACUGAUAGUCCACAUCAAAGCCGCCCUCAUAAGGAAAUUUUGUUUCCUCGAUAUAUCAUAAGUCAGAGAUCCGGAGGACCACAACUGCGCCAGCUCAUCUAUCAACGGUCGAAGACAAACAUCUAUAUUCCAGCCCGGGCUGCUUGGACCGGGUAUGACAGUAGAUAGAAACAUGAACUCCAGCCUCAUACACAUUCCCGGUGGCAAGUUAUAAACUGUGAGAAUGAUCGGCCAACAAGAAUAGGGAGCAACAAAUGACCCAAAUGGGUUGAACCCGUCUGUACACAACCUAAGUCGAACAUUCCUUGAUUCAGCAGAAAAGUCAGGAUGAACACUGUUAAAGCAUUUCCAUCACACCAUCAACAACAUCGUGUGUUUGGUGCCAUGUCAUGUGCUUAGCAGUCCUUGGUGACAUAAAUAACCUCUGCAGUCUAGGAGUGAUCGGGAAAUAUCUAAGUUUUUUAUAUGCCACUAGAGUCUUCCCCCUGCCAGUUCUGGGUUUGUAACGGGAAUGCCCGCAUGUCAUGUACUCCGUCAUCUCAGCAUUUUCAAGGUAGUAUAACAUACAGAAGUUAGGGCACAUGUCAAUUUUCUGGUAUCCUAAACCGAGGAGUUUCAUCAUGGACUUUGCAGCAUAGAAGUUCUCUUUGAGCUUGUUCCCUUCAUGUAAAAUGCUUCUUGCCCAAUCAAUAAUUUUGUCAUACCCGGCCUCACUCAACCCGUGAUCUGACUUGAUGGUGAACACCUGUGCCACGACCAAUAAUUUACUGUGGUUUGUGUAGCCAUCCCAUAAUGGUUCGUUAGAAUCUUUCAACAAAUCAAAAAACCUAGCUGCCUCUGCAUUAGGUUCUUCUUCUACGAUUAGGCAUUGAUUGACAUUAUCUUGAUUCAUUCUCAUUUGCAUACCAACACUCGUAAUCCUCCACAAACCCUUUGUGUAGAAGAUGCAUCAUUACAACAUCUGGAUGCAUAUACUUUUUAUUUUGACACUCCUGCAUGGACACCUAAUACCGCCUCCAGUAAAAUUUCUGGGAAUAGAUGUUGCGAAAUUAAUAAAACCCUGACCCCGUUACAUAAUCCAUCCUCCGCAAUCCUUGGGUGAAUCUAGAUACAUCCAUGAACGAUCAUCCAUGACUUUUAUCGAACCUCUAUAAAAAGGACCCAUUAAGCAAGCUCUUAUUAUUUCAAAACAUAACAUGUAAUUCGGUAAUUCUACAAAUUAAGUUUUAACAAUUUACAAACAAAUACAAUCUUACAAAUCUAAAAGAAACCAUAACAAGUAUAAAUUAUACAUUCAUAUACUACAAGUUUGUUUGAGAAAUAACAAUAAACAUGUACAUUACUAAAAAAAAAUACAUAUACUAAAAAAACAAUAAAAUUGACUUUUAAAUGUUAAAAUUUUAAAAGAUAGAAUUACUUACAAAAUGAUAAAAUCCAUCGUAAAUCAGAACAUGGAUGCUGUGACCACAAAACUUCAAGAAAUACAACUUGUUGUGCUGAGAUGAGGAAGAUUUUUGUUUUGGGGUGAGGGGGGGCUGGUUAUUUGCAGAUGGGGAGGGUUAGGAUUAGGAAGAAGAAGAAGAAAUGGGGGAGGAGAGUGUCGGUAGAGUGGCUAUAUAUUCACUUUUGUCGACGGAAUUACCGACGGAAUACAACCGUCGGUGAAUACAUCGGCGAAACCGUCGGUACUUCUAACGGGAGGAUCGACACGUCACCGCACGGACCUGCUAUUCAAAUCCCUCGGUGAUUCCGUCGGUAUUUUUAACGAUGCACCGAUCACGUCACCGGUACGGAUCUGGCAUUUCAAAUCCGUCGGUGAUUCCAUUGGUAUUCUUGAUGGUGAACAGGUCCCAUCACGUGUACGGGCCCCAUGUUUUAAUUCCGUCGGCAAAAUCACCCGCCAAAACCUUAGCGCCAUCUACCCGCCCUUUUUUCAUUAAUUCUGAAUUGUCUGUCAGUAAUUCGGUCGGUAAUUACCGAUGGACUAAGUCCGUCGGUAAUUACCGACCUAAUUACCGACGCAAAGUUUUCGUCGGUGAGUUCGACCGAAAAAUACCGACGGAAUUUUUUCCGUCGGUGAGUCCGUUGGUAUUUAGCGAAUUUCUGGUAGUGCCCAAACUUGGUCCCUCAACUUCUUUCCUUUUUUUUUUUGUAAAUUUGAUUUUUCUUAUUUUUUUGAAAACAAGGAAUAUCUACGUCGACUGAACAAGGAAAAUCAAUGAUUUUAAAAAAGACGCAAUAAAAGUCGAACGCGUUCAAAAGACCUUUUAUAAUUUAAAUUCUUUUUUAGACGACAUUGAAAAUGUUAAAAACAAUGCAAAUAUAUCAAGAGCAUAUAUAUUUUUGGGGUUUUUGUAGUUUUUUGCUAUUUUUGGAUUUUUUUGAAAACUUAUAAAAAAGAUGGGUCAUAAAUUGGGUAGCAGCAAUUAGUGUAUUUCAUUGGUAGUUGGUAUUAGUGGUCGGAGAGAGUAGUUGUUGUUGUUCUAGGAUUCAAGCAACAAUACACCUAAAAGGGAGGUGAAUUAAGUAUUCCACUAAUAAUAAUAAAUAUUGAAAUUAAUUCAAUUAAACACAAUAAACCAACAAUAUAAUUAAAUUGCAUAAAGUAAAGAGUAAAGGGAUAGAAAUUGUAAACCCAGUCUUGUAUAUUUUGUUCUUUCACAAGUCCAAGUUGAAGAUUACAAUUAUCACUUGAUGAAUCCACACCAAGAUAUUACACCACUUGAAGAUAUUGUCUUUUUUGACAGUUUGAACCUGCUGAAUCUUGAAUCAAUACUAAUCCUAUAUAUAUAUAUAUAUAUAUAUAUAUGUAUAGUGAAGUGUUUAAGUUCAUUUUAAUUCCAUUUUGGCCUCAUCUUUCUCCUUUUUUUGUAUUAUAAUCCCAAUAUAAACCAAAUUCUCAAAGCUUUAAUAAACUGAUUAUUAAAUGUCAAAAUACAUGCAAAAAUAUAUUCUUAUUUUUUCACAUGAAAUAUGAUAUGAUUUUCUUUGUAUUUUUAAGACACUUGUCCAUAUGAAAAUCAAAACAUUUAAUUAUUUUUAUUUUUUAAUUCUUUUUAGUUUCUUCUUAAAAAAAACAUGGCUAAAAAAAAUAAUAACAAACACACCCACUCAAACACUCUUUUUUACCAUGUUUAAGUAGUCAUCGAUUACAUGUUUACAAAUCAAUCAAAAUUCAAAAUAACUCAAACAACACAGUAAGCAAUUUUAAAUUUACAAAAUGAACCCCCAAAAUUCAGGAACAGUGCCGGGAAGCCCUCUGGAAUUCCACAAAUAGUAGCGGUGUGUUGCUUCAAGUGCCCCCGCCACUAGCGGCGCAUGGGUUCACACGCUGUCGCUAGUGAAGGGUGAAUCGGGAACGUCUUCUUCCUCUUUGUUUUCAUAUGCCGGCAAUGACUUGUAAAACACCCUAAAACACAACAAGUAGUAGGGUAAAACUUUCUUUCUUUUUCAGAUAUGUUUCACAACAUAUCUUUUUUUGGUUCACAUCUUCUACUCCUUUUCUUUUUGUAGCUGGCGGCACGGAGGAGGAACGACCAAAAAAGGGGCAUCACUAUUGGGGAAAGGGACAACAAUGGAUAUGUGGGCGUUCGGAGGUUGGUGUCAGCUGGGAGGCUUCGAUGGAGGCUGGUCUGUGCUAAUGAGGGAAGUUUUAUUGUGGUUGACGAUGAGGGAAGAGACGAGGAUCUGUGGGCUACUAGAUCUCUGGUGAGGACGACAUUGCUACGGCUGAUGAGGGAGACCGUGGGUAUGUUUGUGGCCACUAAAGCUACAGUGGAGAUGGGAGUGGUUGUUUGGUCGGUUUUGGGUUGGUUAGGAGAGAACGGGGAAGAUGGAGAUGAGAUGCAGACAGUGGGAAGAAAUGGCUAAGAGAGAGAUCUGCUGAGGGGUUAUCUUAGCUAAGAGUGAAGGCUCCUUCGGGUGCAGGGGAAGAAGGGCAAAAAUCCAAAGGGAGGGGGCAGCAGCUCCUCUUGGUUGUGAGAGAAAAUUUGGGUUUAGGGUUUUAUUUUUGUGGUUGUCCAAAAUAUUCUAUUUCAAAAUUGCCUCCCUGCUUUUGUGUGUGUUGGAGACUCCUAUUUAUAGGCGAAAAUAUUGCUAGGUCUCCAAACUUGGUCCCUCAACUUCUUUCCUUUUUAAAAAAAAAAUUUGAUUUUUCUUAUUGUUUUUGAAAACAAGGAAUAUCUACGUCGACUGAACAAGGAAAAUUAAUGAUUUUAAAAAAGACGCAUUAAAAAUCGAACGCGUUCAAAAGACCUUUUAUAAUUUAAAUUCUUUUUUAGACGACAUUGAAAAUGUUAAAAACAAUGCAAAUAUAUCAAGAGCAUAUAUAUUUUUUGGGUUUUUGUAGUUUUUUGCUAUUUUUGGAUUUUUUCAAAAACUUAUAAAAUAAUUCAAAUUAAACACAAUAAACCAACAAUAUAAUUAAAUUGCAUAAAGUAAAGAGUAAAGGGAUAGAAAUUGUAAACCCAGUCUUGUAUAUUUUGUUCUUUCACAAGUCCAAGUUGAAGAUUACAAUUAUCACUUGAUGAAUCCACAUCAAGAUAUUACACCACUUAAAGAUAUUAUCUUUUUUGACAGUUUGAACCUGCUGAAUCUUGAAUCAAUACUAAUCCUAUAUAUAUAUAUAUAUAUAUAUAUAUAUAUAUAUAUAUAUAUAUAUAUAUAUAUAUGCGCAUAGUAAAGUGUUUAAGUUCAUUUUAAUUGUGCUAUUAAGCUAAAAUAUAAAUAUUUACAUAAUUACUAAAAUGAGCAAUUAAUUCUUAGAUUCUCAUUUGAUCUUCAUUUGCUUUGGUGGCUAGGUUAGAAGAAGAAAACUAUUUUUUUUUUCUACACUAUUAAACAGCCAAACAGUGGAACACGUGAAAAUCAAGAAGAGACAAAAAAAAAAAGAAAAGUCUGUCCCUGCCAAAUCAAAAUAACAGGGAUAAAAUUUGAAAGAUAAAAAAAUUAAAAGGGGAUUAAAUUGUCAAAUAAUUCCAAUUUAAUAAAUUAUUUCAAACAAAACAAAUAAUGAUAAAAAAAAUCAUAUGCCAGCCACACGUACUAUCUCAUUAAAUUAAAGCUGUUAGGUGUGUGGGGUGAAGUUUGAAAUAUGAUUUAUAUUAUUUUUUAAUAAUUUUUUAAAUAAAAAUUAUUUGAAUUAAAAAUUUGUACGGUUAAUAUUAUUUGGUUAUUAAAGUUCUAAUAUCAUGUUAAAGAACCAAUUCAACUCAAAAGUUUAAUCUAUUAGGUUAGAGCUAGAUAUAAUUUAUAUUAUUUUCUAACAGAAAUAAACCACGACAAAACAAAUACCCAAUGAAAUAUACAAAUACCCUUGGUUUGAACCAUAAGUGACUAACUAGAUAUCUCAAUUAAUGAGAAAGCAGACUAGUAAACAGCCAAUUAGAGGAACGCCCUGCUUCAGUCUAAUGAAAGCAAUUGGAUGCAGGAAUAGGGCCAUACUCACAAUAAAAUUGAUUUACAUCCGACAGACGGACAUAGUACUUUGUAAGUGUAAAAGCUAUGUUUCUGUGUCUAUUAACAAGAAAAUAUCUUAUUGAUAAAUAUCAAAAUAUUUAUUAUCAUAAUACAGAAUAUAUAUUUAAUUGUGUUUAAUAAUUUUUUUAUUUCAAUAAAUUUAUAUUUAACCAAAAGAUUAUCCAUGCCAAUAAAAGGAUGUCUACCGGAUAUAAUUUAUUUUUAUUUUGUAUUUUAAAAUAUUAUGAAAUGAGCACCACUUGUUUAUAAUUAAUUAAAUUAAAUUAAAUGAAAAAAAUGUCUGUAAAACAAGAAAUAAAAAAAAAACCAAAUAAAUAUAUCCAGAUAUCCCUAGUCAUUUUCAAAAUUAGUGAAAAAUCCUAUAGGAAUAAAAAAAAUAAUCUAUGGAGCCUAAUAUCCAAUUAAAUAAAUGUUAAAGAAUGAAACUGAAAUAAACAUGAGCUUAAAAAAAAGGAAAAAACCAAGCAAACUCUGGAAAACCUCCCAAACCUGAGUUAGUCUCUAAAACUUACAACUCAUAAAAUCCUAGACUUGAGCUUGAUUAAGAAGCACAAUUCUCAACUAAUCUAAUGUUGAAUAAUGAAAACAGGAAAAAAAUCAAUUUAAAAAAAUUGUAAAAGUGAAAAAACAUAGAAAUCAAAAGAAUAAGGAUUAAAUCUGAUAGAAAAAAAAACUUAUGAAGGAUGAUAUUGUAAAUAAAAUCAAAUAAAAAAAUUAUCUCAAACAAAAAAAUAGCAAUCAAAAUAAUAGGGACAAAAUUUGAAAGAUAAAAAAACUAAAAGGGGAUUAAAUUGUCAAAUAAUUCCAAUUUAAUAAAUUAUUCCAAACAAAACAAACAAUGAUAAAAAAAAAAACAUCACCAAAUCCAAAGGAAUAACAAAUUGAAGGCGUGCUUUGAAAUUUUGAAGGGACACACAUGAAAAUCAAUGGGAGAGGAAAGAAGAAGAGAAAGAAACGAUUGUCUGCACAAAACCAAACAACCAGUUCACUUGGUCUUACCAAAUGGUCGAUUGGAUCAACUUAAAUACUAGAUUUUGAUAAUUUGAACCUAUCGAAUCCAGAACCGAUACUAAUCAUAUAUACAUGUAGAGUUAAGUGCUUGAGUUCAUUUUAAUUGCGCCGUUAAUUUGAGAUAUAAAGAUUUACAUAAUCACUGAAAUGAACAAUUAAUUCUUAGUCUUCACUCGUUUUGCAUCUUGGACAUCUUCAUUGAUUUUUUCAUGACAUCCUUCAUUCUUGUUGAUGUCAAAACUUAUUUUUGGGCUAUUCCCUAAUAUUUUUUACCUUCAUAUUCCUUUUCAAAAUAAAAAUAAAAUAAUAAAAAAUAAUAGCAAGGAGACUAGCGACGUAGAAAAAGAUGGUUGAGGAAGGAUUUGAAUAUAGAAAAAUUAAAGGUUUUUGGUCAAUUAAAGAUUGCAUUAACGAAAUUUUCAACCAAGGACCAUUUUAAAAAAAGGCAAUUAGGGACUUGGUUGAAGAAAUCCAAAACCAAGGACCAAACUGGAAAAGGUGCAUAAAUAUAGGGGUUGAAAUUGACUGAGUCAGGGACCAAAUUGAAGAAAUUGAAAGUUUGUUGAUCAAUCAAAGGUCAUAAUGCAUAAAUUCAAAACGAAGAAUCAAAGUGAAAAGACAACCAACUUCAUGGCUGGCAUUUGAAUUUGACCAAGAUGCAAUUGAAUUAAUUUUUAAAAUUAAAAUUUGAAUUGAGCACUUUGUUGUUGCCCAAUCUUGGAUCCAUAUUUUUGAUAAAAUGUUGAAAACAAUAAAAAAAAUAACGAAAACAACAAAAAUCCAAAAAAACUAUAUUUUUAAUAUAUUUGCAUCGCUUUUAGCAUUUUUCAGCCUCGUCUCAACAUAAUUUAAAUUUUCUAAGGUCUUUCGAACACGUUCGAGUUUUCACGCGUCGUUUUUAAAAUCAUUGAUUUUCCUCGUUGAGUUGACGUUGAUAUUGCUCAUUUUCAAAAAAUACAAAAAAAAUCAAAAUUUACAAAAAAUAAAGAAGCUGAGGGACCAAUGUGUUAUGGAGACCAAGCCACUUUGCCUAUAAAUAAAGGUCACAACACAGGGGGAGGCAAUUUUCAAAAAAAGGGAGCCAAACACAAAAAACCCUAAAGAUAAAAAAACCCUAAACCCAUCUCUAUCAAAACUAGUAGGCACCCCCUCUUUUCUGGAAAAAACCUGAGAAACAAAGCUAGACCCCUUCCAUUUGAAAACAAAACUAGCGCCUCUUAGUCUCAACUCUCAUCAACUAAAGUUUGCCACCCCUCAGUCAACAGAUCUACACCUCUCUCAUCCUCCUAGCGCAUAAUAGAGUCGUGCCCUCGUCUCAAACGACCCCCUUCAUUAUCAGCCACAGCAACGCCGUCCUCAUUGGAGAUCAACAGCCUAUACACGGCAGCCCCCGGGCAACACUCUAUUCUUCACAACAAAGCAAGCCUAACAAAUGACAACAACGAGAGCCCCAUGGCCAGAUCUGUAGUGAAGCAUAUCUAAAAAAAGAGAGGAAGAGAAUAGAUCUGAAAAAAGAAGAAGAAAGAAUCAGAAAGUUUGCUUAUGUUUUUCUUGUUUUGCAGGUCACUGCUGGUGAGGAAAGGAAGAAGGGAGUAAGUUGUUCUAGAUCCCAUUGUUUUCUUACUCUUCCUCGCGGCAGCGCGUGAAUCCAAGCACUGCUAGUGGCAAUGGCGUUGAUUAGUACUUAAAACUUUAGUGCAUUCUCAUUAAGGCUUUAUAUAUCAUAUUGCACCUAAUGUAUCAUUAAAUUCUGUAACUUAAGCAUGUUUUAUAGUAACAAGUCUUAUAAUAUAAGAUAGCUUUAGUUUAUGGUAAAUACUCAUUUUAAAUGUAGGUUUAUCCCACAACUCAAAGGAUUGAUUGAUGUGAUUAACUAUUGAAAGUGAAGAGACAAAGAAAUGACUAAGCUUAGAGAAGAGAUGCCGGUUCAAUUCAAACUGGAAUACCAUUCGGUUAUUGGAUCAUACCUAGAGUUGUAGAACUUGGAUUUAGGUUUGGUUUAUCUUGAUGGAAAGCUAAGACAUAGGCCUAAAACAUUCAUGAAAAGUCCAAGAUUCAAAUCUUUCAUUUUUAAGUUCAACUUUUAGCACUGACACAACUAAAAGAUUGAAGUCUUCUACCAAGUGCAGGAGUGUCGAAGUAAUAAAUAACUAGGCAAGACCAGGAUUGAACCACAUGGAGGUUAACUAUAUAAAUUAUAAAUAACAACAACAACAACAACAACAACAACAAUAAUAAUAAUAAAAAAAAGAAGUUAAAGAGGACUUUAAGAUGUUUGAUUAAUGUGAGGAUUAAACAAUGAUAAAUACAAAUGUCAAGGUUAGAGGAUCCACUAAUAGUAUUUCAAACAAGUAUAGUAUAAACUCUUUUUAUUACUCAACUGAAAACCACACAUAAAGGAGGUUUCAAUUGGAUGAUUUUUCAUUAAUAGCUUAUUAUAAAUUGUUAACAUGAUCAUAUUAAUUAUCUUAUUUAAGUAACACUAAACUUUUAAAUAUUGUCAGGAAUUCAUGAUGCUAACUUAUGUUAACAACAAAUCAAGUUCCUUUCAUAGCACAUGUGUAGGUUAUACCAUACGGUUGGGCUAUGAAAGUGUCAACCAUUUGUUGUACCAAGUGUUAUACAACACAAAUCUAAAUUAACCAUUUAACAAGUAAGGUAUUAAGAAUUAAUAAGAUAAAAAUAAUAAGACAUGUUAAUAGCAAGUUGUUUAGGAUAUAAGCAUUGAAGUCCAUAUUGAGUUUAUAUUAUACUUAUUCUUAUACCAUUAGUGUAACCUUUUCACCUUGACAUAAUAAACUUAGCUAAAAAUAAUCAAGAAGAGAAACAUCAAUAAACAAGAUAAGAAUAUAAAUAAGAUGAAAGUUAACUAAGUAAAGGAAAGAAAAUGAAAAGCAUAAACAAGAUAUUAAUGAAAGCAAAACUUAAGCAUUACAAAAAUAUAAAGAGAGAGAGUAAGAGCAAGAUCUUGAUCUGAACAACCAAGAUGCCUAAAUGCAUGGCAAAUGCCUCCUUUUAUAGGCCAAAAAUUAGAACUAUUGAUUUGAUGACUAAUUGUUGAGUGGGGGCCACAUCUUGACUUGGUGAUAAUCCUUAUCUUAUUGUCUAAACAAAACAACAUUGAUAACGUCAGAAUUUGAACAGACUUAACACAUGAAAGUUCUAGGAAAUUGUCUCAAUUUUCUAGGAAAAAACAAUUAAGGUCAUUUGGACUUCUAGAACUCGAGAUAUGGAAUGAAAACGGAUUAGUGUCUUGGUUGUAGGAUAGAUUCAGACUUCUCCGUUGUUGCUACAAUUUGAACUUGAAAAUGGCUUUUUUGAAUCUUGCACUCCGCAUGAAAGUUUUAGGCAUAUGUCUUAGCUUUCCAUCCAUAUAAAGCAGGCAUAAAUCCAAGAUCUAUAGCUCCAGAUAUGACCAAAUGACCGAACAGUAUUCCAGUUUAGACUGAACCACAUUUCUUUUCUAACUUUGGCCCUCUCUUUGUCUUUUAAACUCCAGUAGUUAAACUUAUAAAUCAAUCCUUUCAUUCAUGUGAUAGGCCUGCAUUUAAGAUGAAUAUUUACCAUAAAUUAAAGGUAUCUUAUAGUAUCAGACUUGUUAUUAUAAAACAUGCUUUUGUUAAGGAGUUAUUGAUACUUCAAGUGCAAAAUGAUGAUAUAAAACCUUGAUAAAAAUGCACUUCUAAGUACUAAUCACAUCCCGCAACCACCUUAUUACCAGUGCCUAGUAAUCAAAGCGUUAAAAUAGAAAAACAAUUUGCAAUUUCCACAAAGCAAGGCAUUCAUCAUUCAACUUCCAUUAAUCUAUCCAAAUAAACAAAUUCUCAUUAAAUUUAUAUAUAUCUACUCAAUAUCUUUUAAAUAAAAUAUUAAUAAACCUUCCUUUUUAUGAGCUUAAUGUAUGAAAAUAUAGAUGAUGGGGCUUUUUAUUGGAAGAAAUCAAUGUUCUGUUUCUAAUUUAAGGUUGACUUUCUUGGGUUGAGAUUAUUAUCUUUUUUAAUACAUAUACAUAUAACUUAAAACACAAUGCAUCUUUAACCCAUGUUACGAGCUUUUGACUAAUGACUCCCGGACCAGUUGGUCUUAAGGCAUUAGGUGUUAAGACGCAUCUACGAGCUUAGUAACUUGGGUUGCAGAUACUGAUACGUAGAUAAUGUAAUUUUGAUUCCCUUAAGCUUUUCUUCUUAACCCAUGUAACAAGCGUUAGGCCAAAAGCACCCAAGUCGGUUGACUUUAGGGUAUUAUGUGUUAAAACACCCUUUCAGACAUAAUUGCUUAGGUUAGGGAGGCUACGAAACCAAACUUAUCUACUUUUUGUUAUCAUCAAUAUAAUCAAUUUGUUUUUUGUUUUUUUUUGCAGAUUAUAUACUAUCCCUUUCCCUUAGUUGCUACCUUUAACAAAAGAACAUAAAUAGUGUAAUAAUUCAAUGUGCAACCCAUAAUCAUAUGUUAAAGUGUGUGUGUGAAAAUGAAGGUUCAAGAAUACUUGUUAAAUAAGUAUAUGAGCAUAAUCAAUUGAUGAUAAUGGAGAGUUUAUAAACCUGAAUAUUUUAAGAAGUAUUCUGAUAGACCUUAUUAAGUGUUGCUACCCAAUUUUUGACCCAUGUUUUUGAUAUAUUUUCAAAAAAUCCAAAAAUUGAGAAAAACAAAGAAAAUCCAAAAAAUAUGUUUUUGUAAUAUAUUUUCAUCAUUUUAGCAUUUUCAACGUCGUCUAAAAAAGAAUUUAAUUUGUUAAUAUAUUUUCAAACGCGUUCGACUUUUCGCGUCAUUUUUAAAAUCAUUGAUUUUCCGCAUUUAAGUCGACGUUGAUAUUGCUCGUUUUCAAAAAAUACAAAAAAAUAAGAAAAAUCAAAAUUUACAAAAAGAAAGAAGUUGAGGGACCAAGUUAAAAGACCUAGCAACAUUUUUGCCUAUAAAUACCAUGCUAAACUGAUUUUUUGGAGGGGGGGACAAUUUUGACAUUCAGAAAAAAUACCAAAACCCUAAAACCCAACUCUUUCUAGCCACUAAAAAAGGGGGGCCGGCGGCGCCUCCCUCCUGGUUUUAAAUUUUUUUUCCUAGUGUUCUUCUCUUGAAAACCAGCCGCCGGCCCCCACGUUGAAUUCUUUUUUUUCUCCUUCUCAGCCGACCUCAUCUUCUCCUGUAGCCUCUCCAUCCUCCCCCGGCCAUUUUUUUUUUCUUUCCUCUUCCUCACAAAGAACCGGCCAAACAGCCCCUCCACCAUUUGAUUUUUCAGUUUUCUCUUCUUCCACCCGAACCAGCCUCCCUUCCCCAUCGUUCCUCCAUAUCACUUUCUUCUUCCCUCACCACUGAGCCCAUCCGUGACUGGCGAUCCACACCUUCUUCUUCCUCAUCGAUCUGUCCCCUCCAGCCCACAGACCAGUGGCUAGACCGGCGUCCAUCGAGCCCCAAGCAUCCAGCAGAAGCGUCUCCUUCGUCAUCAGUAACGGCUGCUCCUCCUUCGGUCUCCAUCUUUCCCGAUCUCUCACAGCCUACCCGGCUGAUCCAUCAACGCCGAAGCCUCUCCCUCAGCAACCUCUUCUUCGACGGUUCCUUCAACAACCGGUUCUCCUCCAACUCCAACCCGUGUAGCAGAUCCGGACCGAGAUCCAGCCACCACCAGCGCCGACGGUGCCCAACAACCCGAUGUGCUGCAGGGAUGAAAUCUCGGGCAACGAACCGUGAUCAACCCGAAAGAAGCGAUCUGAAAUGAAGAGGAAGGAGCAGAUCGGAGAAGAAAUAAAGAACAAAAAAAUCAAUCCGAAAAAAUAAAAAACAGACAAAGAAAUAAAGCUUAAAAUCGACUGUUUGUGCGUUUGUUUUUUUGUUAUAGAUGAUGUGUUCUUACCGCUGCGGGGAGGAAAGGAGGAAGAAGCAGAAUCCGACCAGCGUUUUUUUUCCGGCGUUCUCUCGCGGCGGCGUGAACCCACGCGCCGCCGCUGUCCAAGCACUGUUCACGCACCUAGCAGCUGUCCCAGCACUGUUCAGGCAGACCCAGAAGGCUUUAGAUUUGUGUUUUUUUAAUUUUAGGGUUGUUUAAUUUGAGUUGUUGAGUAAUUUUAUGUAAUAUUGAAUUUUGUAUUUGUAUUUGUAUGAUGGAUGUAAUAAAAAAAAAAGAACAAAAAAAAAAAAGAAAAGAAAAGAAGAAAAGAAAAUAAUAAUAAAAAAGGGAUGUGUGUUGGUGUAUUUUAUUUAUUUAUUUUGAAUUUGAUUUGUAUUUUUGUGGAUGUAAAAGAAAAGAAAAGAAAAGAAAAAAAUAGUGAAUGUGUGUGUGUAUUGUUUUAUUUAUUUGUAAUAUUAUUUAAGAUAAAAUUGCAAUAUAUUAAAGAAGAAUUUAAUAUUUUGAUCGGAUCACGGUUAAGAAUUAUUAACUUAUACGUAAGUGAUAUUUCUAAUUUCCGAAGAAAAGACAAUUUUAAAACUUCUUUAACACGUCAAAGCCACGAAGCAGCUUACCUCAGGUAGGGUGCGUUAGGGGUGCUAAUACCUUCCCUAACCACAACCAGUCCCUUACCCGCGAAUCUCUGACAAGACCAGUACAUCCGGUUUCCUAGUAGCCCCAAAAAUUACUAGGUGGCGACUCCAACGAACCAAAUUCAAGCAACGAACACAACGAGAUUUAAAUCGCCAGCCGAUGCCGCGCGCUGAUUUUUUUUGGGGUGCGACAGAAUGGCGACUCCACUGGGGAAGGUAUUUUUUCGAUUAUUGGACUAAGCUUUGUGUAUUUGAUGUGUUUAAGUUUUGCAUUUUUAUCUUUUUUUAAUAUUUAUUUCCAUGCAUUUUAUAGAAUUGUCUCAUGCAUCACCUGUAUUUAUUUUUAAAAGCACACACAAGCUUCUAGGUUAGGUGGGGAACUAGCGAUCUGCCCUAAGACUAUUGGUCAGGGUUCAGAUGCGUGAAACACCCAACUCAUAUCUGAGUGCCUGCUUGGUAAUGGUGGGAUACGUACCUUAACCAUUCCUUGCAACGCCCCCAAACUGUCUUUACGAAGAACGUCACUGGGCAGAUAUGAGACCCUUUUGAGACCAGAUAGAAAACUUACCCAUGUUCACAUAAUGAAUAGAACCUGUCCUUAGGUUGUAUGUGCUAUCGUUUUUUGCAUAAGGGCAAACCCUUCUUGAAGCAUCUUGAACUCAAGACUUGUGGGUGACACAUUGGCCGUUGCUCCGAAAAUUUUCAUUGUAGAGUUUGGGCAAAAAUCACGAUUCUUGUCCAUCAUACAAGAGUUACGACCAUAUUGUCACCUCUCGAAGGGAGAGUUCAUCAUAUAGAUUACAUGUUCAUACAUUUAUCAUGCAUGAACCGGGUCGAAACGUAGGUCCCUUGUACAAGUUGUGCUGCACGAGAUUGAAGAAAAAUAAUGGAAGUGAACAAAGGAGUCAGAUAUAGGUUCAGUAUCAGAUUAAGGUUGAGAGCAUCAAGAGUGAAGUAGCGGGACUCAGAUCUGCUCGAACAAGUGUUGAGCAUCAAAUGAAAAGAGAAUGUCUGCACAGUUUUCUGUGGGAACACUGCUUGUUCACGUCCAAUUGAAGCUGUACCUUUCCUUUUCAGUCAUGAACAACAGCAACAACGCCUUCAGUCAUCAACUAAUGACAACUCUGAUUCCUGUCCAGUUGCGCUGUUAAGUAUUCAUCGCCUCCACAUCAUCUAAUGGAACCAAACGACUACUAACCUCCUGUUCAUGGUGCAUUAGUCUGCUUUGAAGUUACCCCAAUUAUGAGCUCAAUUCCAGUUCAGCAGCACAAGAUGUUGGUCUGAAAAAAAAAAAACCAUGAUCAGACACUGAAUUUCAACGCGGUAGAGCUCUCUCUGUAGAGAUUUAUUUGUGGAUCUGUCAAUGGCAAAUGCAAAAGGGAAUGUAUUAAUUUCAUAUGCUUUGAAACUUUUUCCCACCAGUGGCACCAGCAAAACAUUGUAGUAGGCAGAAGAGUCAGACCUGGUCUGAUAAUAUUAGCAGUUGUCAAACUUCAAUGUGGCAGAGCUCUCUCUACAAAAAUCCAUUUAUGGCUCUGCAAAUUGGGAAUGCAAGAGGGGAUUUACUAAUUGCAUAUGCUACAAAUAUUUCUCUCAUCAGUUUCAGCACGAAGAAACUAUAGCAGGUUGAAGAGCCAGACUUGGCUUGAAAAAUAUGAGCAGACAUCAAACUUCAACAUAGCAGAGCUCUCCCGACAGGAAUCUGUUUGUGGAUCCGCAAGAGGGAAAUCCAAGAAGGAAUACAGUAGUUUCAGAUCAUUUAUGAUUUUUCUCCAACAGUGUCAGUAUUAAAAUGCAAAAGUAGAGAGAAGAUACAUGCCUAGACUGAAAAACAUGAAGAAUACUGAAACUUCAACAGAGCAGGACUUCCUCUAUAGGUGUUUGUUUGCUGCACUGUCAGUGAGAAAUGGAAGAGGGGACAAAAGUUUUAGAUUCAUCAGGUGCUCUUCCAAUAAAGACAAUGUGUGAUUCCACACGUCGGUAGUGGCGAUACUACAAGUUUCUGGGCGCUGCCAAGAUUACCAAGCUGUUAGAAAGUUUUCUAACAAUCCUCAACCAACCAUAGCAACAUUGGAAGAUUGAAAUAAUGCUGUGAGGAUUUGCCGAAGAAUUGAACAAGCUAUGAAGAGAAGAAAGAUUGAAGGAUCUGCCAUGGAUUCUAGAACAAUGAUGAGAGGUGAAUCAGGAGAUGACUUUGAUGGUGUGAGCCCUUAAUUAUGUGGUAUAGCCAGGUCUCACGGUAGCAUCAAUUGCUCAAAUGUCUUUGCCAAGAUGGGACAUUCCCCUGCCACUUAAGUUUGUCGACCAGCAUCUGCCAGAUUCCAGAAUUUUGCUUGACUCCGACAAAUCCCAUGCAACCACCAAAUUCUAGGUGGUAUAAUCCAGAUAAGAGAUGUGAUGUCAUGGUGGGGUCCUCAACCAUUUCAAGUGAACAGUUUCAAGAAUUGCAAGAAUGGAGUCUGAAAGUUGGUGAGCAAGAGACAGAUGGAGUCGUUGAUGAAGGGUGUCAUUGGCUAUAUUGUCCCUCGAACAUCAUCAAAAUGACAUGUGAUCGAAAGUGCUUGGCCGAACACAGAUGUUGCCAGAAAAGCUGAUUCAAGUAUGGUGAUGAACAGUCAAUCAUAUUGUUAUGGAUUUCGGCAUUUUGUUUUGGGAUCACAUCUCAUCCUUCAACGAAACAUGUCUUGCUUUUGUCUCUUUGUUGUUUUGAAAUCAACAGAUGUUUAGCAUUUUUUCUGACAAAAUAUUUUGAACAAACUCCAACAUGCGAUAAAGGUUAAUCAAUCCGGAAGAUUAGAAGUGUUUUGAUUACAGAAAUGACUCUAUGCUUGAAAAUGACAUGAGGUGACCAAACAAUUUUGAACUCAUACCUUUUGAAACUGAACCACACAUCAUAUAGCUAAGUUUUAGCAGUAUGCAUAAUGACAUGUAGUGGAUUCGGUAGUUAUGGACUCGUGAAUCAUGAUUCUUACAAGUCCCAAUCAUUACACUAGAUGAGGUCAAAAUUUAUCGGUUCUAACCGACCUUGCUUGAUGUCGCACAUCAAAAAUCCACGCGACAUCGGCUGGCGAAAAUUUUUUAUUUGUAUUUUGCUUGGUUCGUUGGAGUCGCCACCUAGUAUUAUGGUCACUUGGAACCUAAGGUCUGCAAGAGUCUGAAUAAGGGACUGGUUGUGCAAGGGGAAGACGCAUCACCCCCAAUGCACCCUACCUAAGGCAAGCUGCAUUAUUGUUUGAUUGCUUUUCUAGGUCAAGUUUCUAUUCGCUGGUCUUUUCUAAGGUUCAAGGCAGAUCUCCCCUCGUGAGGGAGUCUCUACCUUAUUCGGUAGAAUCCUAACCAUUCUAAAGUCUGAAUUUUAAAAUUGCUUUCACUUAUACCUUGUAUCUUUAAUACCCGCAGAUGUACAUUAUCGUGUAAUUUUACACCCCACAAAUAUUAAAGUUUAUAUCUGGAUCCUAAAAAAUAAAAAAAGGGUUUUUGACAUUUUGACCAAACCUUAAUGGAUAAUCAUAAACAUUUUAUGAUAUCCAUUUUUUUUUGGAUUUUUAAAACGUGAGAAACAUGCAAUUUGUUUUGAAAAAAACAUGCUUGGAAAAUUUUUAAGGCUUGGCCGUAUGCAAUAAAAUAUUUUUACCUUCCUUUUUUAUUUAUUUUUAUUUUAUUUUUUUUGCAAAAAAACCGGGUAUUUUAAUAUCGAACUUGUAUCUUACAUUGUAAGUAUACAACCCAAUAUUAAGCAAAACUUGGUAGAAAAAAACUUUUAAAUUUUUUUUUUUAUUAUUUCUUUUUUUUGAAAUUUUUUUUUUGAAGAUUUUUUUUUGCAAAAAAAACCCAUCAAAGCUUCAUGAUAUUGAAACGAAUACAAUCGUCAUAGGCAGGGAAACGAAAAAAAAACAAACAGGUGCAGUUAUUUGAACUGUUGAGAUUACAUAAUUAUUUGAACCAUAAUUAGCCACUGCAUGCAGAGAUAAAUUCUGCAUGCAGCAGCUACAAAGGACGAACGAAGAAGAAAAAGGAUGGAGCAGGGAGGAGAGAAUUACUUGGCGUGGAGAGAGUGGGCAGCCUGGCUUCUACUGCGCGGUGUGAGUGGAGGCGGCGUGCACUGGUCCCGGCUGGAAGAAGAAUAAAGCAGGUCCUGCAGAGGAGAGGGAAAGCUCACGGCUAGAGCUGUUGGAGUGGCUGAGGAAGAAAGUGCUACCCAAGCUGCUGCUGGUAGGAAUGCAAGCCGCUGUAAAGGAUGGUUGCUGCUGCUGCCACUGCUGGGGUCGCGGUGGUGGAGAGAAAAAAGUUUUGCUGGGAAGAGAGGGAGAGAGAGAGAGUUGUUGCUGGCUUCAGUGAGGUGGCUGGGUGAUGGAUGGGACGUGGUGUUUCAGGGGAAUGAUGGUGGCGAGAUCAGUGGUGGCAACUAGAGGCCACGACGGAGAGAAAAAAAAAAGAGAGGACUGGUUGCAGGAAAAACCGGGCAGGAAAAGCUGAUUUUCGGCCAACUUUGAGUUCAGUUUUCUCCUUCUCCUGAGCAUGAAAUUGGCUCCUAUUUAUAGGGAACGAAAGAGGGUAAUCUGGUAUUUAACGGGGAAAAAUUCUCAGCCCUUGAUUCGACUCGAGGAAUCCAAGCCGUUGGUUCAAAGUGUGCACCUCGAACUGCCAAAUUUGGCAAUCCAAGGCUGCAGACCGCCCGAGGGUGCCACUUUGGGCCAAUAAACGGAGCUGUCCCCAAGUUGUUCCACCCGACCAAACCACUCUACGAGAUAAAGAUGUUUCAGGGGAACAUGUUGGUGCACGCCUUGUCGGAUUUGGGGGCCAAACGAGUGAGAAAACGCGCCUGGAAAUCAGCCACUCGGGCAGCUCUGUGAGGAAGACGAUGAACAGUAACCGGGCGACCCCUCAACACAAAAACGGCGCCGUUUGGGAUAAAAAUUAGGGAUUUUUGCUGAUUUUCAAUCUAGCCCUCCGGCUUUCAAUUGCUUUCAAUUUGACCCCUGGAUUUUGUCAAUUAGACCCCUAUAGUUUGGCGCCUUUUGCAAGUUGGUCCUUGUCUUUGUAUUUUGUCAAUUUAACCCCUAAUUGACCCCAAAACUUCAAUUUUCUUGCAAUUUGACCCUUGAUUUCAAUCAAUCAACUUGGUAAAAAUUAAAUUUGGUCUCUUAAAAUUCCAAUCUUCUCAAUUAAGCCCAAAUUAAGCUCCCAAACUUAAUUUUCCACCAAUUAAGCCCCAAAAUAAAAUUAAUUUGACCCAUUUAAAGUAUAAUUAAGUCCUCGCACUUAAUUAAAUCCUUCAAUUGGACCCAAAUUAAUUCUUAAACAUAAUUAAAAUUCAAUUUGGCCCAUGAUUAAAUCAAAUUGACCUAUUAAAAAUUUAAUUAUGUCCUUGGACUUAAUUUUUAUGCAAAUUCGUCCGAUAAUCAUUUAAUUUAACCUUGAAUUUGCAUUUUCCUUUUCCAAUUUUUGGCACACUGGGGCGCCGGUAGGUCUUGAAUCUCCUCCGAAAAUUGCAAUUUGAUUUCCCUGCAUACUUUCUCCACGUUGCCAGCCUUUAUUAUUUUUUUGUCUUUAUUAUUUUUUAUUUUAUUUUGGGGGGAAUUUAUUUUGGGGGGAAUAACCCAGAAUUGGGUUAUGACACUUGAAAUGAGAAAAGGCCAUCUUUGAUAUCCCUUCACUUUCUAAAGAUUAUAUCCCUUGCAGUCCCAUUUUGAGCCUGGUAAAAUAUUUUCUUUCAAAAAAGGAAACCCUGACUAGGAUCACACCCCACAUUGGGGGGCAAAUGAGAGAUAUUUUGGAGACAUUGAUAUAAUUAAUGGAUAAAGGGGAAGGCUUAGAGCAAAGGUCCAAUGAUUGAGAGAGAGCUAAAAGAAAACACAUAGACUGGGGGCAUAUAAGAAAAUUUUGAGGAAGGCUAUGAAAAAAAAAAAAAAAAAGAAAAAAAAAAAGAGAAGUUGAAAUUGCCUUCACUUAAAUACAAGUCAAAGAUAAAGGAAGGAAAAGCCUAUCAAGUCUAGAAGAGCAAAAGAAAUUUCAAUCAAGGAAAGGUACAACAAAGUCAAUACCAGAAAAAAGACUAAGCUAUAAGCGUUGACUUUUGGUAUCCAUUAUAAAGCCUACGAUGUUAUCAGAUGAUUAAGGUUGGUUAUUUCAAAGAAAGUGGAUUUGCAUUAUGAUUUAUGUUAAGAAAAGUCUGAAGUUUGAGGUUAACAAGGUUAUAUGUUGUUUCCUUUACAAAGACAAUAAUAGAAAACUAGUUGAUGAAUAAUUGAUGUUGAUCCUAGGUCUUUGAAACCCUUAAACACCUUUUGAGCCUUUGAAAUUCCUUUCUUUCAUAGCCAUGAACCAUAGCCUGCAUUACGUGCUUUUAAAAGCCCUUUUUAAUCAAGCAAGCAAUUUGAACCGAUAAAUGGCGCUCUCAAAACUUGAAGAGCUUUUCCAUAAGGGUCGUGACUUCAUGAAUUAAGCUAUUGGUUAUUAUGCAUGCUGAUAAAACAAGUUAUAAGAAGAGAAACAACCUUUCUUUAUCAAGCCUGAGCAUCUAAUCAUUUGAAAUUCACAAAAAUAUCACCUCACCAUAAACCAUCAAAAGAUAUACCCAAAAUCAGAGUUUAAAGUGGACACAAAGAACCAUGAAAAAGUCAUUUUAAAUAUUACAACGGGUCAUUUCUGUUUUCAAAAUACGAGACAAUCAAAGGGCUGCAUUGAAUAAUGUGUUGGGUCUUUGACCAAAGGAGCUCGAAUUUCAAAAAUAACUUUUCAAAAACUGAUAUCUCUCUGAUUUCAUUUCAACAAUUAUACUUGAAUAGACAUGAUCGUUGAAAUGUUGAGAUUUGAUUCCAGAACAAGAAAGAUUUUCAAAAAGAACAUCAAUUGAGUUUGCAAAAUUCUUGACAAAAAUGACAUCAACAUUUCUCGACACUCCUUGAAACGUUGACCACCUGGGGGCAAUACAGUGGACCCUUGAAGAAAAAACAACAUUCCAGAUCAGCUGGGGGCAAAGAAAGAAUCAGAUGAUGAGUCGUCAAAGUUCAUCAAAGUUAUGUUUAGCAUCUGACAAUGACAAAGAAAAACCUUCUUGAGUAUAAACCGAUGAACGAACCUUCAGAUCAUAUUGGGGCAAUGUUGUUCAAAGACAAUCCAUGAUCUAGUGCACUUCAGCAGCAAUUGAUGAGCAACGCUGCACUUGAAGGAUAUUUUCAUAUCUUCAUCUUGAGGUUACCCUUGAAAACAUGGCUAUGACUCCUGAAGAUGUUAUCGGGUGAGUGCAUUUGAAUGAACAUCGAACAUAUGCAUACCACUAAGAUUGACUGUGGGACCAUCUAUUCUGAAGCUCAAAUGCGCACUUCACCACAUGAAUAUGGGUGAUAACAUGAACAUCAUUGAUGAUGCCAAAGCAGGUAUUUUCACGAUCUGAUUUGACAAGCUAAGAGGAAUCCAUAGAGAAAUACAUCGCGCUUACAAUGAUGAGUUGUUUACUGCAAAGCAUGAGAUACAUGUCUGGAUGACUUGGCAGUUCCAUGAAGGCUGGUGACCAUACAUACUUGAAUGGUGUUUCAACCGAAGGCAAGUUCAUGACUGAUUAACAAACGUGAUGGGUGUUGGCAUGAUGCACACAAUCAAUCAGAGGAUAAUUCUCAGAAGAAGCCAGGAGAGAAAAUCUCUCAUGAUGAAUCAAGCAGUACUACACUUGGGGGCAGGGUCAAGCUUCAUGAACGAUGCAAGCAGUAAUUGUCGAAGACAGCCCGGGAUGGGCACUAUUUACAGCUGAGUGGAUGGCUAGCACAUGAAUGAGCUAAUGCAUCGGAAGAACAAAGAAAGCUUUGGGAUGCAAACAAGGGCACCCUAUGACGAUGGAGCAUCAAAGAGGGGGGACCUAUAUUUCAAAUCAGGUAAGGAUGCAUGCAUAUCAUCUAACCUCCAAAAAAAAAAAAAAAAAAAAAAAAAAAAACACCAUUUGCACAUAUUUUUCAAUUGUCACAGGAAAAUCCCAAAGAAAUGAAGAGAUCAACAUUGCAACCGGGAAGCCUCGAGUUUUCAACCCUUGCAGUCAGGAAACACCGAGUUUUCAAACCCCAUGAUCAGGAAUUAUCAGGAAGCACCGAGUUUUCCAGCCCUUUCUUCUGUCAUCCCUUCAGAACUUCGCCAGGUAAGUCCUAUUUUUCACACCGCACUUCAUCAUAUUUUUUCCAUCUGGGUAGGUCACCCAUUACAAUGAGACCACACUUCAUAUUUUUUCCACGUGGGUAGGUCACCCAUUACAAUGAGACCGCACUUCACAUUUUUUCCAUCUGGGUAGGUCACCCAUACAAUGAAACCAUCAUUUUUCCAGGGUUCGUCACCCAUACAAUGAGACCAUCAUUUUUCUGGGUUCGUCACCCAUACAAUGAGACCAUCAUUUUUCUGGGUUCGUCACCCAUACAAUGAGACCAUCAUAUUUAUGGGUUCGUCACCCAUAUAAUGAGACCAUCAUAUUUCUAGGGUUCGUCACCCGUACAAUGAGACCAGCAUUUUUCUAGGGUUCGUCACCCGUACAAUGAGACCAACAUUUUUCUAGGGUUCGUCACCCGUACAAUGAGACCAGCACUAGGGUUCGUCACCCGUACAAUGAGACCAGCAGCACUAGGGUUCGUCACCCGUACAAUGAGACCAGCAUUUUUCGAGGGUUAGUCACCCGUACAAUGAGACCAGAAUGAGGUCGCCAGAUGGGAUCUCAUGUAGCUUUGGUUAAAGGGAAUCACCAGAUGGGAUUUCAGGUUAAUCGAGUUACAUAUAUUUCAUUCCAGAAUGAGGUCGCCAGAUGGGAUCUCAUGUAGCUUUGGUUAAAGGGAAUCGCCAGAUGGGAUUUCAGGUUAAUCGAGUUACACAUAUUUCGUUCCAGUUGAAUGAGGUCGCCAGAUGGGAUCUCAUGUAGCUUUGGUUAAAGGGAAUCGCCAGAUGGGAUUUCAGGUUAACCGAGUUACGCAUAUUUCGUUCCAAUUGAAUGAGGUUGCCAGAUGGGAUCUCAUGUAGCUUUGGUUAAAGGGAAUCGCCAGAUGGGAUUUCAGGUUAACCGAGUUACACAAUAUUUUCGUUCCAGUUGAAUGAGGUCGCCAGAUGGGAUCUCAAGUAAACCCAAUGUGUGGGCAGGUCGCCCGUGAAAAUAGACUAUUGGGAGAGUGUGGGUCGGUCACCCGUGAAAAUAGACUAGAGUGAGUAUGUGUGGGCAGGUCGCCCGUGAAAAUAGAUCAGUGUGAGUGUGUGGGCAGGUCGCCCAAGAUAAUGAAAUCAUCUUCCUUUUGUUUUCUUUACAAAGCUUACUAUGCAAAAUUUUGAGGAUUUUCGCUUCGUAAGCAUUGUAAAGAGGGGGCAUCUGUUGCUACCCAAUUUUUGACCCAUGUUUUUGAUAUAUUUUCAAAAAAUCCAAAAAUUGAGAAAAACAAAGAAAAUCCAAAAAAUAUGUUUUUUUAAUAUAUUUUCGUCAUUUUAGCAUUUUCAACGUCGUCUAAAAAAGAAUUUAAUUUGUUAAAAUAUUUUCAAACGCGUUCGACUUUUCGCGUCAUUUUUAAAAUCAUUGAUUUUCCGCAUUUAAGUCGACGUUGAUAUUGCUCGUUUUCAAAAAAUACAAAAAAAUAAGAAAAAUCAAAAUUUACAAAAAGAAAGAAGUUGAGGGACCAAGUUGAAAGACCUAGCAACAUUUUUGCCUAUAAAUACCAUGCUAAACUGAUUUUUUGGGGGGGACAAUUUUGACAUUCAGAAAAAAUACCAAAACCCUAAAACCCAACUCUUUCUAGCCACUAAAAAAGGGGGGCCGGCGGCGCCUCCCUCCUGGUUUUAAAUUUUUUUUCCUAGUGUUCUUCUCUUGAAAACCAGCCGGCCCCCACGUUGAAUUCUUUUUUUUCUCCUUCUCAGCCGACCUCAUCUUCUCCUGUAGCCUCUCCAUCCUCCCCGGCCAUUUUUUUUUCUUUCCUCUUCCUCACAAAGAACCGGCCAAACAGCCCCUCCACCAUUUGAUUUUUCAGUUUUCUCUUCUUCCACCCGAACCAGCCUCCCUUCCCCAUCGUUCCUCCAUAUCACUUUCUUCUUCCCUCACCACUGAGCCCAUCCGUGACUGGCGAUCCACACCUUCUUCUUCCUCAUCGAUCUGUCCCCUCCAGCCCACAGACCAGCGGCUAGACCGGCGUCCAUCGAGCCCCAAGCAUCCAGCAGAAGCGUCUCCUUCGUCAUCAGUAACGGCUGCUCCUCCUUCGGUCUCCAUCUUUCUCGAUCUCUCACAGCCUACCCGGCUGAUCCAUCAACGCCGAAGCCUCUCCCUCAGCAACCUCUUCUUCGACGGUUCCUUCAACAACCGGUUCUCCUCCAACUCAAACCCGUGUAGCAGAUCCGGACCGAGAUCCAGCCACCACCAGCGCCGACGGUGCCCAACAACCCGAUGUGCUGCAGGGAUGAAAUCUCGGGCAACGAACCGUGAUCAACCCGAAAGAAGACGAUCUGAAGAUGAAGAGGAAGGAGCAGAUCGGAGAAGAAAUAAAGAACAAAAAAAUCAGAUCCGAAAAAAUAAAAAACAGACAAAGAAAUAAAAGCUUAAAAUCGACUGUUUGUGCGUUUGUUUUUUGUUAUAGAUGAUGUGGUUUCUUACCGUCUGCGGGGAGGGAAAAGGAGGAAGAAGCAGAAUCCGACCAGCCGUUUUUUUUCCGGCGUUCUCGCGGCGGCGCGUGAACCCACGCGCCGCCGCUGUCCAAGCACUGUUCACGCACCUAGCAGCUGUCCCAGCACUGUUCAGGCAGACCCAGAAGGCUUUUCAGAUUUGUGUUUUUUUUGAAUUUUAGGGUUGUUUUGUAAUUUUGAGUUGUUGAUGUAAUUUUUUAUGUAAUAUUGAAUUUUGUAUUUGUAUUUUGUAUGAUGGAUGUAAAAAAAAAAGAACAAAAAAAAAAAGAAAAGAAAAGAAGAAAAGAAAGGAAAAUAAUAAUAAAAAAGGGGAUGUGUGUGUUGGUGUAUUUUUAUUUAUUUAUUUUGAAUUUGAAUUUGUAUUUGUAUUGUGGAUGUAAAAGAAAAGAAAAAAGAAAAGAAAUGAAAAUAGUGAAUGUGUGUGCUUGUAUUUUGUUUUAUUUAUUUGUAUAUAUUUUAAGGAUAAAAUUGCAAAUAUAUUAAAGAAUUUAAUUUUUUGAUCGGAUCACGGUUAAGAAUUAUUAACUUAUACGUAAGUGAUAUUUCUAAUUUCCGAAGAAAAGACAAUUAUUAAAACUUCUUUAACACUUCAAAGCCACGAAGCAGCUUACCUCAGGUAGGGUGCGUUAGGGGUGCUAAUACCUUCCCUAACCACAAUCAGUCCCUUACCCGCGAAUCUCUGACAAGACCAGUACAUCAGGUUUCCUAGUAGCCCUCAAUAAAUUACUAGGUGGCGACUCCAACGAACCAAUUCAAGCAACGAACGCAACAUAUGAGAAUUAAAUCGCCAGCCGAUGCCGCGCGUUGAUUUAGCUGAUUUUUUUUGGGGUGCGACAAAGAAUGUUUACUAAGAUGCGUUUCAAGAGUCACUUUAAUAUGAAAGAUCUCUUCCAAUGUUCCGAGACCUCCUAGUAAGGUAAUGAAGGUAUCAACAUGGUUACACAUUGUAUUCAUUCAAUCAGACAUUGUGGAGACUUGUAGUUCCUCUUCAAUUAUUUUUUCAAUGAUGUCCCUUUUAGCUAAAGCUUUGGGGACGACCCCUAAAACUUGAUUACCUCCUAAAAAUACAGCUAUUGACACACACCCAUUCACUAAAUGAAUCUUUCUCUCAAUUAGUACCUGACCAAGAUGAUUUGCUGAUUCUAAAAAUCAUUUUCUUUCCCAAGAUUGGAUCCACUAAAAACACAAAUAUUUCUUAUGUGAUGACUUGAGGAACCUACCAUUUCUACACACUUCUAUACCCGUUCAAUGUAUGGGUUGAGUAGAAAUGAAGGGAAGGAAAAGAAGAUUUUAUAGAUGAGAAAUUAAAAACGCAAUCAUACCACUUAUAUAUAGACCAGUUGGAGUCUCAUUCUCUCUCUCUCUAUUGAUUUUUAUUUUAUUUUGAAAAAGCAUGUGUAUGUACAGGUAGCUGUGAUUGUGGCUCACAUCUUCCCUUCGUUUUACAUCUAAGAACGGCUUAAAUGCCCUCUAUGGGUCAGGGAUAAGUUUCCCAUCCAAUUUUCUUAAAAACUAGCAAACAAGGUCUUUUUUAGUCAGAGUCUCAAGACUAUGUCGAGCAUGUUCUUUAUGGAAUUGUGGCCAUAAAUCAUGAAUUGCAUGAUGCACAUCUCCACUAGGGUGCAUCUCAAGAGUCAAUAGAAGAUUAUCUAAAGACCCCUUACUCAGGCCAUCCUUAACGAAAUGUAUUUUAUCUUCAUGGUUUACAGAUACUAUUGCUAAAGAAUGACAUGUUGCAUUACAAGUCCAUCUCGCACAUCUGUGAUAGACUUUCAGUCGUUUUGCAUGAUAUUUCUUUGCAAAAGUGCUUUUACCUGUUCCAAGCAUGUAUGAAAUGAAAGAAUUGGAUGACUCACCUGAUAAUCGGACCUUUGCUUCAAUCAGCCAGUGAAUAUCUUCAGGAAUUCCAUAAUUCAUCAACAACCUCAAUCUUUCACACCUAGCACGGUAAAUGUUUGCAAUCGCAUUUGGAGGCAAAGCAAAAAAAUACUUUUUUAAUUUUUCAAGAGUGGUGUCCAUUUUCAAAUGAGAAUUGGAGACGAGAUGCAAAGAAAGGAGAAAGAACAAAGAAUUGCAUAUUUAUAUGCACACACACACACAAACACACACACACACACACAUAUAUAUAUCAGUUAUCAUGGGAAAUUGAAAGAACCAACUUAAGAGUCACGGAGUAUCGUUAUCCGUCAUUUCACCGGGGUGAGAGAAACUAGCAAAAUAGAAGUCACACUGAAAAGAAACAUAGAAAUAAUGUGAGAAAAAGAAUCAAUCUUUGUAUACAGGAUCACCCAAUUCAAUAGAGUCAUUUUCAAUUGAAAGAUUGUCAAAGUAAACUUUCAAACGAUAUCCAUUUACCUUGAAAACAUUACCAUUCUUUGGAUUCUCGUUAUCACAGGCCCCAUAUGGAUACACAUGUUUCACAAUAAAAGGACCGCUCCAUCUUGAUCUUAGUUUUCCAGGAAAUAAAUUGAAUCAAGAAUUAAAAAGCAAGACUUUUUGACCAACAUUCAAUGUUUUUCUCAAUAUUUUCUUGUCAUGAAACUCUUUGAUUCUUGCUUUAUGGCCGUAGAAGAUUUUCUUAAAUUUUUGGCUUGUUCAGAAAACUUGGCUGAAGAAGAUAACCAGUCAAUUCAUAAUGAGAAUAAUGAGAAUAAUCGUGUUAGAAUACUUAGAGAUCAUAUGAAUCCAACAAGAACAAGUGCACCAUCAUGUAUAAUUUUUCCUCUAGAUACAUCUCAUUUUAAUUUUAAGCCAAGUAUCAUUAAACUUUUACCCACUUUUCAUGGAUUAGAUCCAGAAAAUCCAUACUUGCAUUUGAGAGAAUUUGAAGAAGUUUGUAACACUUAUAAUGACUUAAAUUGUAGUAUGAAUACCAUCAGAUUAAAGCUUUUUCCCUUUUCAUGAAAAGAUAAAGCUAAAACAUGGCUACAAAAUCUUAGGUCAGGAUCUAUUCUUGUUUGGGAUGAAAUGCAACAACAGUUUUAAAGAAGUUUUUCCCUUCUCAUAGAAUAAACUAUUUUAAAAGACAAAUUGCCACUUUCACUCAAAAACCAAGAGAAAUAUUUUGCAAGUGUUGGGAUAGGUAUAAAGACUUGUUUAAUAUAUGUCCUCAUCAUGGUUUUGAAAUAUGGAGAUUGGUUUCACUUUUUUAUGAAGGGUUAACACCUAAAGAUAGACAAAUGGUGGAAAUGAUGGGCAAUAGAACUUUUGAAGAUAAAGACCCUGAUGAAGUAAUAGAGUACCUAGACAUGCUAGUUGAAAAUUCUCAAAAUUAAGACACUACAAGCAUUUAUGAGGCACCAGGUAAAACUCAACCUCAUACAUCUAGUGGAGGCAUGUAUAACCUUAGGAAAGAUCAUGAUCUCCAAGCCAAAUUUGCAUCCUUAGUUAGAAAAGUCGAGGCACUGGAAUUGAAAAAGAGUGGUCCAUUAAGAUCUAUUCAAGAAAUUGUGUGUCAAAUUUGUGAAACUAAUGGACAACCAUUGAGUGUCCAACUUUGCCUUCUUUUACAGAAUGUCUCCAUGAACAAGCCAAUGCUUUAAACAGUUUUCAAAGGCUAAAUCAUAACCCAUACUCGUAAACGUACAACCCUAGUUGGAGAAAUCACCUAAAUUUUAGUUGGAAUAGUGGUAACAAUAAUGCAUAAACUUCACAUCCACCAUUUUAAGCACAACAUAAUUUUUAAAAUUCUCAUGGAUAUGCACCUCCCUAUGCUCCCCCUCCUAGAAGAAAUCUUGAGGAAACUUUGCAUGCAUUCAUUGAAAAGCAAGAGACAAUCAACACUCAAAAUGCUCAAACUAUGGCUGAUUUAAUAGAUACUCUUGCAAAAUUCACAUCUACUCCCUGUUUUUAGGAGAAAGGUAAGUUUUCAUCUCAACCACAACAAAAUCCCAAAGGGUAAUACAAUUCUAGUGCGAGUAGCUCCGGAAGCCAACAUAUGGAUCAAGUCAUAUCAGUCACUACUCUCCACAGUGGUAAGGUUAUUGAAAAACCUAUUCUUGAACCUUGGGAGAAAGAUGAUGAGUUAAUCUUUGAGGGUAAGGAAAGGGUUGAACUUGAACAUUGCAAGGAAAAGACUGAUUCCCCAUCAACACUUUCAUUUCCUCAUGCCAUGACCAAACAAAGAAAAGUCAAUUACAAUUAUGAAAUCUUUGAAAAUUUUAAACAUGUAAGGAUCAAUAUACCUAUGUUGGAUGUUCUUAAACAUGUACCUUCUUAUGCUAAAUUUUUGAAAGACUUAUGCACCGUGAAUAGAAAAUUGAAUGUGAAAAAGAAAGCCUUUUUAGCCGAACAAGUAAGUGCCAUUCUUCAAAACAAUAAUGCUUUGAAAUAUAAAGACCCUGGUUGUCCUACAAUUUCAUGCUUUAUUGGAUAACAUAAAAUUUACUUCCAUAUUCAGUUUUUCAAAGUCUUAAUCUAGGUGUGUUAAAACCAACUUCUAUAACUUUUUUUACUUAUUGAUAGAUCUGUAAAAAUUCCUAAAGGAAUAGUUGAAAAUGUGUUAGUAUAAGUUGAUAAAUUUAUUUAUCUUAUGGAUUUAAUUGUCUUGGAUACACAACCUGUUGAAGCAUGUAAUUCAAUUCCAUUUAUUUUAGGACGUCCAUUUCUUGCAACUUCUAAUACAUUGAUUAAUUGUAGGAAUGGAGUUAUCUUUUGGAAACAUGACAUUGAAAAUGAAUGUUUUUAACAUUUGCAAGAAACCUGGAGAUGAUAAUGAUUUAUAGGAAGUGAACUUCAUUGAAAAAUUAGUUUAUGAUCAAUUUGAAAAUACUUCAAGUGAAACUAAGUUUAAUGAAUCUGAAGAUUUGCAAAUAGUUUAUUUUCAGGAAGAAUCAAAGGCAGAUAUUUGGAGACCAAAAAUUGAGGAAUUGCCACCACGAUCAAUUGAGUACAAAUCUAGUACUAAAAUAUAUAGUUUUCUCUGAAAUGUUGUGUGUAUAUUAUAUAUAUAUAUAUAUAUAUUUGGAAAAAAAAAUACUUUGUUUUCAUGCAUAUGAGUAAGUCUCUCAAAAUAUAAAAAAAUAUUUCAUAAUGUAUUUUCAUGCAAAAAAAAAAAAAUGUGUUAGCAUACAUUUUGAGUUUUAAUAACCAGUUUAUGAAAACCAUGAGUACUAGAUCUAUAUUUCAAAAAUACCAUAAAAAAUAUUUUGUUUUCUUUUAGCAUCUGAGAUUACAAACUUUUAUAUAUAGACAUUACAACGGUUAGGUUAAUUUUCACCGAUAUUAAAAAUAUAGUUCUUUUAUAUAUAGAUAUUAGAAUGGUUAGGUUUUUACCUGAUAAAAUUAGGAUCUCCUUACUAAGGUGAUUUUUUCUUAAACCUUAGAGAGACUGACAAUUAGAAAACACAACAAUACUCUAGUUAUGUCAAACAAUACAUCUUACCUUAGGUAAGUAGUAUUAGGGGUGUUAAUACAUUUUAUUUAUGCAACCAGUCUUCGUGCCCAAUCUUUGAGACUAGUUAGGGUUUCUAGUGAGCAAAAUACAAGAUAGCGACUCUCAUUCCCUCUUUCCACUAAUAAAGGAUAAGAAUUCCUUAUCUUGUCAAUUUCCCCAUACUACAUGCCAAUAUGGAAUUUCAGGAGGACAUUCGUCGCAAUGUUGCAUCAUGCACAACAAUUGAGAAAGGGGAUGGUUUGAUUUUGGUCUCGACUUGAGUUGUUUUUGUUGUGAUAUUCAGGAUCGAUGUUGCUGAUCAUUAUUAGUGUCGUAUAAGCCUCGCACGACGUCGACUUGAGUGUGCUGGUCUUUGUCAGAGAUUCACGGGUAAGGGACUGGUUGUGGCUAAGAAAGAUAUUAGCACCCCUAGUGCUCCGUAUCUGAGGUAAAAUACUUCGUGGUUUUGUAACAACCUCAAAAAAAUUCAAUCAAUAUAUUCGUUUAACUCCCACAUAAAGGGUAAAUGGAGCAAUUUUUUUUUGUUAAGUUCACCGAAAUUUCUAAGAAAUUUCGGUAGAGUCUCCUCCAUAUUGGGAGAUCCCAAGUUUUCGACAAAUUACCCUACACACAAUUAUAAUCACAUCCCACCGAUAAUGACAUCUAUAAUUGGUACAUUCAACCAUUUAAUUCAUUCAAGAAUAUACUCAGGACAAAUCUUCAUUCUCAAUCUCCAUCUUAUAUCACAUGCAUAAGUUAGUAAUUAAGAUGACCAUCUAAGCACUGAAAUUUCAUAUAUAAACACAACACAAUUUAGCAUUCUGAAUAUAAGCUAUUAUGCUAUAAUUUUUCCAAGUAUAGAUUUAUACAUGAAUAUUCCUAAAACAAAAUAAUAUAAGGAGUAUGCUAUUCUAUUCAAGUUACAUGUUUACUGCAUAACAAAAUUACAUCAAAAAUCCCAGAGUUUCUAACUUAUACAAAAGGGAUAAGGAACCUAAAUUCUACUCCUGAAGUGAAUGGGAGGGACCUGCAAAACAUAAAUUGUCCAUUUCAUUAAAAAUAACUAAAAUACAAACAAAUCACGGAAGACUAUACAGCACAUCUACCUACUUAAAUCAUAUGCAAUUUCAAUACACCACCACCAACCCCUUUUGAGGAUUAUCCAAUUUAUUUCCUUUAACUACUUCUCCCCACAUUAGGAAGACUACUACCGACACUAAUGACCUCUAUUAGUGUCCUUAGUUACCCGUCAUGGGGUUAACUAAUCAGAUUCAUGAAAAUGCCGACACUAACACGACCAUUGGUGUCAUUAACUAUUUUUGGACCGAAAUAGUUAAUCAAUGUUCUAUGCUACCUUGGGAGGUCCUUGAGUAUGCCGAUGUCAAGGAUUCUUGACAUCAUUAGCUUUCACCUCGAAAAGCUAAUCAAGUCUAUAAGUUUUGCUGAUAUCGACGUCACCCGCCAAUAUUAUUAACUAUUCUGAACUCGAAUAGUUAAUCAAGUUUAUAAAUUUUGCCGAUAUCGACGUCACUCGCCAAUAUCAUUAACUAUUUUGAACCCGAAUAGUUAAUCAAGUUUCAUAUUUCUUGUCCCAUGUACCGAUAAUUCCGAUGUUACCCAGCUUGGCUAACAUCAUUAGCCUCCCAUAUCAAGGACAUGUUAAUCAAAUUCGAGAAACAUCCAUUACCAAAAUUCAUUGUUACUAUUCAUUUCCUCCAAAAGAACCCAUAAUUUAAAUUUAGUCAUUCAUUUCUAUUUUCCCAUCAUUUAACCUUUCCUUUCCCCCUUUUCUUUUCCUUAUCAAUAAGCACCAAAUUUUUAUAGUUCAAUACUUAGUUAAAAUAAUUAUUAACCAUAGGAGAUACAGGUAUCAAGUACCUAUCUGCUAUAGACGCUCGACUUGUGUUUCUCUGUUGUUGUUGUACUCCUCCUGCGGUUCUUCCUGAAACCAUAAACACCCAUCAUUAUUCCAUAUUAUUCCACAUAUCAUAACCCAACAACAACAAUGGCAAUAAUAUUCAUUUCUCUUUUAUCAAUUUUUUUUUCUCACUUACACUCCUCAUUAUUAUCCUUUAACAUUUUCAGCUCAUUAGUAGUCCAAGUGGACAUCAUGAAUUCAAUUUUGAUCAACAUUUAUUCUCUCUUUUUUUUUAAGAUCAAGACACACUUUAUGAAGGGCGAAAAAACAAAUUCUACCCUUAAUACGACUAAAUUUUGCCGUUUUAUCGACUUGGCCAAAGCAGCCACCAAGGGUGGCAGCUUGACCUCUCCGCAGAUUUUUAUUUGUAUCUGGAGUUCCAAGACUCCAAAUUAGAAGGCGUCAGACUCGUUGGAAAGCUAACACUCCCAACUAUAACUUCUGUGAUGGACCCUCCCUAGAUUCUAUCAUCUUCAGGUCCAAAUUCCCCUAGGAACUAGGGCAACGAACCUGCCCUGUUUUGUCAAUGGAGAAGGUACUAUAAUUUUUAUCUCCAAUCCUACUUCCCUAUCAAAUACAUCCAUGUUUUCACCUUAUGCAUGGUAACCUAGAGUGUAGGUUCCUCUUCCUUACAAGUUACAAUUUGUAACUACACUACAUCAACACAUCUAAUUAAUUAAUAGGGGAGUCAUACGUUCUCCUCUAUUUUUUCUUCCCCUCCAGUGGCCGGUCCUUAAAUCUGUUCCUUCUCUCUUUAUAUAUAUACACUCAAUCACUACAUAUCCUUAUUGUUCACCUCCUUAAAACUGUUUCUAUUUUGCAAUAAGGAAAACAACGCAAACAAUCAAAAUUUCCCUUCUUUCUUUAUAACCCCAUGGCCGGCCACUAUUUCCCCUUAGUCUUUGAUGUUGUCAAAAAAGACGCAUUAAAAGUCGAACGCGUUCAAAAGACCUUUAUUAAAUUUAAAUUCUUUUUUAGACGAUAUUGAAAAUGUUAAAAACAAUGCAAAUAUAUCAAGAGCAUAUAUAUUUUUUGGGUUUUUGUAGUUUUUUGCUAUUUUUGGAUUUUUUUGAAAACUUAUAAAAAAGAUGGGUCAUAAAUUGGGUAGCAGCAAUUAAUGUAUUUCAUUGGUCGUUGGUAUCAGUGGUCGGAGAGAGUAGUUGUUGUUGUUCUAGGAUUCAAGCAACAAUACACCUAAAAGGGAGGUGAAUUAAGUAUUCCACAAAUAAUAAUAAAUAUUGAAAUUAAUUCAAUUAAACACAAUAAACCAACAAUAUAAUUAAAUUGCAUAACGUAAAGAGCAAAAUUAUAAAAAUUGUAAACCCAGUCUUGUAUAUUUUGUUCUUUCACAAGUCCAAGUUGAAACCCCUCCGUAGAGAGUAGUUGUUGUUCUACUAUCACGCGUACGGGCCCCAUGUUUUAAUUCCGUCGGCAAAAUCACCCGCCAAAACCUUAGCGCCAUCUACCCGCCCUUUUUUCAUUAAUUCUGAAUUGUCUGUCGGUAAUUCGGUCGGUAAUUACUGACCGAAUUACAGACGCAAAGUUUCCGUCGGUGAGUUCGACCGAAAAAUACCGAUGGAAAAAAUUCCGUCGGUGAGUCCGUUGGUAUUUAGCGAAUUUCUGGUAGUGCCCAAACUUGGUCCCUCAGCUUCUUUCCUUUUUUUUUUUGUAAAUUUGAUUUUUCUUAUUUUUUUGAAAACAAGGAAUAUCUACGUCGACUGAACAAGGAAAAUCAAUGAUUUUAAAAAAGACGCAUUAAUAGUCGAACGCGUUCAAAAACCUUUUAUAAUUUAAAUUCUUUUUUAGACGACAUUGAAAAUGUUAAAAACAAUGCAAAUAUAUCAAGAGCAUAUAUAUUUUUGGGGUUUUGUAGUUUUUUGCUAUUUUUUAAAUUUUUUGAAAACUUAUAAAAAAGAUGGGUCAUAAAUUGGGUAGCAGCAAUUAGUGUAUUUCAUUGGUAGUUGGUAUUAGUGGUCGGAGAGAGUAGUUGUUGUUGUUCUAGGAUUCAAGCAACAAUACACCUAAAAGGGAGGUGAAUUAAGUAUUCCACUAAUAAUAAUAAAUAUUGAAAUUAAUUCAAUUAAACACAAUAAACCAACAAUAUAAUUAAAUUGCAUAAAGUAAAUAGUAAAGGGAUAGAAAUUGUAAACCCAGUCUUGUAUAUUUUGUUCUUUCACAAGUCCAAGUUGAAGAUUACAAUUAUAACUUGAUGAAUUCACACCAAGAUAUUACACCACUUGAAGAUAUUGUCUUUUUUGACAGUUUGAACCUGCUGAAUCUUCAAUCAAUACUAAUCCUAUAUAUAUAUAUAUAUAUAUAUAUAUAUAUGCAUAUAUGCAUAGUGAAGUGUUUAAGUUCAUUUUAAUUGUGCUAUUAAGCUAAAAUAUAAAUAUUUACAUAAUUACCAAAAUGAGCAAUUAAUUCUUAGAUUCUCAUAUGAUCUUCAUUUGCUUUGGUGGCUAGGUUAGAAGAAGAAAACUAUUUUUUUUUCUACACUAUUAUUUCAUUUUAUUUUCUUUCUCUAUCUUAAGUUUUUCUUCAAAGGGUUGCUAGGGUUUCUUACCCACCUUUUGUUUUCCCUCUAAUUUUUCUAUGGAGGCUAGAGGUUUUUUUUUACACCUCCCCCCUUUUCUUACCUUGCCUUUCUAUUUAUAGCCAAUGGGGUAGGUUCUAGAAUCUGUAUAGAAUAUUUAAAACAAUACAGCCUCUGUCAUCAGCGCUGUCUCUUUUCGUCACCGUCGAGUUACUACUAUCUUGCCCCACGUUGACUCAAGGAACCAUAGCCGCUACUUCCACAGUACCAUUAACCUGAGGUGUUCAUUACCGGAAUCAUAACCCAAGGCAGGCCAGGCCCACUCACAUCGUCCAUGUGCAUCUUCAGCGUGCUCGUUAAAAGAGUGAAGAUGAGGUACGGGAUAUCCAGUGGAGCUGUCUCGAGCCAUCAUAAUCACUCAAGGUAUAAAGCUUCUACCUAUUAUCAUUUAGUUGUAAUCUUUUACAUGUGCAUGCUACUGCAAAGGCAAGCUCCCGUUUUUCCUUUAUGCGCUGUGAAGUUAACAUAUAGUGUUGUAAGGUGUGUGGAUCUUUAAGUCCUAACCUGGUCACGGGUGUUCUUUCACUUGCUACGGAUACUGAAGGGGAUGGGUGUGAUUUUUGCUUCAAACGCAUAUGAUCUUGAAAACUUGAUUGCAUGUCCUAAGGUCAUGUUAAGACCUUGCCUAGUUAAUUAAGAAUGCUCUUACCCAAGGUUAAAGUUCAAGAACGGUAUGAGAAGGUGGAAAAAGAUGUUGAUAACUAUUGGGGUCAUAGGACAGUCAGGGAGUUUUUCCAUACCAUGCUUGGGCUUUGGAUGUAUGUUUCCUUGACAUGACAUGGGUAUGCACGGUUUGAUGUAAUUUAAGCUUUUGAAAGUUCUCUUGACAUGAGAUACUUAUUUUAUCAUGUUAAAGAAAACUAAUGGGAUAGACUUGCUUUAACCAAUAAACAUGCCAAUUAUUAGAAAAGCAAAACAAUACUUUAGUUAUAAGCAAACAAAGAAACAAUACAACUUAUAUUAUGUAUAAUGUACUAGGGAUGAUAAUAUUCACUCUAUAUAAAAUUAAUUUUUUUAUCCAAACUCUAAAAACUAUAUAAGGUUUCAGUAUUCAAAAUAUAAAAUGGUGACUUCAAAUAUUUUUUGUUAAUAUAGGACAAUAAAUCCAUGUUCUUUCGCACUACACGAAAGUCUUGAUUUAAAAAGAUGAUCACAAUGAUCCUACAACCGUGCUACAUUCAACAUGGUACUUUCCAUGAGUCAUCUGAACCCUUCACUUGUAAACUAGGAUCACAAACAGCAUUCACGUUAGCUGCACAGCUUGUAGAAGGGCAGCCAGUAGAACCUCCUUGCGGGGUUAUCGAAAUCAAGUAAACAGCCAAACAGUGGAACACGUGAAAAUCAAGAAGAGAGAAAAGAAAAAGAAAAGUCUGUCCCUGCCAAACCAAACAAUCAUCUGCCAGCCACACGUACUAUCUCAUUAAAUUAAAGCAGGUGUGUAGGGUGAAGUUUGAAAUAUAAUUUAUAUUAUUUUUAAAUAAUUUUUUAAAUAAAAAUUAUUUGAAUUAAAAAUUUAUACGGUUAAUAUUACAUGGUUAUUAAAGUUUUAAUAUCAUGUUAAAGAAUCAAUUUAACCCAAAAGUUUAAUCUAUUAAAUUAAGUCUAGAUAUAAUUUAUAUUAUUUUCUAACAAAAAUAAAUCACGACAAAAAAAAUACCCAAUGAAAUAUACAAAUACCCUUGUUUUGAACCAUAAGUGACUAUCUAGAUAUCUCAAUUAAUGAGAAAGCCGACUAGUAAACAGACAAUUAGAGGAACGCCCUGCUUCACUCUAAUGAAAGCAAUUGGAUGCAGGAAUAGGGCCAAUUCUCAACUAAUCUAGACUUGAGCUUGAUUAAGAAGCACAAUUCUCAACUAAUCUAAUGUUCAAUAAUGAAAACAGGAAAAAAAUCAAUUUAAAAAAAUUGUAAAAGUGAAAAAAUAUAGAAAUCAAAAGAAUAAUGAUUAAAUCUGAUAGAAAAAAAAAACUUAUGAAGGAUGAUAUUGUAAAAAAAAUCAAAUAAAAAAAUUAUCUCCAACAAAAAAAUAACAAUCAAAAUAAUAGGGACAAAAUUUAAAAGAUAAAAAAACUGAAAGGGGAUUAAAUUGUCAAAUAAUUCCAAUUUAAUAAAUUAUUCCAAACAAAAUAAACAAUGAUAAAAAAAAAAAAAACAUCACCAAAUCUAUAGGAAUAACAAAUUGAAGGCGUGCUUUGAAAUUUUGAAGGGGCACACAUGAAAAUCAAUGGGAGAGGAAAGAAGAAGAGAAAGAAACGAUUGUCUGCACAAAACCAAACAACCAGUUCACUUGGUCUUACCAAAUGGUCGAGCGGAUCAACUUAAAUACUAGAUUUUGAUAAUUUGAACCUGUCGAAUCCAGAACCGAUACUAAUCAUAUAUACCUGUAGAGUUAAGUGUUUGAGUUCAUUUUAAUUGCGCCGUUAAUCUAAGAUGUAAAGAUUUACAUAAUCACUGAAAUGAAUAAUUAAUUCUUAGUCUUCACUCGUUUUGCAUCUUGGACAUCUUCAUUGAUUUUUUCAUGACAUCCUUCAUUCUUGUUGAUGUCAAAACUUAUUUUUGGGCUAUUCCCUAAAAUGUUUUACCUUAUUCCUUUUCAAAAUAAAAAUAAAAUAAUAAAAAAUAAUAGCAAGGAGACUAGCGACGUAGAAAAAGCUAGUUGAGGAAGGAUUUUGAAUAUAGAAAAAUUAAAGGUUUUUGGUCAAUUAAAGAUUGCAUUAAUGAAAUUUUCAACCAAGGACCAUUUUAAAAAAAGGCAAUUAGGGACUUGGUUGAAGAAAUCCAAAACCAAGGACCAAACUGGAAAAGGUGCAUAAAUAUGGGGGUUGAAAUUGACUGAGUCAGGGAUCAAAUUGAAGAAAUUAAAAGUUUGUUGAUCAAUCAAAGGGUCAUAAUGCAUAAAUUCAAAACCAAGAAUCAAAGUGAAAAGGCAACCAACUUCAUGGAUGGCAUUUGAAUUUGACCAAGAUGCGAUUGAAUUAAUUUUUAAAAUUAAAAUUUGAAUUGAGCACUUUGUGGUUGCCCAAUCUUGGAUCCAUAUUUUUGAUAAAAUGUUGAAAAAAGUAAAAAAAAGUAACGAAAACAACAAAAAUCCAAAAAAACUAUAUUUUUAAUAUAUUUGCAUCGCUUUUAGCAUUUUUCAGCCUCGUCUCAACAUAAUUUAAAUUUUUUAUGGUCUUUCGAACACGUUUGAGUUUUCACGAAUCAUUUUUAAAAUAAUUGAUGAGCUCCUGCAUGCGUGCAAGCUGCGCAAGAUUUAUUUUUGUUCAUAUCAAUAAUUAAAUCUUGGUCGAUUCAAAUAAAAACACAAACAAGUUUUAAAUACAUCAAACUCUUGUUUCAUGCUAAUUUAUGUGAAUCUAUUUUAUUUUUUUUCAUAUAAAAAGAAUAGGACUUGAAUCUAAAAAGAAUAAAAAGAUAUCAAUAAUUAAAUUAAUAUUGGUCGAUUCAAAGAAAAUAUAUAUGCAAGCUGCGCAAUAUUUAUUUGCAAAUAGAAAAUAUAUAUGUAAGAGCAAGCAGAAUAAUCAAAGUGAAUAAUAGAGUUUUCCAUGCUAGAUUCUAAAAUAUGUAAUAUUGUAAAACUACUUGCCAUAGAGGAAGAUGACGAGGGUGAAGGUAAUUAUUGCAAUGGGCAUAGAGGAAAGCAAGAAACACUCUAUAUUUUAAAAAGAUUGUGUUUGCCACUUAAUAAAUAGUGUUAAAUUUGCAGACAAGUAAACAGUCAAACAGUGGAACACGUGAAAAUCAAAAAGAGACAAAAGAAAAAGAAAAGUCUGUCCCUCCCAAAUCAAAAUAAUAAGGACAAAAUUUAAAACAUAAAAAUACUGAAAGGGGAUUAAAUUGUCAAAUAAUUCUAAUUUAAUAAAUUAUUUCAAACAAAACAAAUAAUGAUAAAAAAAAUCAUAUGCCAGCCACACGUACUAUCUCAUUAAAUUAAAGUUGUUAGGUGUGUGGGGUGAAGUUUGAAAUAUGAUUUAUAUUAUUUUUUAAUAAUUUUUUAAAUAAAAAUUAUUUGAAUUAAAAAUUUGUACGGUUAAUAUUAUUUGGUUAUUAAAGUUCUAAUAUAAUGUUAAAGAACCAAUUCAACUCAAAAAUUUAAUCUAAUAAGUUAGAUCUAGAUAUAAUUUAUAUUAUUUUCUAACAGAAAUAAACCACUACAAAACAAAUACCCAAUGAAAUAUACAAAUGCCCUUGGUUUGAACCAUAAGUGACUAACUAGAUAUCUCAAUUAAUGAGAAAGCAGACUAGUAAACAGCCAAUUAGAGGAACGCCCUGCUUCACUCUAAUGAAAGCAAUUGGAUGCAGGAAUAGGGCCAUACUCACAAUAAAAUUGAUUUACAUCCGACAUACGGACAUAGUACUUUGUAAGUGUAAAAGCUAUGUUUCUGUGUCUAUAAAUAUCGGUAGAUCUUUUUAAGAAAAUAUCUUAUUGAUAAAUAUCAAAAUAUUUAAUAUCAUAAUACAUAAUAUAUAUUUAAUUGUGUUUAAUAAUUUUUUUAUUUCAAUAAAUUUAUAUUUAACCAAAAGAUUAUCCGUGCCAAUAAAAGGAUGUCUACCGGAUAUAAUUUAUUUUUAUUUUGUAUUUUAAAAUAUUAUGAAAUGAGCACCACUUGUUUAUAAUUAAUUAAAUUAAAUUAAAUGAAAAAAAUGUCUAUAAAAAAAGAAAUAAAAAAACCAAAUAAAUAUACUCCAGAUAUCCCGAGUCAUUUUCAAAAUUAGUGAAAAAUCCUAUAGGAAUAAAAAUAAUAAUCUAUGGAGCCUAAUAUCCAAUUAAAUAAAUGUUAAAGGAUGAAACUGAAAUAAACAUGAGCUUAAAAAAAGGGAAAAAACCAAGCAAACUCUGUGUCGCACCCCGAAAAAAUCCGGCGCGCGGCAUCGACUGGCGAUUUUUCUCGUUAUUUGCGUUUGCUUUGAAUUUGAUUCGUGGGAGUCGCCACCUAGUAAUUUAUUGAGGGCUACUAGGAAACCUGAUGUACUGGUCUUAUCAGAGAUCGCGGGUAAGGGACUGGUUGUGGUUAGGGAAGGUAUUAGCACCCCUAACACACCCUACCUUAGGUAAGCUGCUUCGUGUUCUGAUGUGAUUUGAAAAUUUAAAAUAUUAAUCAAAUUCUAAGGCUUGAAUAAAUCAGUUAUUUAAAUCCCUGAAUAUAUGUAGAAAUUUGUUCUCAUAUUUUCAUGGAAAAUACAACUUGAUUUUUUUUGUCCUUGAGAUAUUUAACCAUAUUUAAAUUAACAAUUAAAUCUUUUGUCUUUUUUUUUUAUUUUUAUAAUUCAAUAACAUAAAUAAAAAAUACAAACACACAAAACUUUCUUUUUAUCAUUUAUUUUUCUUUUCUUUUCUUUCUUUUCUUUUCUUCUUUUACAUCUCAAUAUAAAUACAAAAACAAAAUCAAAUAUAAAUACAAAUUCAAAAAUCAAAACAAAUAAAUAAAAAUUACAUUAAUUAAUUCAAAAUUUACACAAUAGUCCCUAAAACUCCAAAAAUUGCAGGGAAGGACUUCUUCUUCUCCUCCGUUUCAGGUGGCUAGCAGUGAAGAGGAACGACCGAGAAGGGAGCGUCGCUGCUGGGGCUGUUCGGUGUUGGAGGGGGCGUCGCUGCUGGGGCUGUUCGGUGUUGGAGGGGGCGCCGCUGCUGGGGCUGUGGGUUGCUGCUGAGUUGAUCAAAGAAGAAGAUGCUGCCGAGAGAGGUGCUUCAGUGUUGAUGGGUCCCGGCGGGAUGGAGACGAAGGGGCUGUCUUGGGUUUUUUAUGGCUGAAGAGGGUGAGGGAAAAAGUGGCCGAGAGGGAGAGAGGGGGGUUGUGAGCGGGGGCUGUUCGGUUGGAGGAGAAGGGAGGCCACUGUGGUUGCUUUGAAAAUGAGCAAAAAUAGGGAAAAAUGGUGAUGGCUUCGGGGCGUGAGCAGGGGAGAUGAAGGAAGGAACUGGUGAGGUCGUGGCUGAAGAAGGUGAGGGGUUGUUUGGCUGGUUUCGAAAGAAGAAAAAAAAAUGUCAAGGGUGGGGGGCGGCUGCCUCGAGAAAAAUGAGAGAAGAUAGGUGUCGACUCUGUGUUGGGGAAGAAGGAAAAAGCAAAUGGUGAUCAAGGGGAGUCCUCCAAACCGGCUGCUGAGGGGGUCAGAUGGGGGAGAAGAAAAAAAAAUAAAAAUCCAAAGGGAGCUUGGGGGGCUGGCCAGCGGCUGCCUUUCGGUGAGGGAGAGAAAAAAACUAAAAUUAGGGUUUCAGCUGCCUCUCCCUCAAAUUUCAAAAUUGCCCCCCCCCCCUUUGUGUGAGUUAAAGACCAGUAUUUAUAGGCAAAAAUGUUGCUAAGUUUUUCAACUUGGUCCCUCAACUUCUUUCUUUUUUGUAAAUUUUGAUUUUUUCUUAUUUUUUUGUAUUUUUUGAAAACGAGCAAUAUCAACGUCGACUCAACGAGGAAAAUCAAUGAUUUAAAAAUGACGCGUGAAAAGUUGAACGCGUUUGAAAUUUUUUUAAAAAAUUAAAUCCUUUUUUUUUUUAGACGACGUUGAAAAAUGCUAAAAUGACGAAAAUAUAUUAAAAAAACAUAUUUUUUGGAUUUUCAUUGUUUUUCUCUAUUUUUGGAUUUUUUUAAAAUAUAUCAAAAACAUGGGUCAAAAAUUGGGUAGCAACAGAUGCCCCCUCUUUACAAUGCUUACGAAGCGAAAAUCCUCAAAAUUUUGCAUAGUAAGCUUUGUAAAGAAAACAAAAGGAAAAUGAUUUCAUUAUCUUGGGCAACCUGCCUACACAUACUCACUCAAGUCUAUUUUCACGGGCGACCGACCCACACUCUCCCAAUAGUCUAUUUUCACGGGCGACCUGCCCACACAUUGGGUUUACCUGAGAUCCCAUCUGGCGACCUUAUUCAACUGGAACGAAAAUAUUGUGUAACUCGGUUAACCUGAAAUCCCAUCUGGCGAUUCCCUUUAACCAAAGCUAUAUGAGAUCCCAUCUGGCAACCUCAUUCAAUUGGAACGAAAUAUGUGUAACUCGGUUAACCUGAAAUCCCAUCUAGCGAUUCCCUUUAACCAAAGCUACCCGAGAUCCCAUCUGGCGACCUCAUUUAACCAAAACAAAAGAAUGUGUGAAAAAUGGUCUCAUUGUAUGGGUGACGAACCCAAGAAAAAUGAUGGUCUCAUUGUAUGGGUGACGAACCCAAGAAAAAUGAUGGUCUCAUUGUAUGGGUGACGAACCCAAGAAAAAUAACGGUCUCAUUGUAUGGGUGACCUACCCAAGAAAAAUGAUGGUCUCAUUGUAUGGGUGACGAACCCAAGAAAAAUAAUUGUCUCAUUGUAUGGGUGACCUACCCAAGAAAAAUAAUGGUCUCAUUGUAUGGGUGACCUACCCAAAUAGAAAGAAUGUGAAGUGCGGUCUCAUUGUAAUGGGUGACCUACCCAAAAAUGGAAAAAAUAUGAAAUGUGGUCUCAUUGUAAUGGGUGACCUACCCAGAUGGAAAAAAUAUGAUGAAGUGGUCUUGUUGUGAUGGGCGACCUACCCAGAUGGAAAAAAUGUGAUAUGACAAGUGUGAAAAAUAGGACUUACCUGGUGAAGUCCUGAGGGGAUGAGAAAAGGGCUGGAAAACUUGGUGCUUCCUGAUAAUUCCCGAUCAUAGGUUUGAAAACUCGGUGUUUCCUGACUGCAAGGGUUGAAAACUCGAGGCUUCCCGAUUGCAAGGUUGAUCUUUUCAUUUCUUUGGGAUUUUCCUAAUGGUAAGGUUCAUCCAUCGUCCUUUUAUUCCAUGAUCAAAACCGAUUCUUUAUUAUCAUCACCACAAUGCUUCUUUCUCUUUCCACCAUCUUGCUGGACCUCAUUAAGGAUUUUCCUGUAACAAUUCAAAAAUAUGUGCAAAUGGUUUUUUUUUUUUUUUUUUUUUUAGGUUAGAUGAUAUGCAUGCAUCCUUACCUGAUUCGAAAUAUAGGUCCCCCCCUCCUUGAUGCUCCAUCGUCAUAGGGUUUCCUUGUUUGCAUCCCAAAGCUUUCUUUGUUCUUUCGAUGCAUUGGCUCAUUCAUGUGCUAGCCAUCCACUCAGCUGUAAAUGCAGUGCCCAUCCCGGGCUGUCUUCGACAAUUACUGCUUGCAUCGUUCAUCAAGCUUGACCCUGCCCCCAAGUGUGGUACUGCUUGAUUCAUCAUGAAGGAUUUUCUCUCUUGGACUCUUCUGAUAAUUAUCCUUUGAUUGAUUGUGUACAUCAUGUCAACACCCCAUCAAGAUUGUUAAUCAGUCAUGAACUUGCCUUCGGUUGAAACACCAUUCAAGUAUGUAUGGUCACCAGCCUUCAUGGAACUGCCAAGUCAUCCAGACAUGGAUCUCAUGCUUUGCAGUAAACAGCUCAUCAUUGUAAGCGCGAUGUAUUUCUCUAUGGAUUCCUCUUAGCUUGUCAAAUUAGAUCGUGAAAAUAACUGCUUUGGCAUCAUCAAUGAUGUUCAUGUUAUCACCCAUAUUCAUGCGGUGAAGUGCGCAUUUGAGCUUCAGAAUAGAUGGUCCCAUAGUCAAUCUUGGUGGUAUGAUGUUCAUUCAAAUGCACUCACCCGAUAACAUCUGUCAGGAGUCAUAGCCAUGUUUUACAGGGUAACCCAAAAUGAAGAUAUGAAAAUAUCUUUCUAAUGCAGCGUUGCUCAUCAAUUGCUGCUGAAAUGCACGAGAUCAUGGAUUGUCUUUGAACAACAUUGGCCCCAGCAAUGAUAUGAAUGCUCGUUCAUCAGUUUAUACUCAAGAAGGUUUUUUCCUUUGUCAUUGUCCGGUACUAAACAUAACUCUGAUGAACUUUGAUGACUCAUCAUCUGAUUCUUUCUUUGCCCCCAGCUGAUUUGAAGGUGGUUUGUUUUUCUUCUAAGGGUCAUGCUGUAUUGCCCCUAGGUGGUCAACAUUUCAAGGAGUGUCGGGAAAAUGAUGUCAUUUUUGUCAAGAAAUUCGCAAACUCAAUUGAUGUUCUUGUUUGAAAAUCUUUCUUGUUCUGGAAUCAAAUCUCAACAUUUCAACGAUCAUGUCUAUUCAAGUAUAAUUGUUGAAAUGAAAUCAGAGAGAUAUCAGCUUUUAAAAAGUUAUUUUUGAAAUUCGAGCUCCUUUGGUCAAAGAUCCAACACACUAUUCAAUGCAGUCCUUUGAUUGUCUUGUAUUUUGAAAACAGAAAUGACCCGUUGUAAGAUUUAAAAUGACUUUUUCAUGGUUCUUUGUGUCCACUUUAAACUCUGAUUUUGGGUUUAUCCUUUUUUGAUGGUCUGCGAUGAGGUGACCUUUUGUGAAUUUGAAGGAAAACAACAAGCUCAGUCCUAGGAUUAUCAAGAAAGGUUUUGUUCUUUUUUAGCAUAUUUUAUCAGCAUGCAUAAUGACCACUAGCUUAAUUCAUGAAGCCACGACUCUUAUGGAAAAACUCUUCAAGUUUUGAGAUCGCCAUUUAUUGGUUCAGAUUGCUUGCUUGAUUAAAAAGGGCUUUUUAAAAAAAGCACGUAAUGCAGGCUAUGGUUCAUGGCUAUGAAAGAAAAGAAUUUCAAAGGCUCAAAAGGUGUUUGAGGGUUUCAAAGACCUAGGAUCAACAUCAAUUAUUCAUCGAUUCUCUUUCUCUUGUCGUCAUUGUAGAGAAAAUGACAUAUAACCUUGUUAAUCUCAAAUAUCAGAAUUCUCUUAACAUAGGUCAUGAUGCAAAUCCAACUUUUCUUUGAUGAAUAACCAAUCUAAAAUAAUUUGAAGACAUUAGAGGCUUUAUCCUAGACACACCAAAAGAUAUGAAGCAUCGAUUUUUCUAGUGUUGACUUUUGGCAUUUAUUGUCUUUUCUCAAUUGAAAACUGUCUUGCUUCUCUUAAAAUUGAUAGGCAUUUUCUUUCUUUCCUUUUUUUUUUUUUUUGCAUAGCCUUCCUCAAAGUUUUUCUUGGAUGACCCUCAAUCUAUGGAUUUUCUUCUUCUAGCCCUUUCUCAAACAUUGGACUUUUGUUCUAAGCUCUUCUUUGAUCCAUUGAUCUUAUCCGUGUCUCCAAAAUAUUUCUCAUUUGCCCCCAGUGUGGGGUGUGAUCCUAGUCAGGGUUUCUUUUUGAAAGAAAAUAUUUUACCAGGCUCAAAAUGGGACUGCAAAGGAUAUAAUUUUUAGAAAGUGAAGGGAUAUCAAAGAUGGCCUUUUCUCAUUUCAAGCAAGGUCGGUUAGAACCGAUAAAUUUUGACCCAUCUAGUGUAAUGAUUGGGACUUGUAAGAGUCAUGAUUCACGAGUCCAUAACUACCGAAACCACUACAUGUCAUUAUGCAUACUGCUAAAACUUAGCUAUGAUGUGUGGUUCAAUUAUUUGUGAGCUCAAAAUUUGUUUGGUCACCUCAUGUCAUUUCAACAAGAAACGAGUCAUUUCUGCAAUCAAAACACUUUUAAUCUUCAGGAUUGAUUAACCUUUAUCGCAUGUUGGAGUUUGAUCAAAAUAUUUUAUCAGAGAAAAUGUUAAACAUCUGUUGAUUUCAAAACAACAAAAAGACAAAAGCAAGGCAUGUUUCGUUGAAGGAUGAGAUGUGAUCCCAAAACAAAAUGCAGAAUUCCAAAACAAUAUGAUUGACUGUUCAUCACCAUUCUUGAAUCAGCUUUUCUGGCAAUAUUUGCGUUUUGCCAAGCACUUUCGAUCAACAUGUCAUUCUGAAGAUGUUCGGGGGACAAUAUAGCCAAUGACACCCUCCUUCACCGACUCCACUUGUCUCUUGCUCACCAACUUUCAGACUCAAUUCUUGCAAUUCUUGAAACUGUUCACUUGAAAUGAUUGAGGACCCCACCAUGACAUCACAUCUCUUAUCUGGAUUAUACCACCUAGAAAUUGGUGGUUGCAUGGGAUUUGUCGGAGUCAAGCAAAAUUCUGGAAUCUGGCAGAUGCUGGUCGACAAACUUAAGUGGUAGAGGAAUGUCAAUCUUGGCAAAGAUAUUUGAGCAAUUGAUGCUACUGUGAGACCUGGCUAGACCACAUAAUUAAGGGUUCACACCGUCAAAGUCAUCUCCUGAUUCACCUCUCAUCAUUGUUAUGGAAUCCAUGGCAGAUCCUUCAAUCUUUCCUCUCUUCAUAGUUUGUUCAAUUCUUCGGCAAAUCUCACAACAUCAUUUCAAUCUUCCAAUGUUGUUGUGGUUGGUUGAGGAUUGUUUAGAAAACUUUCCAACAGCUAGGUAAUCUUGGUAGCGCACCCACCACCGCUAUCAACACGUGGAAUCAUACCUUAUCUCUUCUAUGGGAGAAAAUGAUGAACAUGAAUCUCCUAUAUUUCUUUUGAUUCCUCUCAAACGGUGCAGCAAACAAGCACCAAUAGAGGGAGUUCUGCUCUAUUGAAGUUUCAAUAUUCUUCAUGUUUUUCAGUCUAUGCAUGUCUCUUCUCCCUACUCUUACUGACACUGUUGGAGGAAAAUCAUAGAUGAUCUGAAACUACUGUAUUCCUUCUUGGAUUUCCCAUUUGCAGAUCCACAAACAGAUUCCUGCCGAGAGAGCUCUGCUACGUUGAAGUUUGAUGUCAGCUCAUAUUUUUCAGACAGGUCUGGCUCUUCAACCUACUAAGAUGUCUUCGUGCUGAAACUGAUGAGAGAAAUAUUUGUAGCAUAUGCAACUUAUAAAUCCCCUCUUGCAUUCCCAAUUUGCAGAGCCAUAAUGGAUUUUUGUAGAGAGAGCUCUGCCACAUUGAAGUUUGACGACUGCUAAUAUUUUCAGACCAAGUCUGACUCUUCUGCCUACUACAAUGUUUUGCUGGUGCCACUGGUGGGAAAAAGUUUCAAAGCAUAUGAAAUUAAUACAUCCCCUUUUGCAUUUCCCAUUGGUAGAUCCACAAAUAAAUCUCUACAGAGAGAGCUCUACCCCGUAGAAGUUCAGUUUUAAUCAUGGUUUUUCAAACCAUCUUGUGCUGGAAUUGAGCUCAUAAUUAAGGUAACUUCAAAGCAGACUAAUGCACCAUGUACAAGAGGCUAGUAGUCAUUUGGUUCCAUUAGAUGAUGUGGAGGUGAUGAACACUUAACAGUGCAACUGAACAAGAAUCAGAGUUGUCAUUAGUUGAUGACUGAAGGCGUUGUUGCUGUUGUUCAUGACUGAAAAGGAGAGGCAGCUUCAAUUGGACGUGGACAAGCAGUGUUCCCACAGAAGACCGUGCAGACAUUCUCUUUCCAUUUGACGCUCAACACUUGUUCGAGCAGAUCUGAGUCUAGCUACUUCACACUUGAUGCUCUCAAACUCAAUCUGAUAAUGAGCCUCUAUCUAACAUCUUUCUUCACUUCCAUCCUUUCUUCAAUCACUUGCAGCACAACUUGUGUGGGGGAACCUACUUUUCAACCCGGUACAUGCAUGAUAAAUGUAUGAAUAUGUAAUCUAUAUGACGAACUCACCCUUCGAGAGGUGACAAUAUAGUCGUAACUCUUGUAUGACGGACAAGAAUCGUGAUUUUUGCCCAAACUCUACAAUGAAAAUUUUCGGAGCAACGGCCAAUGUGUCACCCACAAGUCUUGAGUUCAAGAUGCUUCAAGAAGGGUUUGCCCUGAUGCAAAUAACGAUAACACAUACAACCUAAGGACAGGUUCUAUUCAUUUUACGUGAGACAAAUGGUAGGUUUGCUACUUGGUCUCUAAAAGGGUCUCUUGUUGUCCCAGUGAUCGCCUUCGUAAAGGCAAUAUAGGGGCCCAGUAGGUAAUUGGUUGGCACAUGUCCAACUAUUACCAGUCUAAGCACUCAACAAAGAGUUGGGGUUUACACAAACUUAAACCUUGACUCAAGUCGUAAGGUAAGCUGCUAGUCCCCCACCUAACCUAAAGCUGGUGUGUGCUUUCAAAAAUUAAAACUUGUGAUACAUGAGAGAAAUAUAUAUAAUGCAUGAAUAAAACACAAAUAAAUAAAACCAAGCACAAAAACAAAAAAAUAAAAAUAAAAAAUUGAACACAUCAAAACACAAAGCUUAGUCCGAUAAAGUUGAAAACAAUACCUGUCCCCAGUGGAGUCGCCAUUCUGUCGCACCCCGAAAAAAUCUGGCGCGCGGCAUCGGCUGGCGAUUUUUCUCGUUAUUUGCGUUUGCUUUGAAUUUGAUUCAUGGGAGUCGCCACCUAGUAAUUUAUUGAGGGCUACUAGGAAACCUGAUGUACUGGUCUUAUCAGAGAUCGCGGGUAAGGGACUGGUUGUGGUUAGGAAAGGUAUUAGCACCCCUAACACACCUUAGGUAAGCUGCUUCGUGUUCUGAUGUGAUUUGAAAAUUUAAAAUAUUAAUCAAAUUCUAAGGCUUGAAUAAAUUAGUUAUUUAAAUCCCUGAAUAUAUGUAGAAACUUGUUCUCAUAUUUUCAUGGAAAAUACAACUUGAUUUUAUUUGUCCUUGAGAUAUUUAACCAUAUUUAAAUUAACAAUUAAAUCUUUUGUCUUUUUUAUUUUAUUUUUAUAAUUCAAUAACAUAAAUAAAAAAUACAAACACACAAAACUUUCUUUUUAUCAUUUAUUUUUCUUUUCUUUUUUUCUUUUACAUCUCAAUACAAAUACAAAAACAAAAUCAAAUAUAAAUACAAAUUCAAAAAUCAAAACAAAUAAAUAAAAAUUACAUUAAUUAAUUCAAAAUUUACACAAUAGUCCCUAAAACUCCAAAAAUUGCAGGGAAGGACUUCUGGGGGCUGCGUGAACAGUGCCGGCGCGUGGAUCCACGCGUCACCGCCACUGGCGGCGCGUGGCUCCACGCGCCACCGCUGAGAAAUUCAGCAACCGGUGGAUCCGGCUUGUCUAUGUUUCCUCUUCUUUUCCUCGCCGGCGGUGAAGGUCACCGCCACCGGCAACAACAAGAAAAACACCUAAAGAGCAGUCGGUUUUAGUUUUUUUCUUCCUUGUUGUCGGAUCUGGUCUCGGGUUCUUUUGGAUCUGCUUCGCUGCAAAUCGGUCACCUUCUUCUUGUCCUCCGUUUCAGGUGGCUAGCAGUGAAGAGGAACGACCGAGAAGGGGGCGUCGCUGCUGGGGCUGUUCGGUGUUGGAGGGGGCGUCGCUGCUGGGGCUGUUCGGUGUUGGAGGGGGCGCCGCUGCUGGGGCUGUGGGUCGUGCUGAGUUGAUCAAAGAAGAAGAUGCUGCCGAGAGAGGUGCUUCAGUGUUGAUGGGUCCGGGAUGGAGACGAAGGGGCUGUCUUGGGUUUUUUAUGGCUGAAGAGGGUGAGGGAAAAAGUGGCCGAGAGGGAGAGAGGGGUGAGCGGGGGCUGUUCGGUUGGAGGAGAAGGGAGGCCACUGUGGUUGCUUUGAAAAUGAGCAAAAAUAGGGAAAAAUGGUGAUGGCUUCGGGGCGUGAGCAGGGGAGAUGAAGGAAGGAACUGGUGAGGUCGUGGCUGAAGAAGGUGAGGGGUUGUUUGGCUGGUUUCGAAAGAAGAAAAAAAAAUGUCAAGGGUGGGGGGCGGCUGCCUCGAGAAAAAUGAGAGAAGAUAGGUGUCGGCUCUGUGUUGGGGAAGAAGGAAAAAGCAAAUGGUGAUCAAGGGGAGUCCUCCAAACCGGCUGCUGAGGGGGUCAGUUGGGGGAGAAGAAAAAAAAUAAAAAUCCAAAGGGAGCUUGGGGGGCUGGCCAGCGGCUGCCUUUCGGUGAGGGAGAGAAAAAAACUAAAAUUAGGGUUUAUAGGCAAAAUUUCAAAAUGACAGCUGCCUCUCCCUCAAAUUUCAAAAUUGCCCCCCCAUUUGUGUGAGUUAAAGACCAGUAUUUAUAGGCAAAACUGUUGCUAAGUUUUUCAACUUGGUCCCUCAACUUCUUUCUUUUUUGUAAAUUUUGAUUUUUUCUUAUUUUUUUGUAUUUUUUGAAAACGAGCAGUAUCAACGUCGACUCAACGAGGAAAAUCAAUGAUUUAAAAAUGAAGCGUGAAAAGUUGAACGCGUUUGAAAUUUUUUAAACAUUUAAUUUUUUUUUUUUUAGACGACGUUGAAAAAUGCUAAAAUGAUGAAAAUAUAUUAAAAAAACAUAUUUUUUGGAUUUUCAUUGUUUUUCUCUAUUUUUGGAUUUUUUGAAAAUAUAUCAAAAACAUGGGUCAAGAAUUGGGUAGCAACACUCUGGAAAACCUCCCAAACCUGAGUUAGUCUCUAAAACUUACAACUCAUAAAAUCCUAGACUUGAGCUUCAUUAAGAAGCACAAUUCUCAAUUAAUCUAAUGUUGAAUAAUGAAAACAGGAAAAAAAUCAAUUUAAAAAAAUUGUAAAAGUGAAAAAAAAUAGAAAUCAAAAGAAUAAGGAUUAAAUCUGAUAGAAAAAAAAAACUUAUGAAGGAUGAUAUUGUAAAUAAAAUCAAAUAAAAAAAUUAUCUCAAACAAAAAAAUAGCAAUCAAAAUAAUAGGGACAAAAUUUGAAAGAUAAAAAAACUGAAAGGGGAUUAAAUUGUCAAAUUAUUCCAAUUUAAUAAAUUAUUCCAAACAAAACAAACAAUGAUAAAAGAAAACAUCACCAAAUCCAAAGGAAUAACAAAUUGAAGGCGUGCUUUGAAAUUUUGAAGGGACACACAUGAAAAUCAAUGGGAGAGGAAAGAAGAAGAGAAAGAAACGAUUGUCUGCACAAAACCAAACAACCAGUUCACUUGGUCUUACCAAAUGGUCGAUUGGAUCAACUUAAAUACUAGAUUUUGAUAAUUUGAACCUAUCGAAUCCAGAACUGAUACUAAUCAUAUAUACAUGUAGAGUGUCGUAUAAGCCUCGCACGACGUCGACUUGAGUGUGCUGGUCUUUGUCAGAGAUUCACGGGUAAGGGACUAGUUGUGGCUAAGAAAGAUAUUAGCACCCCUAGUGCUCCGUAUCUGAGGUAAAAUACUUCGUGGUUUUGUAACAACCUCAAAAAAAUUCAAUCAAUAUAUUCGUUUAACUCCCACAUAAAGGGUAAAUGGAGCAAUUGUUUUUUGUUAAGUUCACCAAGUUGGGACAUCUAUAAUUGGGAGAUCCCAAGUUUUCGACAAAUUACCCUACACACAAUUAUAAUCACAUCCCACCGAUAAUGACAUCUAUAAUUGGUACAUUCAACCAUUUAAUUCAUUCAAGAAUAUACUCAGGACAAAUCUUCAUUCUCAAUCUCCAUCUUAUAUCACAUGCAUAAGUUAGUAAUUAAGAUGACCAUCUAAGCACUGAAAUUUCAUAUAUAAACACAACACAAUUUAGCAUUCUGAAUAUAAGCUAUUAUGCUAUAAUUUUUCCAAGUAUAGAUUUAUACAUGAAUAUUCCUAAAACAAAAUAAUAUAAGGAGUAUGCUAUUCUAUUCAAGUUACAUGUUUACUGCAUAACAAAAUUACAUGAAAAAUCCCAGAGUUUCUAACUUAUACAAAAGGGAUAAGGAACCUAAAUUCUACUCUUGAAGUGAAUGGGAGGGACCUGCAAAACAUAAAUUGUCCAUUUCAUUAAAAAUGUGUUUCUCUGUUGUUGUUGUACUCCUCCUGCGGUUCUUCCUGAAACCAUAAACACCCAUCAUUAUUCCAUAUUAGUCCACAUAUCAUAACACAACAACAACAAUGGCAAUAAUAUUCAUUUCACUUUUAUCAAUUUUUUUUCUCACUUACACUCCUCAUUAUUAUCCUUUAACAUUUUCAGCUCAUUAGUAGUCCAAGUGGACAUCAUGAAUUCAAUUUUGAUCAACAUUUAUUCUCUCUUUUUUUUUAAGAUCAAGACACACUUUAUGAAGGGCGAAAAAACAAAUUCUACCCUUAAUACGACUAAAUUUUGCCGUUUUAUCGACUUGGCCAAAGCAGCCACCAAGGGUGGCAGCUUGACCUCUCCGCAGAUUUUUAUUUGUAUCUGGAGUUCCAAGACUCCAAAUUAGAAGGCGUCAGACUCGUUGGAAAGCUAACACUCCCAACUAUAACUUCUGUGAUGGACCCUCCCUAGAUUCUAUCAUCUUCAGGUCCAAAUUCCCCUAGGAACUAGGGCAACGAACCUGCCCUGUUUUGUCAAUGGAGAAGGUACUAUAUAUUUUUAUCUCCAAUCCUACUUCCUAUCAAAAUCCAUGUUUUCACCUUAUGCAUGGUAACCUAGAGUGUAGGUUCCUCUUCCUUACAAGUUACAAUUUGUAACUACUACAUCAACACAUCUAAUUAAUUAAUAGGGGAGUCAUACGUUCUCCUCUAUUUUUCUUCCCCUCCAGUGGCCGGUCCUUAAAUCUGUUCCUUCUCUCUUUAUAUAUAACUCAAUCACUACAUAUCCUUAUUGUUCACCUCCUAAAACUGUUUCUAUUUUGCAAUAAGGAAAACAACGCAAACAAUCAAAAUUUCCCUUCUUUCUUUAAACCCAUGGCCGGCCACUAUUUCCCCUUAGUCUUUGAUGUUGUCAAAAAAGACGCAUUAAAAGUCGAACGCGUUCAAAAGACCUUUAUUAAAUUUAAAUUCUUUUUUAGACGAUAUUGAAAAUGUUAAAAACAAUGCAAAUAUAUCAAGAGCAUAUAUAUUUUUUGGGUUUUGUAGUUUUUUUGCUAUUUUUGGAUUUUUUUGAAAACUUAUAAAAAAGAUGGGUCAUAAAUUGGGUAGCAGCAAUUAAUGUAUUUCAUUGGUCGUUGGUAUCAGUGGUCGGAGAGAGUAGUUGUUGUUGUUCUAGGAUUCAAGCAACAAUACACCUAAAAGGGAGGUGAAUUAAGUAUUCCACAAAUAAUAAUAAAUAUUGAAAUUAAUUCAAUUAAACACAAUAAACCAACAAUAUAAUUAAAUUGCAUAACGUAAAGAGCAAAAUUAUAAAAAUUGUAAACCCAGUCUUGUAUAUUUUGUUCUUUCACAAGUCCAAGUUGAAACCCCUCCGUAGAGAGUAGUUGUUGUUCUACUAUCACGCGUACGGGCCCCAUGUUUUAAUUCCGUCGGCAAAAUCACCCGCCAAAACCUUAGCGCCAUCUACCCGCCCUUUUUUCAUUAAUUCUGAAUUGUCUGUCGGUAAUUCGGUCGGUAAUUACUGACCGAAUUACAGACGCAAAGUUUCCGUCGGUGAGUUCGACCGAAAAAUACCGAUGGAAAAAAUUCCGUCGGUGAGUCCGUUGGUAUUUAGCGAAUUUCUGGUAGUGCCCAAACUUGGUCCCUCAGCUUCUUUCCUUUUUUUUUUUGUAAAUUUGAUUUUUCUUAUUUUUUUGAAAACAAGGAAUAUCUACGUCGACUGAACAAGGAAAAUCAAUGAUUUUAAAAAAGACGCAUUAAUAGUCGAACGCGUUCAAAAAACCUUUUAUAAUUUAAAUUCUUUUUUAGACGACAUUGAAAAUGUUAAAAACAAUGCAAAUAUAUCAAGAGCAUAUAUAUUUUUGGGGUUUUGUAGUUUUUUGCUAUUUUUGGAUUUUUUUGAAAACUUAUAAAAAAGAUGGGUCAUAAAUUGGGUAGCAGCAAUUAGUGUAUUUCAUUGGUAGUUGGUAUUAGUGGUCGGAGAGAGUAGUUGUUGUUGUUCUAGGAUUCAAGCAACAAUACACCUAAAAGGGAGGUGAAUUAAGUAUUCCACUAAUAAUAAUAAAUAUUGAAAUUAAUUCAAUUAAACACAAUAAACCAACAAUAUAAUUAAAUUGCAUAAAGUAAAUAGUAAAGGGAUAGAAAUUGUAAACCCAGUCUUGUAUAUUUUGUUCUUUCACAAGUCCAAGUUGAAGAUUACAAUUAUAACUUGAUGAAUUCACACCAAGAUAUUACACCACUUGAAGAUAUUGUCUUUUUUGACAGUUUGAACCUGCUGAAUCUUCAAUCAAUACUAAUCCUAUAUAUAUAUAUAUAUAUAUAUAUAUAUAUGCAUAUAUGCAUAGUGAAGUGUUUAAGUUCAUUUUAAUUGUGCUAUUAAGCUAAAAUAUAAAUAUUUACAUAAUUACCAAAAUGAGCAAUUAAUUCUUAGAUUCUCAUAUGAUCUUCAUUUGCUUUGGUGGCUAGGUUAGAAGAAGAAAACUAUUUUUUUUUCUACACUAUUAUUUCAUUUUAUUUUCUUUCUCUAUCUUAAGUUUUUCUUCAAAGGGUUGCUAGGGUUUCUUACCCACCUUUUGUUUUCCCUCUAAUUUUUCUAUGGAGGCUAGAGGUUUUUUUUUACACCUCCCCCCUUUUCUUACCUUGCCUUUCUAUUUAUAGCCAAUGGGGUAGGUUCUAGAAUCUGUAUAGAAUAUUUAAAACAAUACAGCCUCUCUCAUCAGCGCUGUCUCUUUUCGUCACCGUCGAGUUACUACUAUCUUACCCCACGUUGACUCAAGGAACCAUAGCCGCUACUUCCACAGUACCAUUAACCUGAGGUGUUCAUUACCGGAAUCAUAACCCAAGGCAGGCCAGGCCCACUCACAUCGUCCAUGUGCAUCUUCAGCGUGCUCGUUAAAAGAGUGAAGAUGAGGUACGGGAUAUCCAGUGGAGCUGUCUCGAGCCAUCAUAAUCACUCAAGGUAUAAAGCUUCUACCUAUUAUCAUUUAGUUGUAAUCUUUUACAUGUGCAUGCUACUGCAAAGGCAAGCUCCCGUUUUUCCUUUAUGCGCUGUGAAGUUAACAUAUAGUGUUGUAAGGUGUGUGGAUCUUUAAGUCCUAACCUGGUCACGGGUGUUCUUUCACUUGCUACGGAUACUGAAGGGGAUGGGGUGUGAUUUUUGCUUCAAACGCAUAUGAUCUUGAAAACUUGAUUGCAUGUCCUAAGGUCAUGUUAAGACCUUGCCUAGUUAAUUAAGAAUGCUCUUACCCAAGGUUAAAGUUCAAGAACGGUAUGAGAAGGUGGAAAAAGAUGUUGAUAACUAUUGGGGUCAUAGGACAGUCAGGGAGUUUUUCCAUACCAUGCUUGGGCUUUGGAUGUAUGUUUCCUUGACAUGACAUGGGUAUGCACGGUUUGAUGUAAUUUAAAGCUUUUGAAAGUUCUCUUGACAUGAGAUACUUAUUUUAUCAUGUAAAGAAAACUAAUGGGAUAGACUUGCUUUAACCAAUAAACAUGCCAAUUAUUAGAAAAGCAAAACAAUACUUUAGUUAUAAGCAAACAAAGAAACAAUACAACUUAUAUUAUGUAUAAUGUACUAGGGAUGAUAAUAUUCACUCUAUAUAAAAUUAAUUUUUUUAUCCAAACUCUAAAAACUAUAUAAGGUUUCAGUAUUCAAAAUAUAAAAUGGUGACUUCAAAUAUUUUUGUUAAUAUAGGACAAUAAAUCCAUGUUCUUUCGCACUACACGAAAGUCUUGAUUUAAAAAGAUGAUCACAAUGAUCCUACAACCGUGCUACAUUCAACAUGGUACUUUCCAUGAGUCAUCUGAACCCUUCACUUGUAAACUAGGAUCACAAACAGCAUUCACGUUAGCUGCACAGCUUGUAGAAGGGCAGCCAGUAGAACCUCCUUGCGGGGUUAUCGAAAUCAAGUAAACAGCCAAACAGUGGAACACGUGAAAAUCAAGAAGAGAGAAAAGAAAAAGAAAAGUCUGUCCCUGCCAAACCAAACAAUCAUCUGCCAGCCACACGUACUAUCUCAUUAAAUUAAAGCAGGUGUGUAGGGUGAAGUUUGAAAUAUAAUUUAUAUUAUUUUUAAAUAAUUUUUUAAAUAAAAAUUAUUUGAAUUAAAAAUUUAUACGGUUAAUAUUACAUGGUUAUUAAAGUUUUAAUAUCAUGUUAAAGAAUCAAUUUAACCCAAAAGUUUAAUCUAUUAAAUUAAGUCUAGAUAUAAUUUAUAUUAUUUUCUAACAAAAAUAAAUCACGACAAAAAAAAUACCCAAUGAAAUAUACAAAUACCCUUGUUUUGAACCAUAAGUGACUAUCUAGAUAUCUCAAUUAAUGAGAAAGCAGACUAGUAAACAGCCAAUUAGAGGAACGCCCUGCUUCACUCUAAUGAAAGCAAUUGGAUGCAGGAAUAGGGCCAAUUCUCAACUAAUCUAGACUUGAGCUUGAUUAAGAAGCACAAUUCUCAACUAAUCUAAUGUUCAAUAAUGAAAACAAGAAAAAAAUCAAUUUAAAAAAAUUGUAAAAGUGAAAAAAUAUAGAAAUCAAAAGAAUAAGGAUUAAAUCUGAUAGAAAAAAAAAACUUAUGAAGGAUGAUAUUGUAAAAAAAAUCAAAUAAAAAAAUUAUCUCCAACAAAAAAAUAACAAUCAAAAUAAUAGGGACAAAAUUUAAAAGAUAAAAAAACUGAAAGGGGAUUAAAUUGUCAAAUAAUUCCAAUUUAAUAAAUUAUUCCAAACAAAACAAACAAUGAUAAAAAAAAAAACAUCACCAAAUCUAUAGGAAUAACAAAUUGAAGACGUGCUUUGAAAUUUUGAAGGGGCACACAUGAAAAUCAAUGGGAGAGGAAAGAAGAAGAGAAAGAAACGAUUGUCUGCACAAAACCAAACAACCAGUUCACUUGGUCUUACCAAAUGGUCGAUUGGAUCAACUUAAAUACUAGAUUUUGAUAAUUUGAACCUGUCGAAUCCAAAACCGAUACUAAUCAUAUAUACAUGUAGAGUUAAGUGUUUGAGUUCAUUUUAAUUGCGCUGUUAAUCUAAGAUAUAAAGAUUUACAUAUUUAUUCAGGGCCUAUUUAAAAUUGUGGUAACAGUAAUAAUUUAAAAUACUUUUACACUUAAAAAUAUAUAAAAAUUCUUAGUUUCUCAAUAGAUUUCAUAUUCAUAAAUUCUUAAGGUAACUUAGAUUAUAUAAUGGCGAUAAUUCUAAAAAAAAAAAAAGCUAAAUUUAUUUAUAAAAUGAGCAUCGCAUGAUUACUAUUAAAAUGAUAUGAUUAGCACCUGAUGACAAUGUUUUGAAAUUGAAUUCGACACUGCAUCUACCUCGUACAUAUAAGUUGUAGGAUUGGUACCUUGAUCAAUGAACCGAAAAUAUCUUCAAUUGAUAAUGAAUGGCAUACAGUUUUACCAUAUCAACAACAUGAAAAUUGAUAAUCGAUCCUUUUGGGAUAUGUCAAUCCCGAAUCUAUUUUUUAAUUAAUUAUCAUAAAAACAUUUAUUAAAUGUGUUAUCCUCCAACUCUUUCCGUAAAAAGAAAGAGUUGUGAACCACCACAUUUGAUCAUGGACAAAAGGUAAUCAAAUAGUUGCCUCCACUAGGACAAGUAAACGUGCUUGAUUUAUCAUCAUAAGCAUAACUAUAAGCUUCAGGACACUGCUUCUUGAAGAUCGUCGAAUAUUGGUUAGGAGGACAUUUGUCAGGUGUACUGUACUCUCCUGUGCAGCAGAACUGCGGAUGCUUAAAUGCCAAACACGCGCUCUUGCAGGCAAUCACAGUCCCAUCUGAACCCUUCACUGCUAAACU
rnacentral:lncRNA from 1 species